GGGCGCGCGCGUAUGGAAUAACAAGUAGGGACACUGCAACUAAUCUACUCUGCUCGUCCAGUCCCUAGCCUAUAAAUAGAUGCCAUGCUAGCUCUUGUUGUGCUCACAAUUAAUCCGAUUACACACGAGCUUCUCUCCCUGGCCAAGACACAACCAUAGUAUGAUGAAGAACAUGGCACUAGCCGGCAAUGGUAUGAAGAAGUUAAUCCUCGCUGUUCUCUUACUGUGUCUAGUUAUAGGGCAGAUACAAGUGGAAGCUAAGAGCUGCUGCCCAUCCACCACUGCAAGAAAUGUCUACAAUACCUGCCGUUUCACGGGUACAUCCCGUCCAACGUGUGCAAAACUGUCAGGCUGCAAAAUUAUCAGCGGGAACAAAUGCAAGCCCCCUAACGACCACCUCACCCUUGACCCGGACACUGGUAAAUAAUAAAUUUAUCUCACUUGAUUUCUUCGUGAUUUGAGUCGUUAAUGUAUUUUCCAUCUGAUGAAACGUAUUGGUUUUGCAUUGAAGAGGAAGUUAAUGUGCUUAACUUCUGCAAGUUGGGGUGUGCGUCGUCUGUGUGCAACAACAUCAACGCUGGUAAGCAACUUUUGCUCAGACAGAGAAAACAAUAAUCAUUAAUUAGCGGCAGCUAGAAUCCUAUAAUCUAAUAUAUAUAUAUAUAUAUAAUUUUAUCAGCUCUGGGAAAUGAAGAGGCGAACGAUGCCGUUGAGAGUUGCGACCAAGCCUGCUCUAGCUUCUGCAGCGUGCAUGUUGGCAGCGCCACCGUGGUUGCUUAAGCAAAUGCAUCCAACUAGAUCGUCCUUGUGCUGAAUAAUUGGAUAUCGUAUCCACUUAAAGCUGCCUUGUGUAGUACGUCUUUGUGUCUCUCUUUAUAUUCCAAUAAGGUCGGUGAUCUUGAUGCCACACACUCAGAUGUGUGUUCAUCUCCAGAUACUACUCCAUGCUACCUGCCCUUUGUGUUUUGUUCAAUAACUGGGUAUCAUAUCCCAGCCAGUAUGCCGUCUGUUUUGUGUUUGUUUCCUUCUAGUUCCAAAGGGGUCAUCAUGAUGUUACCUUCUUUCAAUAUGGUGCUUUGCAUGACUACUGUUGUAUGGUACCAUCUUGUGGCCAAUAAGUACAUCUUAUCCUAUGACCUUUGCUAUGACCCUUUGCAAAUAAGUAGAAGAUUGUUAUAAGCGUCAAUACUCCGUAUAAAUUGAUCGCUGCUGUGAGUUCCCUUUCAGCUUAUCGUAGGCAUACAUUAUUGCUAGCACGGUAAAGCCAACCAACACGAAUGAUGAAGUAAACGUAGCGGUACUUCUGUAUACCAACACCCUUACUUAAAUGUACCGGUGUCAUUCCCUACUGGCACAUAUAUUCUUAUAUGCUAGCCAGCUUGUAAAAUUAACCAAUUAAAAUAAUUAUUUCAAGAUAGAAAUAACUUAUCGGUUUCUGGAAGCAUGUGUAAUGUGAAUUCAAGGACUCGACGGAAGUUGAAUCACUUCAUCUAUAUUGCUUUCAGUAUUUUGGGUAACUAAAUUUAACAUUUGCACAUACAAAUGUUAAAGUACAAAUGUUAAAUCUAGUUACCCAAGCAGAAUAUGAAGAUAGUUUAUAGUAUAUAUAUACUAUAUAAAUCUAGUUAACAUUUAGUCUAAAUGUUAAAUCUAGUUACCUAAAAUCCUGAAAGCAAAAUGUAUAAAUAUAUAUCUUUUAAGGCAGUAUAAGCUUCGAUUCCUAUUGCUGCUCUGUUAAAUCUCAUCUUUCGUUGUGGCCCAACACUCUAGUAUGCAUGUUGCACCAAGCUUCUUUGAGCCGCUCUGCCCUCUGAUUUUGCUGCGUAGGGGAAUCUUUAUCAGGUUGGGCUACUUCCAGUUGUGCGAUGUAAAGAUUCGUAUUUUCUAGAAGGUAGACAAAAAACUCGCGUUCUCUUAAGGCAACAACCGGAAGAUUCUGCAGCGCACAGGGCAUACCAUUAUUGUAGAAACGACCUUUAGUACCGAUCUCCAACCCCCUUUAAAACUGGUUUUGCAACCGGUACCGUUAUGUCGGUCCUUUAGUACCAGAUCAAAUAAGUACCGGUUGGUAACCAGUAUCAACUUGUUUUGCGGCCAAAAAAAUAAAGAAAAAAACAGUCAGAAGGCUCGCGCACACGCGCAUCACAUGAAAUAUGCGUGUGCGGGGUCCAUGGGAUUCGAACCCAUGAAAUCAAGCUGCGCGCGACCCUUCGUUACCAUCUCACCUACAUAGCGCAUAUGCUUUCCUGAAGUAACCCGUGGAGGAGGCUUUAGUACCGGGUCAUAACACCACCCGGUACUAAAAAUGACUCUUCAGUACCGGGUCAUAACACCACCCGAUACUAGUAUCGGAUGGUGUAAUGACCCGAUACUAAAAGGCCUCUAGGGACCCUCAAAUUUGAACCCGGUACUAAUGCUAAUAUUAGUAGCGGGUCAAAGUGCAGCCAGAACUAAAGCAUGGGAUGAAAGGUCAUAUUUCUAGUAGUGUAUAGUUGUUGUGAAGGACUGACUUGGCUGUCCUCUCUCUUCUCCAUCCCCUUGGUCUUACGCCGCCGCUCGCACGCGAGCCGGUGCCCAACCAGAGGAGUGAGAGCUAGGGGCAGGUUGGGAGGUGGGGAUAGUGACUGGUGGCCAGGGUGAUGGUUGAUCCUGGUGGGGUUAGGGUUUUAGGGUUUUCGAGCUUCCUAUGGUCGGCGAACCUAGAGGAGGAGCUCAACAUCAGCUGCAACCCGCGAUGGUGGUGGUUUGGCCGGCGCCCGAGGCGAGGCAGCGCGGGAGUGCUGCCGGUGGGUUGGUGUUGGCACUCAUUAUUGACAACUAUUUUGUUCAUAAAAUAACACUCAAACUUGCUGCUGCUGCUGCUGCUGCCAUCGCCACCCUAGCCAUAAUAUAAAGGCAAAAUUUGCUAAAGGACAUGCAAAAUGAUGCUAGUUUGCUGGCGGGCAUCGUUGACCUUGUAAUAUGCUACAAGACACUCUAGUUGUGUAUCAAUUUGCUGAAAGACAUUGCUAUGACUAAAAUAAUGUUUCUGGACUGAGUUGGAGAGAGAGAUGGAGUGAAAUGUCUGUUUUGCCCAUGACCCCACUGGUCAGAUCCUUCUUCUUCCACCCUCCUUUGUUCUUUCUUCAACCAUUACCCAGCUCCAGCGUGUUGCAGAUCUACGAGGGUGGCGGCCUGGGGCGAGGGGCAUCGCUCGCCCUUGGAGGAGCGCUGCGAGCGACGGCGCGGGGGCGGCAACAGCGCGUCAGAACCUGACUGUUCGUUAGCUCCUCUCGCUGCUGGGGAAGGAGGGGGAUGGGCCAUGGACGGGGUUCCCUUGAAAACCUCAGCGUCGAGCUCGGGCGGCUACGCGCAGGCAGCACUAGGCUGCUUCACGGGGAGGGGGCGCGGCCAAUCAUUGGCACCCCACUGGUCCAAUGCUGAUGAAGAUGGUGCCAGCGUCGUGUGAGGACAUCUCAUCUCCUCGAGUUCCAUGGCCAGCACAGGUGAGCUGCCGCUACCACAAAACAGAGGUUUCGUGAGAGUCAAAAAACCUUAUGAAAAUAGCUAAAACCAUCAUGAAAAUAAUCCGUGACAUGACACUCUCACGAAAAUCCUCUCACAAAUAUGGUGCCAUGAAAAUACCAUUUUCAUGAGAGUGAACUGUCAUGAUUUUAUUUCGUGAGAGUAUUUCCUAUCAAUGACCUCCACGAAAUACUUUGUGCCACCAGGUCUUCAAGAUCAUUUUCAUGAGAGCUGAACAUCAGGAAAAGUCCGCCACAAAUGUUUUUCUUGGAGCCCCUAACUCUCAUGAAAAUCAUGCGGGCCGCCACGAAAAACAGCAUGACCAAAUGACAAAUUUCAUUUUCAUGUGUUCAUACCGCCAUGAAAAUGGUCAUUUUCAUGAGAGUUGAUGAAACAAAAAAUAGUGCCAUUUUCAUGAGAGUUCAAGCAACCAGGAAAAGACACUAAUAAACAUCCAGAUCCCAUCCAGCACACAUCCAUGCACAUAUAUAACCCACAUAUUGCUCCAGCACACAUCCAUGCAUAUACAAGAUCCAAAUGUUAAUAUAGUAGACAUCCAUGCCUGAACUAGUCUGCCACACAAGUCAUUGAUGCUACAAAUCCUACAAUCGCAGCAUGUGCAUACAAGUCACAGAAUGAGACAAUGUACCCAAAACUAAAAGGUUAGCAUCAACUGUGCUUCAACCAAAGUUGUCAUCCCAACUCUCCUCUUCAUCCAUGCCAUUCUUGUCGUGGCCGUCACUGUCAGUCCCCAUGGCAUUGCCAAUGCUGUGCAUGUCUUGGUAGGAACCUACAUGUGAUGAACUAGUAACCUGCAAAAAGAGCUCAAAGGAUCUUGUUCUCAUAUUGUAGCUGUGAAAUUCUUACAAGUAGUGUUGCAAUCAGUUCACUUUGAACCAAAAGAGCUCAAAGGAUCUUGUCCUAAAAGUUCCUCAUAAAGCUUAUGGGUUUGCUGGUGGAACUGGAAGGGCUUGAUGCAGCAGAUGCCAUUCUGCAAUAGAGAAAAAUUUAGAGAGCAGUACUAGUUAAAAUUGGAUGCAGAAGAUACACAUGAAACUAGUAUUUAUACAAGUCUAUACAAUUAAAAUCUAAGGAGACUUAUCAUCGUUUUCAUGUGUUGUGAAUUAAAAUAAUGAAGGAUACACUGUUAGGUGAAAAUUCAAGAAACAAAAUUUUGCAUAGAGAUAAAGGUCCAACAUUAUUACAAGUUAAGGUAGUUUUAAAUAUCCUUGUAAUCUUCCUUUGGUUUCCUCAACGAUUCGAAGACAAUAACCUUGCUUCUAUCAAUGAUAAUUAUAAGGAGAAUCCAGUGGAAACUGUGUAUUCGUAUUAGAACUACCUAAGGUUAAUUAGGUUAGGAAAGGAAAUUGAAAAUAGAUGGUACCCACACUUACUUAAAGUUGUCGGGCAAUAGUAUGUAAUGCUUGUAAUUCCGUUGCUCCAAGAAUUUGUAUAUGUGGUCCAAUGUAGACUUUGGUUGAUCCCGUAUCUGCUGUUGGUUAAAUAAGUGUUUCUAGCCAUUUCUAGCCAUUAGAACCGGGACUAAAGGGGGCUCUUUAGUACGGGUUGAUAUUACUAACCGGGAUUAAAGAGCCCCCAUUAGAGUUGGUUUUUGGAUGCGGAACUAACAACUCCUUUAGUCCUGAGUACGAAAACAACUGACAUAUUUGUUGCUGGAUGGAAGGUCCUUUCUCUACCGUGAAUAUUGCCAGAAAGAAUUGAAAGAGACUGCUUGCUAAAAAUAUGUCAUAGAUGUAGACCAAGCUACCAAGGAGGUAGACCAAACAUGAUACACACCAUGCGUACCUUGCUGUGCAGACUAUGCAUUGACAAGAUACCCGACCACAUGUUGGCCUCGGUCACAUCAAAAGAAUCAUGUAGGCCACCAAUAAACUACUUGAAGCGGCAUUCCGUAUCGUAUAUGCAUUGCCGGUUCAUCUGCAUUACAUUACAUAAAGCACUAUUAACUAUUUGAAUAAAAUGAACCAAUUUAAAAGUAAUGUGUUGUACUCUACUAUAGAAAGCCCUAUCACUGCCGGAUCCAAAAACAUCAUUGUUAAUGGUGGUUAAGUACCAAAUAUGACGGUCAAUAUUCUCAAGAAUAAUGGAGAAUUAGCAUUUCUUAGACACAUAUUUGGUUUUGAACAAUGUAGUUCCACAUGUCUUUGGAGAUUAUUUGGGUGUGGGUGAAAUAAUACAAAAAUAAGGAGAAAACACACUCCCAUGGCGAAGAAACACAACUCCAACCAAUGAGAGAUAGCCACAGGGGCAGCACACGGAUCCAUGGGCCCACUAACCGCAUCAAACCAUCUUACCAAGGCAGGUAGCACCCACAACCGUCAUUAGGACCCACCUGGAAGUCUACCAAGAAGAAGGUUGCGAGUGGGGCCAGGAGGGGUUCGGUUGAAUCAUCUCUAGCUAGCUCCCCUCAUCCCCAGCUGGUGGGUGGUGGUGGUUGAUGGUGUCCCUACAUCAGUUAGAGGAGAUUCCCCCAAAUAUUCCUCCUGUAAACCACCUCUAUGGACCUAUACAUAGAGGGGUGUGCUCUCCAUUCCAACACACACCACAAGUUGAAUCACUCUCUCCCUCUUUAGUUUCCAAGUUUAUGGAGUUAGGCUAGAGUAGCUCUGCUCAAGGUUCCAAGUCCACUUGGAGUUAAGCAUAUGUCUCUUGUAUCGUUAUUUCCUAAAUUGACUUUAUGCUUAGUUCUUAUAUGCAUGAGUUAGUCUAAUACCCUUGCUAUAUUGAUAUGCUCGGCUUAUAUGCUCGUAUGCUAGUCAUAUACCCUUGCUGUCGUAGUAUAGGCUUAUAUGCUCUCAUGUGUGCCUGUAGACCUUGCUAUAGUAUAUACUUGUUGUGCAUACAUACCAUGUAUAGGCUAGUCGAUCUAUACCAUGGCAUUGGUUCAAUAGCCAUGUUUUUGGUGGCUCCAACCCUAGUCACAAUAGCUCGGGACAGCUGGAGUGUUGUUAAAAAUGCAAGAGUGGUGCUUGGGUUGUUUAGCAUCGUUGGAUAUGGGUUUGCCCCACGGGUUUCUAACGGUAGGCGGCAGCUAGUGACAUCCCUGUCCGUCCUUCGUAAUCCCCCCACAUUCAGGUACGCCAUAAAUGUUCGUAAAUUAGCAGUAACUACGCCGGUACACCUGUAGGGUAUUGUCUCCCUGUAGUACCUUGGUGCAUAGAACUAAGUCCUAUACACUGUGUGUGUAUGUUUACGCUGAUAUGAUCUGUGCAGUAUAUAGGAUGUAUAUAUGAACCUAGAGCUAACUCCUAGUCCGUUCUCCAUAGCUUAGUUAUCUUGAGAUGAUUCUUCUGUAUGUGUAACACUACCCAUCUUAUCAUUAUCCUUGAUCCUGUCUUGUGUAAUAUAUCUACUCAUCCUAUGAUAUACUCAUAUGCAUAGUAAACUAUUUUGACCUACCCGCCUUCCUUUGGGAAAUAUGAUACCUUGGAAUAAUCCUAGGUGAAAUCCUACAACGGUAUAUCCAUGUAAAUGCGGAUUUAUUCAUGACCAUUAAAUAUACCAACAAUCAUCACUGUGAGUUUUGGGCGUCGUUAGUGAAGGGUUGGUAGUGAUGGGCAUCCCCUUCACCAAUGGACCUGGAACCGGCGGUGAUGGCUAUUAUAAAAAAGGGGACACCACCCAGCGUACCCCACGACCCGGCCGGCCGCACCUCCCAUCAUCCCCGCCAGCCGCCCUUCCUUUUCGCCGGCCGAGCAUGGUCCCGGCCUUUGUCCCUACCACCUCGCCUCCACCGCGACCCCCCGCCGAUGCCCUCGUGCCUGGCCCCCCUCAUCUUGCCGGCCACCCUCCCGAUGCGUCCACUGGGGCCCUCGCACCACCAACCGCCCUUGCUUAGAGAGGGAGAGAGAGGAGGGAGGUGAGGCCACGCACCUCGUCCUACACCGCCGCUGUUUCUCCUCGGCCCACCGCGCCUCACCCCACACCACAGCCGCGCCUUGCCAUCUUACCGGCUGUGACGCCUCAUCUCACCGGCCACCGUUCCUCACCCCCACUUCGGUCGUCGCCGCUCCUUGCCCUACCGCUGCUCUUUGCCGCUGCGAAUGAGCGCCGAGUGGAGGAGGAGGGAUGGGGCAGGAGGAGGGCAAGAUCCGGGAGGAAGGGAGAGAUCUCGGGAGGUGGAGAUGGAAGGAUAUGGCGGAAGGGAGAGAUCCAGAGGGAGAGAGCAGGGGAGAGAGGGGGGCGUGUGGGGAGAGAGCGCGUGUGGGGUGGGGCCGGGCUGGUGGGAUGGAAGGGAGAGGGGCUAGACGGGCGCAGUGCAUUCAACUGGAUGAAGUAAAUAUUUUGGAUUCGAGACCCCAGCUUUAUUAUCACCGCUGGUCCGUAGUACCAUCCGGUGCCUGCUCGUAAUUUAAUUUGAAUCUGCGGUGAUGUUUUAUUAUCACCAUCGGAUCAUAUAAAAAUCCGGCGGUUAAAAAUCCGCUGGUUUCGAUGAAAACCGACGGUGAUAGGAUGACUGUGAUAGUCUCUUCUCUAGUAGUGGUAUAUUAGUACCGGCUGCCGGAUGGUGUUGCCGACCAGUACUUCUCCGGGGGCGAUUCAGUACUGCUGUUAGCAAAGCUUGUUCUCUAUGAAUUUGGGGAUGGAAAGCUAGUUCUCUAGUUGUGAUUUGUUACAUAUAUAUCUAUGAUAGUCUAGAAAUUGCAUGUCCUUCGUUGACAUAGUUGAAGCUGCUUCAAGAAUUUACUUCGUGCAGUCGUGCAGCAUAUUGGAUUAUCACCUAGACAGGAUACAUAGGUGAAGCAUUGGAUGUGAUUGUGGCCGAUAAUUAUGCAGGACGCUGUUGCAAUCAACCACCAAGAAGUCUGGAGUGAUGGGGUUGCCUCAUCAAUAAUUUUUAUAUAUGGCUGCAGUAUUAUUAAGCCCACGUCAAUAAUUUUUUGUCCGCACCAUAUAUCGAUGGGGUUGCCUCAUCAAUAAUUCGCGCAACCAGACAAGCUGCAGACUCAAUAUGGUACGAAGCUAGUUGCUCAGCCCACAUGCUCUGAUAUAACAUUGACAUCUGCUGAUCUACAGUAUAUAUGACCAGAAAUAUUGUGCCCACCUCAAUAACUUUCUGAAGUAUCGUGGGGAAGAACCUACGCGUACUAUGCCUCGGAACUAACUGACAUAUCGGCCCAGGCGGUCUAGGCCGAUUGGACUGGCUCUUCCUUGUGGCUUCUCACAUCCCCUUCGUCCCCAAGUAAUUUCAGGUGUUCUGUAGUUUUCUUUUCACUUGCAUCUGAGCCUCCUAUAUCAAUAGCUUCGGGAUAAGAAUGCCUCUUGAUAACCUUCCAAAUCCUCGCUUGAUUCACAUUGAUUCCGAAAUCAUCUUGCCAUAUCUUCAGAGACUUAGGUCCUAAGGCAUCAUGGAGGAUUGCUCGCCAAGAAUGAGCACCAUUGGGCUCCUGAGGACCCUAGGCCGAUCAGCCCGGGCUCUAUAGGUCGAUUGGCCCAGGCCCUCUCUGGGCCUGUUGGCCUUCAUCUUUCUUUGAGUCGACGCUUAUUCAGGGCUUUGUCCAAUUAUAGUCCAUUAUAGUCUAAUUUCCUAAAAAACAGAAUGUCCUCCAAAAUACAAUGCAUAUGUGAAAACAACCCAAUUAUUAGGUAUGAUCAAUAGUUUAGGUAUUAAAUUAAUAUUAUUAUUUAAGAUAAACAGGGGUAAAGGGUGUCAUUAAUAACAAGCGCCAACAAGCGUCCUAGCUGUUCAAUAAAUUUUUUCUAGUACCGAUUGGUAACACUAACCGGUGCUAAUAUGUACCCUUUAUUACCGGUUAUUUUACCAGGUACUAAAGGAGACAAGAGCAUCCUAACAUAAGGUUAAUAUCAUCCAUUUCAUGAGUAAAAUACUAUGAUUCAAAAAUAAUUCAAAUCCCUUAAGACAAUACCUAUCAAAUGAGUAAAUUGUAAAUAGAGUAAUCUUGAUCAAACAAUGUCCUAAUGAAACGGAACACUUCUGGUUCGUGUAGAGCACAAUAUAGAAAACAGUAGGGUAGCUGUAUGAUUGACACGUGGUCCAUUAAUUAUUGAGCCAACACUAUGGACAUGUCUUCAUGAGUAGUGUACUAGUCAUAAUACAUGGUAUGCAGUAGGUGGAGGUAUUGACUUAGCCAUGCUAUGAGCACUUAGUUACAACAAACACUUUGCCAUUAUCGAGCAUCCCAAAUCACUACAAAAUCCAUAGUUUACCAUAUACUACAAAAUCUGAGUUAAAAUAAGAGCAUACACGGAAGAGUCCGAAUGCACGGCACAUUGAAUUACUAGACAAAAUUUAUGGGACAAGGUUUUGGGUAACCGCAUGAAAAAUAUUGGAUUUUACUGAACACUUAGUUACAAUUACCAUGCCCGUGAGCACUUAGUCACCACAAACAUUUAACCACUUUAGAUCAUCCUGAAUCCCUAUAAAUUCUAUACCUUACACCGUACCAUGAAAACGACAAGAACAGAGACAGAUGCGGUGAAAAUCUCCAGAGCAAGCCUGAAAUUAAAAUAAGAGGAGGCAGUCACUAUCGACAGGACACGGAGAUUGCUAGCCAUGACAGAGGAAGACAUGAUAUGAUAUUCACCUCUGAAAUGCAGCGUAGACUAAAUGAAGCACAAUUGCAAGUGAGUGUGGCAGAUAAUGGACCAUCGAGACCAUCGAAUGGUAUGAAGCAUGAUUAUCACCUAGACAUGAUAUCCUAGACAGGACGGUGAAUUGUAAAAAGAGUAAUCUUGAUCAAAGAAUGUCCUAAUGAAACGGAACAUUUUUGGUACGUGUAGAGCAAAAUAUAGAAAACAGUAGAGUAGUUGUACGAUUGAAACUGCAUCCAUCGACGUGGUGCAUGAAUUGUUGAGCCAACACUGUGGACAUGUCUUCAUGAACACCAUCUAGUGAGGACAGCAUGCAGAAAAAUAUAAAAACAUGUCAUAGGGAGGCAGACCAAUCUUGCGAGGUAGACGAAACGUGAUACACGAUCUGCCUACCUUGUCGUGUGGAUACCCCAAGUGAAGAUGUCAUAGAGGUGCAGACCAAGCUAGCAAGGAGGUAGAUGAAACGUGAUACACGGCCUGCCUACCUUGCCGUGGAUAUUAGUCCUGAUAUCAUUCUAUUGUUCAAGGAAUAACACUCAAUGCUGCUGCUGCUGCUGACCUGGCUCCAUAAAGUUAUAUUCCUCUAGCCGCUUGCACUAACUUUAUCUGAAGUAUUAUUCUCUCUGCACUGUAUAUAUGGUUACGGAGUUUGCUGGAGUAUCCGGGGGGAAGAACCUACAUAAUAUGUCUUGGAACUAACUGACAUUGAUUCACAGACAAGGUGCUGUUGUUGACAUGGUACAGUAAAUAAUAUAGUUUACCAUAUACCGUAUACCAUUAUAUGUUAGCUAAAAUAAGAGCAUAACAUGUCGCAGGAGUCCAAAAGCACCGGUUGAGGACCAGGUACAUUAAAUUACUAGAAAACAAAAGGGGACAAGGUUUAGGUAGCCACAUGAAAAACAUUUGAAUUUACUGUACCAUGAACACUUAGUUACCAUGCCGGGAGCACCUAGUUAACACUAACAUUUAGCCACUUUAGAUCAUCCCGAAACACCAAUGACCCUCAAUAGCGACAAAUUUUGGUUUAAAUGCCGUCACCAAUGAUCCUCAAUAGUGACGUGUUUAGGUUUAAAUCCCAUCACUAAUAACCCUUGGUAGUGACGUGUUUUGGUUUAAAUCUCAUCACCACUGAUCCUCACUAGUGACGUGUUUUUAGCAACACACGUUAUGAAUGACUUGUCAUUGGUGACAUGUUAAACGCGUUAUCUCAAUGGCAAAUCAAUGGUGACGUGUUUAAAAAAACAUGUCACUGUGAGAGUUAUUGGUGAAGGGUAAUUAAAAUGCAUCACUAAUUUUGUAGCAUUAGUUAUGAUAUAAUUUUGUAACGCAAAAAUCUACCAUAGUAAUGAGGUUUAGAGCCAUCACUAAUGUGGGUUUCUUAUCGUAGUGAUGCAAGCUCUACAAGGUGCUGUUGUUGCCAUUUUAAAGCAUCCCAAAUGACUACAAGAGUCCGGUUGAGGACUAAACAAAUUGAAUUACUAGAACCAAAUGUAUGUCCAGAACAAAGAAAGGGGUCAAGGUUUGGGUAACCGCAUUAAAAACAUUGAAUUUUACUGUACCAUGAACACUUAGUUACCAUUACCAUGCCUUGAGCACCUAGUUACCACAAACAUUAAUUUAGCCACUUUAGAGGUUCCACAAUCACUAUAAAUAAUAUACCAACACCGUACCAUGAAAACAUCAAGAAGAGAGACGGGUACAUGGACCACCAUCAAGUGAGUAGUGACAGCACGCACAAGAAUACCCGGAACCUUUUAGCUUGUCUGUAGUGAUCUGUUUUCUUCGCCACAAAUAAUGAAAGAGGCUGACCAAGCUAGCAACGAGGUAGAGCAAACGUGAUACACGUAGGUUUCAUUCAAGACAUCCAUGUAAGAUUCAUUCAAAACAUUCAUGGAAAUUUCUUGUAAGUUUUCAUGUAAAUUUCAUUCAAGACAUUUGUUAGAGGUGUUGUAUAUACACUUAACGUACAUAUAUCUAUGAUUUCAUGGUUGUUAGUGAUGGCAGAUGAGGAGCAUGCAAGGUGUUUAAUGGAGCAGAUUAUUGCUAGUGGUAGUGGCUCCAACCUGCCCGUAACGUACACCGACGAAGAGGGCAGCCAGGCGGACAUGUUCCUCAACAUGUCCGGUGAUGGCAAUGAAGAGCCCGAGCAAAACCUUGCCGUGACGGAAGGUUCCAUCGAGGUAUAUAUCAUUUCCAUUAUUUUACCCCAUCUAUAAUUUCAUAUUCAUUAUUACUAUGUGCUAAUUAAUGAAUCUUGAACCGUUAGUCCUCUAGAUCAACGAACCGAAAUAAGCCCCGAGGUCUUACAAAGAUAAUGCAGGGAAGGCUUCACAUCAUGGAAGUCACAGAAGAGGGCACAUCGGUUGCUCCCGAACAUGUGGCAAGAAAGUACGUGAGUCAAACCGGGGCAAUCGUAAGGGACAACAUGCCCAUCAGCAUCAGGGAAUGAAAGAGCAAUAGAAAUGAUCUAUACGCACCCCCGGAUACACAAAAGGAUAUGUUGUGGGCAAAUAUCAAGAAACACUUCACAUUUCCCAAAGGAUAUGUUGAAAAAUAUGUGAAAGCGUGGAUGUUGAAGAAGAUGGCCACCCAAUUCCAGACAUUCAAGAAGAUGUUGGAUGCCAACUUCAUCAAGAAGGGUCGAACUCCGGGUUUCAAUGAGUGGCCAAAGUUAAGGGACCACUGGGAGUCGUUUGUCGAAUACAAGACGAGCGAAGGUGGUGCGAGUAAGGUUCACAUCAAUGUUGCCAAUGCUAGCAAGGAGUACCAUCAUCAUCUAGGGCGACGUGGUUACAGCUCUGCAAUUCCCAGAUGGCGCAAGAUGGAACAAGACCUGAUCGAUCGGGGUAUCGUACCAGCAACUCUUGACUGGAUCGAUUGAAAAAUUGGUAUUAUGCUCAUGAAGGCAAUCUGAGCCAAGAGGAUCCGACAUUGGUCUUCAAUAAAACAAUACGUCAGAAGGUCGGAAGGCUUAUUAGGAACAUUGAAGAUGCUAAAGCUGGGAGGUUCAAGGUGGAUAGAGAGAAUGAUGAACUCACAUUGGCCCUCGGGACUGUCAUCUCUAGCACUUCCAGCUCCAGGACUAUCGUCACCACCGGGACCGUCGCUUCCUGCUCGAUCACAGUCUCCAUCUCCAGCACAUCCUGGUGGUGCGAGCGACGACGACAACAACACCCCUCCCUGCCCACCAUUGCCGGGACUAAGACCCGCAUUGAGUAAGGAACCUGCAACACCACUGAAGAAGUCGCGACCACCACCUUCAAGGCAAGUCAGCAAAAGAAGAAAGCAGAGAAGCCUAAACCCACUGAGAAGCCAGCGACUGAUAUGACCGAUGCGGAAAGAUGGAAGGCACUCAAAGAAGAAUGCAGGGAGUGGUUCAGCGAAGGCGAAGGUGAGAAAGUCGUAUGAAUCGAAUUCAAGGAUAUAUAUGAAGUGAACCAUCAGGAUGCCCUUGAUGUCUCUCUCAUCAGCGCCUAGGUUCUGUAAGUGUAUGUUUAUCUAUAAGUAAAUUUUGGCUCAUAUCAUUAUUUUUUUUGCGUGCGUCACCCUACUAACUUCGUCUUCCAUUUUAUGUAGGAUGCUAAUUCAGACGUGCCGCAUAGAAGCGUACUUCCAUGUUGGAUUCAUGGAUCCAUCCCUAGUUAACCAAAAGCCGAUACGGAAGUAGCUAGAGAAAACGUUGGAGGUGGUGUACAACCUCCUGGACAAACUAAACUACAGAAUAGGGGCAAUAUGUGAGGGUCUUGUAGGAUUCCUAGUGGACGAGGUGAUAAAUCCAUAAGGAGAAUAUCAUUCCAACGGACGAGCAUUAGACACACUGAGCAACACCUAGAUGGGAGGAUCCUAGGAAUGACCUCGACAGAUUUUGGUAUAAAUAGUAAUUGUGUAAAUACUAGUUUGAUUUGUAUAGGAAUAUACUAAGAAUUGUAUAUAUAGUAAUUGUACAAAUACUAGUUUGAUUUGUAUGAAUACUAGAUUGAUUUUAUUAUAAAAAAGUUUUAAGUCGUACGUGCAUGCGCCUACAAAGGCGCGGAUGCCUUUUAAUCCCAGUCGGAAAAACAAACUGGUACUAAAGGGGCUCGUGCCGCACCUGGCAUGACCACCCCUUUAGUCCCGGUUGAACGACCCAGGACUAAAGAUCUCCGCGUCUCAAAAAUUUUAUCUCGGAUGCUUUUUAGAGAGAUUUGAGGCCUAUCAACCAAGACUAAUAUCGAGUUUUCUACCAGUGAAACUAACUAACGUUCACAUGGUUUUGACAUUCACCUGCCAUUUGGUGUAGACAAGGGCACCCUAACAUAUGGUUAAUAUUAUUCUUGAAAGAAAAUCCUUUGAUUCAAAAUACUUCAAACCUAAUAAUACAAUACUUCUCACAUCUGAAAAAUAUGAGACGGCCCGACAGUAUUCUAAUCGACGCAAUAAUAUUUUGAGGGCAGCACUACUACAGCGACCCUCAUUCGUGCCGGUGCUGGGACUCCUAUCACGACCCUGAUACAAAUGAGGGUACAUUAUUGGUGCCAGUGCUAGAACAGCCACGAAUAACUUGCUAAACGUGCUGUUACACUCACUACAGGGACCAAGAAGGUAGAUAAAUUACACGACAUAGCCUUGGUUGCCGUGGAAGCGCCAAGAAGGGAGACAAAUUACAGGGACCACACCAUCAAGUAGAUAGUGACAAUAUGCAAAAGAAUACCCGCGCCUGUUAGCAUGUGAACUGACCACACCACGAAACGUGAUACACGGCAAGCGUACCAAGGCCUUGCUGUGCAGACUAUGCAUGGACAACACAUGGUACCUGACCGCUUUUGGCCUCAGACACAUCGAAAAACUGCAUCGUUCCACGUUGUACAUCCAUUGCUAGUUUAUCUAUAUUACAUAAUAUAUUAUUAGCUAUUUGAAUAGAAUGAACCAAUUAAAAAAUUGCGUUGUAUUUUUAGUACCGGCUGCAGGAUGGUGUUACCAACCAGUACUAAUUGGCCUGUAGGAGUGAUGGUUAUUAGACUUGGUACUGUUGUUAGCAUCAUUAACCUAAUUGUGCGCCGUAUGAAUUUGGGGAUGCAAAGCUAGCUCUCUAUGAAUGUGAGGGAUGGAAAGCUAGUUCUCUAGUAGUAAUUAUAUAUAUGACAGUCAAGAAAUCGAACACUAUGCUGCUACGAGUCACCAUCAUUUCCUUCAUUGACAAUCUGACAUAGGUGAAGCUGCUUCAAUAAUUUCCUUCGCGCAGUCGUGGAGCUUAUUGGAUUAUCACCAGGACGGGACACGGAAAUGGCCAGCAAUGAAGCUGAUUGCCGUCUGAGGAAGACUACAUACUUACCUAUGAAAUGAAGCGAUUGCAUAGACUAAUGAAGCAUUGCAUAUUUGCAUGUGAGUGUGGCAGAUAAUUCUGCAGGACAUGAUUGCAAUCCACGCACCAUCGAGAAGACUGGGGCGAUGGGGUUGCCUCAUCAAUAAUCACGUGGAUGCAUGCAUGCAUGUUCCCGCAACCGGACAAGGGUCUGAUAUAUGGCUAUAGUAUUACUGAGCCCACAUCAAUAAUUUCCACUGGUGUAUCGUGUGGGAAGAAUCAACAUACUACACCUCGAGUUCUUGGAACUAACUGACGUUCACAUGCAACCUCCACAAGGUGCUGUAUGCUUUUGACAUUCACCUGCCAGUUCGUGUAGAGAAGGACACCCUAACGUAUAGUUAAUAUUAUCCAUUUCAUGAGUAAAAUACUGUGAUUCAAAAAUACUUCAAAUCCCUUGAGACAAUACUUCUCACUUGACUAACCACUAACCAACCCCGAAACCCUAACUCAACUCCGAACCCUAACCCCUAACGGCAUAACCACUCCGUUUUGCCGGCGAGAUGGAGGAACUGGCUGGAAGGUAGAGAGGGCAGCGGUCCAGGGUUGAAAACGACGGGCGAGCGCAGUAACAUGUGGAGGAGGAAGUGCCACGUAUUCGUUCACCGCUAUUGGGCAGCGACACACGACACGCCCAAUAAGAUCUUCGCACGGUAGAAGGACGUCAUGUAUUCAAUAAUGUUAUUGGUCCCCCAUGUGCAGAAGGGCGCGCGCGUAUGGAAUAACAAGUAGGGACACUGCAACUAAUCUACUCUGCUCGUCCAGUCCCUAGCCUAUAAAUAGAUGCCAUGCUAGCUCUUGUUGUGCUCACAAUUAAUCCGAUUACACACGAGCUUCUCUCCCUGGCCAAGACACAACCAUAGUAUGAUGAAGAACAUGGCACUAGCCGGCAAUGGUAUGAAGAAGUUAAUCCUCGCUGUUCUCUUACUGUGUCUAGUUAUAGGGCAGAUACAAGUGGAAGCUAAGAGCUGCUGCCCAUCCACCACUGCAAGAAAUGUCUACAAUACCUGCCGUUUCACGGGUACAUCCCGUCCAACGUGUGCAAAACUGUCAGGCUGCAAAAUUAUCAGCGGGAACAAAUGCAAGCCCCCUAACGACCACCUCACCCUUGACCCGGACACUGGUAAAUAAUAAAUUUAUCUCACUUGAUUUCUUCGUGAUUUGAGUCGUUAAUGUAUUUUCCAUCUGAUGAAACGUAUUGGUUUUGCAUUGAAGAGGAAGUUAAUGUGCUUAACUUCUGCAAGUUGGGGUGUGCGUCGUCUGUGUGCAACAACAUCAACGCUGGUAAGCAACUUUUGCUCAGACAGAGAAAACAAUAAUCAUUAAUUAGCGGCAGCUAGAAUCCUAUAAUCUAAUAUAUAUAUAUAUAUAUAAUUUUAUCAGCUCUGGGAAAUGAAGAGGCGAACGAUGCCGUUGAGAGUUGCGACCAAGCCUGCUCUAGCUUCUGCAGCGUGCAUGUUGGCAGCGCCACCGUGGUUGCUUAAGCAAAUGCAUCCAACUAGAUCGUCCUUGUGCUGAAUAAUUGGAUAUCGUAUCCACUUAAAGCUGCCUUGUGUAGUACGUCUUUGUGUCUCUCUUUAUAUUCCAAUAAGGUCGGUGAUCUUGAUGCCACACACUCAGAUGUGUGUUCAUCUCCAGAUACUACUCCAUGCUACCUGCCCUUUGUGUUUUGUUCAAUAACUGGGUAUCAUAUCCCAGCCAGUAUGCCGUCUGUUUUGUGUUUGUUUCCUUCUAGUUCCAAAGGGGUCAUCAUGAUGUUACCUUCUUUCAAUAUGGUGCUUUGCAUGACUACUGUUGUAUGGUACCAUCUUGUGGCCAAUAAGUACAUCUUAUCCUAUGACCUUUGCUAUGACCCUUUGCAAAUAAGUAGAAGAUUGUUAUAAGCGUCAAUACUCCGUAUAAAUUGAUCGCUGCUGUGAGUUCCCUUUCAGCUUAUCGUAGGCAUACAUUAUUGCUAGCACGGUAAAGCCAACCAACACGAAUGAUGAAGUAAACGUAGCGGUACUUCUGUAUACCAACACCCUUACUUAAAUGUACCGGUGUCAUUCCCUACUGGCACAUAUAUUCUUAUAUGCUAGCCAGCUUGUAAAAUUAACCAAUUAAAAUAAUUAUUUCAAGAUAGAAAUAACUUAUCGGUUUCUGGAAGCAUGUGUAAUGUGAAUUCAAGGACUCGACGGAAGUUGAAUCACUUCAUCUAUAUUGCUUUCAGUAUUUUGGGUAACUAAAUUUAACAUUUGCACAUACAAAUGUUAAAGUACAAAUGUUAAAUCUAGUUACCCAAGCAGAAUAUGAAGAUAGUUUAUAGUAUAUAUAUACUAUAUAAAUCUAGUUAACAUUUAGUCUAAAUGUUAAAUCUAGUUACCUAAAAUCCUGAAAGCAAAAUGUAUAAAUAUAUAUCUUUUAAGGCAGUAUAAGCUUCGAUUCCUAUUGCUGCUCUGUUAAAUCUCAUCUUUCGUUGUGGCCCAACACUCUAGUAUGCAUGUUGCACCAAGCUUCUUUGAGCCGCUCUGCCCUCUGAUUUUGCUGCGUAGGGGAAUCUUUAUCAGGUUGGGCUACUUCCAGUUGUGCGAUGUAAAGAUUCGUAUUUUCUAGAAGGUAGACAAAAAACUCGCGUUCUCUUAAGGCAACAACCGGAAGAUUCUGCAGCGCACAGGGCAUACCAUUAUUGUAGAAACGACCUUUAGUACCGAUCUCCAACCCCCUUUAAAACUGGUUUUGCAACCGGUACCGUUAUGUCGGUCCUUUAGUACCAGAUCAAAUAAGUACCGGUUGGUAACCAGUAUCAACUUGUUUUGCGGCCAAAAAAAUAAAGAAAAAAACAGUCAGAAGGCUCGCACACACGCGCAUCACAUGAAAUAUGCGUGUGCGGGGUCCAUGGGAUUCGAACCCAUGAAAUCAAGCUGCACGCGACCCUUCGUUACCAUCUCACCUACAUAGCGCAUAUGCUUUCCUGAAGUAACCCGUGGAGGAGGCUUUAGUACCGGGUCAUAACACCACCCGGUACUAAAAAUGACUCUUCAGUACCGGGUCAUAACACCACCUGAUACUAGUAUCGGAUGGUGUAAUGACCCGAUACUAAAAGGCCUCUAGGGACCCUCAAAUUUGAACCCGGUACUAAUGCUAAUAUUAGUAGCGGGUCAAAGUGCAGCCAGAACUAAAGCAUGGGAUGAAAGGUCAUAUUUCUAGUAGUGUAUAGUUGUUGUGAAGGACUGACUUGGCUGUCCUCUCUCUUCUCCAUCCCCUUGGUCUUACGCCGCCGCUCGCACGCGAGCCGGUGCCCAACCAGAGGAGUGAGAGCUAGGGGCAGGUUGGGAGGUGGGGAUAGUGACUGGUGGCCAGGGUGAUGGUUGAUCCUGGUGGGGUUAGGGUUUCAGGGUUUUCGAGCUUCCUAUGGUCGGCGAACCUAGAGGAGAAGCUCAACAUCAGCUGCAACCCGCGAUGGUGGUGGUUUGGCCGGCGCCCGAGGCGAGGCAGCGCGGGAGUGCUGCCGGUGGGUUGGUGUUGGCACUCAUUAUUGACAACUAUUUUGUUCAUAAAAUAACACUCAAACUUGCUGCUGCUGCUGCUGCCAUCGCCACCCUAGCCAUAAUAUAAAGGCAAAAUUUGCUAAAGGACAUGCAAAAUGAUGCUAGUUUGCUGGCGGGCAUCGUUGACCUUGUAAUAUGCUACAAGACACUCUAGUUGUGUAUCAAUUUGCUGAAAGACAUUGCUAUGACUAAAAUAAUGUUUCUGGACUGAGUUGGAGAGAGAGAUGGAGUGAAAUGUCUGUUUUGCCCAUGACCCCACUGGUCAGAUCCUUCUUCUUCCACCCUCCUUUGUUCUUUCUUCAACCAUUACCCAGCUCCAGCGUGUUGCAGAUCUACGAGGGUGGCGGCCUGGGGCGAGGGGCAUCGCUCGCCCUUGGAGGAGCGCUGCGAGCGACGGCGCGGGGGCGGCAACAGCGCGUCAGAACCUGACUGUUCGUUAGCUCCUCUCGCUGCUGGGGAAGAAGGAGGGGGAUGGGCCAUGGACGGGGUUCCCUUGAAAACCUCAGCGUCGAGCUCGGGCGGCUACGCGCAGGCAGCACUAGGCUGCUUCACGGGGAGGGGGCGCGGCCAAUCAUUGGCACCCCACUGGUCCAAUGCUGAUGAAGAUGGUGCCAGCGUCGUGUGAGGACAUCUCAUCUCCUCGAGUUCCAUGGCCAGCACAGGUGAGCUGCCGCUACCACAAAACAGAGGUUUCGUGAGAGUCAAAAAACCUUAUGAAAAUAGCUAAAACCAUCAUGAAAAUAAUCCGUGACAUGACACUCUCACGAAAAUCCUCUCACAAAUAUGGUGCCAUGAAAAUACCAUUUUCAUGAGAGUGAACUGUCAUGAUUUUAUAAGCGUCAAUACUCGGUAUAAAUUGACUACUGCUGUGAGUUCCCUUUCAGCUUAUCGUAGGCAUACAUUAUUGCUAGCACGGUAAAGAGAACCAACACGAAUGAUGAAGUAAACGUAGCGGAACUUUUGUAUACCAACACCCUUACGUACCGGUGUCAUUCCCCACUGCCACAUAUAUUCUUAUAUGCUAACCAGCUUUGAAAAUUAAGCGAUUAAAAUAAUUAUUUCAAGAUAGAAAUAACUUAUCGGCUUCUCGAAGCUUGUGUAAUGUGAAUUCAAGGACUCGAUGGAAGUUGAAUCGCUUCAUCUAGAUUGCUUUCAGGAUUUUGGGUAACUAAAUUUAACAUUUGCACACACAAAUGUUAAUGUACAAAUGUUAAAUCUAGUUACCCAAGCAGAAUAUGAAGAUACUCUAUAGUAUAUAUGUACUAUAUAAAUCUAGUAAACAUUUAGUCUAAAUGUUAAAUCUAGUUACCUAAAAUCCUAAAAGCAAAAUGUAUAAAUAUAUAUCUUUUAAGGCAGUAUAAGCUUCAAUUCUCUGUUAAAUCUCAUCUUUCGUUGUGGCCCAACACUCUAGUAUGCAUGUUGCACCAAGCUUCUUUGAGCCGCUCUGCCCUCUGAUUUUGCUGCGUAGGGGAAUCUUUAUCAGGUUGGGCUACUUCCAGUUGUGCGAUGUAAAGCUUCGUAUCUUUUAGAAGGUAGACAAAAUACCCGCGUUCUGGAAGAUUCUGCAACGUGCACGUUGGCGCUGCCACCGUGGUUGCUUAAGCAAAUGCAUCCAACUGAAUCGUCCUUAAGCUGAAUAAUUGGAUAUGGUAUCCACUGCUUAAAGCUGCCAUGUUUAGUACGUCUUUGUUUUUCUCUCUUUAUAUUCCAAUAAGGUCGGUGAUCUUGAUGCCACACACUCAGAUGUGUGUUUAUCUCCAGAUACUACUCCAUGCUACCUACCCUUUGUGUUUUGUUCAAUAACUGGGUAUCAUAUCCUAGCCAGUGUGCCAUCUGUUUUGUGUUUGUUUCCUUCUAGUUCCAAAGGGGUCAUCAUGAUGUUACCUUCUUUUGAGGUGUCUAUGAUGACUUCGUUAAUAUCAAUAUUAACCAAUUCAAUCUGUCUUAACUAUUUGUAAGGGGUAUGAUGUAUGCAUGAUUAUAACAAUGAUUGCGCAUACAAUCGCCGCCAAAGAAACGGUCAAUACCAUUAAGACAUAUUACAGACAAUUCUCAUAAUCUAUAAUGAAUAUACAUAUUCACUACUGCAGAAGACUGUCAUUUGUAUCGGCUCAUACGUGCCAGGGCAAAGGUCACCCUUGCAUUAAGUACAUUUGCACGGUAAAGACAACCAACACGAAUAAUGAAGUAAACAUGCCGGUGCUUUUGUACACCAACACGCUUACUUAAAUGUACUGGUGUCAUUCCUCACCGGUAGCCGGCUUGAAAAUUAACCAAUUAGAACAAUUAUUUAUUGUAUCGGUGUGAUUUUUGACCUAUUGGAAUAUGAAUUUGACCGUUACUGCAUUCGUCAAGACUCAAGAGAGAAAUAACUGAUCGGCUUCUUAGAGCGUGUGCAAUGUGAAAUCAAGGACUGGAUGGAAGUUGAAGCGCUAGCACUAGUAGAGAAACGACUUUCCAUCCACCCCCUUUUGUCCCGGUUUAAAGUUGGCUCGGGAUAAAAGGUUCACCAACCGGGACUAAAACUCAGUCACUGGUGGGAGGCUCACCAACCGGAACCUUUUAUCCCGGUUGCAAAGGCUAAUGGGAAAAAAAGACUCUGAGAGGCCUUUUAUCCCGGUUUGAAACACCAACCGGGAUAAAAGACCCCCCUUUUAUCCCGGUUGGUAACACCAACCGAGAUAAAAGGGUCAAGAGCCUUUUAUCCCGGUUGGAAACACCAACCGGGAUAAAAGACCCCCUUUUAUCCCGGUUGGUGUUUCAAACCGGGAUAAAAGGGCCCCCACGAGGUGACUGGAAGGUGACUGGAAGGGGAUUAAAUCGUGGGGGACCCUUUUAUCCCGGUUGGAAACACCAACCGGGAUAAAAGGGGGUCUUUUAUCCCGGUUGGUGUUUCCAACCGGGAUAAAAGGGUCCCCCACGAGUUAAUACAAAAGGAUAGUAUCCCCUACAUAGUCAGAUGUGGUGUGUAGGUGGGAUGGUAAGGAAGCUACGCGCGAGCUCCGGAAUUUUUUUUUUUUUUUUUUGCAGCGUCGGCGCUCUCUACCCUUUUAUCCCGGUUGGUAUUACCAACCGGGAUAAAAGGGGGUCUUUUGUCCCGGUUGAGUGACCCGGGAUAAAAGACCCCCCCUUUUUUCCCCGGUUAGUUUAUCCCGGAUGCAUUUUCGGGAUAAAAGCACCCUACCAACCGGGAUUAAAGCUCACUUCUCUACCAGUGUAGCUUCAUCUUCCGCUGCAAGUUAAUUGCUUGGAUAAGAAGUUGUAGCCGCUGCAAGUUAUAAAUAGUCCCGCUGAUGCUGUGCUCCGAAGUCUAUACUAUAUAUGCGGAAACUAGAUUGCUUUCAGGAUUUUGGGUAACUAAAUUUAACAUUUGUACAUAAAAAUGUUAGUUUACGAAUGUUAAAUCUAGUUACCCAAGCAGAACAAGAAGAUAGUAUAUAGUAUAUACUAUAUAAAUCAAGUUAACAAUUAGUCUAAAUGUUAUAUCUACUUACCCAAAAUAUUGAAAGCAAAGAAAGAAUAAGUAUAUAUCUUUUGUUGGAAAAUUGGUCCACGGAGAGGCCCAUUUAGGCCUCGUUCGUUUCACCGGGAUGGGAUUCCAGUCAGGAUUACUUCCAAGUUCGGUUUGAGUGAUUCCACCCGUGUCACUCAAUCCGGCUAGGAUUCAUUCUAUGGGUGAGGAGGUAUGGUUUCAAUCCAGGCCAUCUAAUGUAGAAGGAUUCCAAUCCAGGCCGGUUUUCGUUCCAGGCCAGACUAAAACGAACAACACUUUCAAUGCAAGUCUGGUUUCAAACCGGGCCAUUUCAAACCACCCGGAAUGGACCUCGUUCCAGGCCAAUCCGGUGAAAACAAAUGAGGCCUUAAUGGAAUCCCAAAGCAAGAGUUCAGUGGCAUUCUAUAGUCCCAUGCUGCUAGUUUGAGUUGGUCGAAGCCAACUUAAAUAGGAGAGCUCUCUCACUUCUCUAAAUACGUAACUGAAGGAGAGAAGGGGGCUUGGGUUACACAACGCACGCACGCACGCAUAUUUGCGUUCUUUUCGCGUAACCAACCGCGUGACUUGAAACUUGCGACGUAGCGUGCUGCUAAGUCAAGUUGAUAUAACCUUUUUGCCGUUUGCAUGUAAUCUUUUGACAACGGUCAUUGGAGGUGAUAAGCACGCAGUCAAUACCUUAAUCUUGAGUUAAUAGGGUGGUUACUACUGCCAAUUAGUGGGGCAAUUUUGUAGGGGAAACGGUUAGCAGAGGGCUACCGUCUUCUCUAUAAGAAGUUCUGGAGACGUCCAGGAACACACAUGUACAUGUGAGAGACCCACAAAUUCCUUCCCUUCUCCCUUUUCCAUGUGGUGAAGUGUGCUGUGGUACUGAGCUGCUUGAUCUCGCCGCUCUUCUCCUUGGCAUGCACCGAGGAGGAGGGUGAGCGGUAUCUCCGAGCUAUUGCCGUCAGGAAGCCUGCACGAGGGACAACAAAAAGUUUUUGGGUAGCGCAACUGCCAGCACAACUCUCCCUCCGCCUCUUCUUCACGGUUGAUGGCCACCACAAGCAUAAACCUCGCCUUCGCAUCCACGCAAAAGGGUCGCUGGGGUGCCUUCUUGCAUCGCUUCUCAGCCUCCUUGACUUGCGGCCAGCCAAGAACUGCGCCACCACCUCGGGUGCACGCCACCACUCCAGGGCUGCUACCCCAUGCCUGCGGCCGCCGCCGGCCACCACGCGUGUGCAACCGCGUCGCACCGCUUCCUUGCUUUGUGCCACCACUGCUGCUGUACCACCAGCUCCACCACCUUGGGCUGGUCGCCAGAGUGACUGAUAACUUAUUAUCUGUAACUACUAUUAACUCAGGGAUACAUGCGUCUUUUGCUUCUCCUACUAAUAUGUCCUAAAAUAUCUAGGAUGCCUUAUAUUUCUGGACAGAGGAAGUAUUUGAAUAAAAUGAACCAAUUUAAAAAAAUGUGUUGUACACUACUACAGAAAGACCUAUCAGUGUCAAACCCAAAAAUGUUGUCACCGCCAGUUUUGGGCAUCAUUGGUGAAAGGUUGGCGGUGAUGGGCUUUCCCUUCAACAACGGCACUGGAGCCGACGGUGAUUGACAUUAGAAAACAAAAAAGGGGACCCUACCUAGCCACCCCUGCAACCCGGCCGGCCGUGCCUCCCCUCAUCCCCACCACCUCGCCUCCCCAUGACCCCCCGCCGGCGCCCUUGCGCCUAGCCCCCUCAACUGCCCAGCCGGCCACCCUCAUCACGAGAGAGAGGUGCAUGUUGUAUAAUUGCGUGAAUUUUUUAAUGUUUAAUUUCAUGUAAGUUCCGUGUAAUAAAUUGUACAAGUUUUAUUGUAUAUAUGAAUUCCAUAUAUAUAUAUAUAUAUUUAUAAUUUAAUGUAUGGUUUCAUGUGUAUAUUUCAAUCAUGUGUAUAUUUAGUAGAUUGCCGAUUUUCUUUUUCUACUAGACAAGGGUUGAUGUAUAAUUACGUGUAUAUGUUUAUUGUACGGGCAAUUAGGACAAGUUUUGUAUAAAUUUCUUUUAUUUGAUGGUUGUUGUAUGGUUUCAUGUAUAUACAUUUAUUGUACUACUUUAGACAAUUUUUAAUUUAAUGUUUCUAUGAUUAGAUGUGUGUAUAACUAAUUGUAUUAUUAGUUAAGAUGGGAGCUAAAGAGGAUGAAAGGUAUAUAAUGGAGCAGAUUAUUGCUAGCUCAAACGUUGCAAGAACCUACACCGAGGGUGAGGGUAGCUAGGUGGACAUGUACCUCAACAUGUCCAGUGAUGGCAAUGACGAUGAGGAGCACGAGCAUGACAUCUAUGAUAAUGCGGAACAAGACAUUGCAGAAUUGGAAGGUUCUAAUGAGGUGUGCUUCAUGUUGACAAUCUAGUUGGCUUUUUUUCGUUGGUCACACCUUAGUUACCAUAGAACUUCGUCUCGGGAGAAGAUUGGUGGUGGUAUGGUGAUUGGAAUUUUAUUUCCACGAAAUCUGAUUUCCAUCGAAUCAUAUCCCUUGUAUUUAUCUUCUUUUUAUUUGUGAGAGCAUCUUCUUUAUGCUUGCAAAACAAUUCAAGUGCACAUACUACCCCUAGGGUGACGAUUGGGAGUAGAAAUAAUUGCCAACAAAACAACACCACAUCCUAAGAUUCUUAACUUGUGGCAUAAUUAGUCUAGUAAAAAGAAAGAUAAAAACCUAAUGGGUGUAUGUGAGUGCAAUGUGUAUAUGCAUAUGAGUGGAAGGCAUAUAAGCAAAGACAAUAUUUACACAUAGUUCUAAACACCAUGUUUACAGCUAGGUUGCUGAAUUUCUCCAUAGCCAUAGAGAUUAAUUAACCAAGGUCAAAACACGAUGUCUAUCCCAAGAUCAGUAAUUAUUUAUAGCACAAGAAAAAGAAAGCGCAUUGCAAAGUUUAUAAACCAACCAAUACAGCAUGAAAACAAGAUGAAUAGCUAGCAAGGUUUAUUAAACUGAAUGAUGACGGUCUGUAAGCAAGUUUAAACACCAUCUUUACACAAGAUUGCAAAUGGAAAAUGCCCAUAUGAAGCACUAACAUGGAUAUGAAAUCAUUCAUCAUAAAGCGUAAAGAACAACCAAGCCAACCAUAUGCAAAGCAUGAAUGGAAUGCAAUGAAGGUGCAAGAGAACAUUUUUGGAUGAACACAUUAUGAUGAUGGCAAAAUGCAAUGCAUGCAGAAAAAAUAAAUAUGAACAUGAAUAUGAUGAUCAGGGGCGGACCCACUAUUGUGGCCUGGGUAUUCCUCGGCAUACCCAAUAUUUUUGGGAAAAUGUUUAGUAGUUUUUAAUGGCAUAUACAUGUAUAAUAUAGUUUAGGUGUUAAAAUUGAUAUUCACAGCUAUUUUGGGCUCCAAUUCGCGUCCAAACCAACCUGGCCCACAGACCGCACCCGGCCGCCCGGCCCAUCGGCCCAUCUUGUCACUGAUCCUCCCACCACCACACUCAGCCCGUCAGUUAGUCAGGUCCCGAGCUCCUGCCUGACCUAGUCCGCUACCACCGCCAGGCGCCAGGCACAGCUGUACACGCCGCCCCCGUCCACCCACGUCCGCCGCACGGCCGCGUCGCGCCCCCCCCCGGCGCCCGCUGCUGCCAGAACCCAUUAGGCCUCCACCGGCAAGUCCACCCACAGUCCCGCGCGACGCGGCAGCCUCUUGGCUCUCGGCGCUCGCGGCGCGCCAAUGCCUGCGCAGCCCCAGCAGGCGACUGCCCCCCCCCCCCCCGCAUCGGGCCUCGGCCCCUCCCCAGCUCCCCCUCCCCCCUCCACCAGGACUGCCUGCUGGCCCCCACCGCGAGGUAAUCGAAAUGGACUGCUCAAUCUCUCAAUCUGUUGACAUGAUGCACACGGUUGCAAAAAUAGAUGUGUCAAAAUAGAUGUAUUGCCAAUUGCUAUAGAUGCAUAUGGUUGACAUGAAGAAGUCAAAAAUGACAUUUGGUUCCUUGUAGGCAGUCAAAAAUGAAGAAGUCAAACAAUAUUGAUCUGAAAUCAAUGCGGGAAAGGGCUACGAAGACACACGGGUAGAUUCCCUUGUGAACUUUUUAUGUCGUUCGUCUAAAUAUAUUUUUGCAAUGGGCAUACCCUACUCUGAAAUCCUGGGUCCGCCACUGAUGAUGAUGGUCUAAACAUAAAACAAGCCUAGAUUAAUUAGCUACAACUGAAAUUAAGCAAAGGUUAAUGUCAUUGACCCUAGCUCUAUCCUAGCUUUUACUAAAGUCCCGGCACAUAUAGUGGUUGGGCCCACUCUCUCUACUUCCCUCUCUGCUGCAUGCACACACACGAGCAACUGGAGGCCCAACAAAGCCCAGAAGGGUUCGGCCGAACCCGUCCGAUCCAGUCUGAGCGCCGCUCCCUCCCAGCCUUCGCGCAGAUGCUCCUCCAACGUUCCUUGACCCCUCCCUCAGUGUCCCAUUGGGUUUAACAUUGUAGGAGAGGAGUCCCUUUUUUAAAAUCUCAACCACCUCCUCUCCUCAUUCACUCCACUCUCAUCUCCAUCAAACUCACCAAGAUCCACAUCGGAAAUACCUGCUUACCACCAUGGCUGGCAAAGCCCUCGUCCCUUUCACCAACUUGGGCUUGACCAUUGAUCUCGAUGGGAAAAUCACUCCAGCAAAUGUCAUUGUCCCUGUCGGCGAUCUGGCGAUGGAGGAGGUCCAGGCACUAGAGGUCGAGCCCCUAGCCAUCAUACCGCCCAAGGGGUAAAGCAGGAGCAUGACAGGCGCUGCUAGGGGUUCAGCCGAACUCCCAGUUCAGCCAAACGAGGACGGCGUCGCCUCGGCCUCCCGCUCGACUGCAUGCUUCCCCUUGCCAAGGAGGACUCCAGAACAGCGGGCGCGUGCGUCAAGUCCCUACAAAAGGCUGAAAUACAAUGAAUAUCCAGGGUCACCCUUGAAGAUGGGUGAACGCUACGCCGGGUCCUUGUUUGACUAGUACGGCGAUGCAUUCUGCCACCGCUAUGUCGUUGUCGAGAUUAGCGGAUCAAGACUUAGACUAGUAAAUUUCUUUUAUGCGCGUAAGGCUUCAGAUGGUGGCGUGGGAGACAUGGGUUUUAUACUAGUUCGGGCAAUGGAAUACCCUACGUCCAGUGUCUGGAGCUGCUUGUGUUGCCCACGCGGGGUUCUGUAGUAGGGGUUACAGGUGUGCGAGAGAGGGAGCUAAUCCCAGGUCUCUUAGGCGUGUUCCGGUCCUCUAGAUGGGAGAAGUGUGUUCUGUUUGCUUGGGAGUAUCGGUUGUGUCUGAGUUGUCUCCGGAGCCUCCUCCCGUCUCAGGUCCCCGAUUCUCCUUUCAUAGCACAAGGAGACCAUCGGGGUUACAGACGAGACCGAGCGUGGGGAGGAGUAAAGAGAUAAACAUAGCUAGGUAAAAAUACAACAAGAAAGGGGGGAACCAAGUUUCUAGGUCACCGGCGUCCUCGCCGGCCUUCGACUUCCGCCGGCGCAUUUGUCGGAGGAGGGUGGCCGCCAUCGCGUUCUGUCGAUGGCUUCCUCGGUGACUGUAGCCACCGGGCGUGAUGAUGGCAUUUCGUCGUGACCCUUUGUCUGUUGGGGGAGGCGGCGGAUCCUGCCAUUCUGCUGACGGCUCGCGGAGUGCGAACGUCGCAUCCCUGCCGCUGGGCACGCGGGGCGCGAGAACGUGCGAGGCUUCCCCCUACCCCAGGCGGCGCAGGCCAUGAGUGCCCUGUGGCAAAUCGGAGGAGGCCGCAGCUACUGUAGCUUGUACUGUGCAGCCACGUAUGGGUACUUGUGGCAGGUUGCGUGGUGGAUGCGGAUAUCCUUCUCCCUGACAGAUCUGCGGCGCAUUUAUGGCGAGAUCGACAUGGGGACCCACAAGACCCGCGCCCAAGGCGGAUACUUGUCUGGAGGGCCCGGGUUAGCCUGACCCCCUACGCUUGGGGUCGGGCGAGGCGGAGACUUGCGGCGGGGCGUCGGACGCUCCCGACACUAGACCUGCGGUCGCGCAAGGCGGAGCUUGGUCUUCCGGGGGUCGGGGGUGCCGGACCCCAGGAUGCGGGGUCGGGCGAGGUGGAGCGUAAUUCUUGCCUCCCAUGUUGGGCCGAUGGCAGUCUUUGUUACCUCUAGUGGGCUUGGGCCUUUAUGUUUUGUUGUUUCCAUGGGCUUCGAGAGGUCGUUAAUAUUUCCCCCCAACAGUAGCCCCCGAGCCUGUGGUGGAGUGGGGGCGCUCCUCCGGAGGCUACUAUCAUCGCCCCUAGGGAAUCCUCGCAGUUGAUCCGGGAUAGGAGGUGUUGUUUGCACGGCUUGACCGAGGGGGUCGAUUAGGCGACGCAUCCUGUGAGCGACUCGGUGCGGGAGGGUUUCUUGUUGUUCCCUUCUGUCUGAGAGCCUUAAGUCGAGACCACCUGCGUGGCCUUUGGUUGCAAGGCCAGCCCCCGAGCCCCCGCACGUUGCAGGGGACCGGUCGGAGGCUAGGUCGACUUUUGUUCAUUACCCUCAAGCGUCUGUUCGCUAGGACGGAGGGGGCGAGCCGUGCCAUGCUAUCCUCAUCGGACGAACCAUGGUGCUCAUUGAGUUACUAACGGGUUGAUUCGAGUGGGAUCCCGGUCCCCGUUCGGGGGGGGUCCGGCUUGGGCCAAGCUGGUGGCGUACCCCAGGCUCCGGUCGGCCAGUUCAUAUAGUUCCUGAGUCCGUUCGGUCGGACCGGGGGCUCAUUGCCUUUCUUCGGGGAAAAACCAUGAACUUUGAUGCCGGUCCAGACUCGAAUGUGAGAUUGAGACGCCCGGGGCUGUCGCGUGCCCGGGUGAUGGCCGCUAGCGGACCCGUCUCCUCUCACCCCUCACUCGGGGGUAUCCUGAGGCGGCUGUCGAACCCGUGGCGGGCCAGCCUUCGAACCUCUGGAUCGUAAUGGGCCGUAGGGGCGUUUUCAGCCCCGUAUCCCUUUUUACCUUUUGGUGGGCCUUGGGCCGAAUCAUGGAGGAGGUCGGGCCUUGGGCCGGAUGCGGAGGAUGUCGUGCCUUGGGCCGGAUGUGGGGGACGUCGUGCGUGUCUUCCGGGAGACGAAGUGGUGGAGGGUGCCAACCCGCGAAUCGAGGGAGGAGGGGAUGUUUCUACUGCAGGUCAUGCGCACGGUUUCCGAAAAGGCAGCGGGCGUGACGGGACGUACCUCGCGCCGCAUUUAUUGCGAUGGGGGCGUCUGUUCUGCUUCCCUCGUGCCUUCCCUAUAAAACGAGGACUUCGCCUCGCCGGUUCCGCCCGCCAUCUACCUUCAAGCCUUUUCGCCUCCUCGCGCGCCCUUAGCUUUCCUGUGCCCGCUUCGUCUUCCUCCGCCCAGUGCCGCGCCCUUUCUCCCCAUCCGCCGUCGAGUUCUUCUCCCUCCGGCGAUGGGAUCCUGGGCGCGUUCCCACUUCGGCCCCUCACGCGCCGAAGGCCUAGUGAGGAAAGGCCUCCUUUGCGAGAGGACGGAGACGGAUGAGUGGGGGUUCCCUGAGAUGGAAGAGGUGCCGACUCCGCCCACCGGCUACGUCGUUUCCUUUGCCCACUUCCACGAGAGGGGGUUUGCGACUCCGCCGAGCCUCUUCUUCCGCGGGCUUUUGUAUUACUACGGGCUUGAGCUGCAGCACCUCAACCCCAACGGGAUUCAGCACGUCGCGGCGUUCGUUGCGGUGUGCGAGGGGUUCCUGGGCAUUGAGCCCAACUUCUCGCUGUGGAAGUACUUCUUCACGGUCAGCCUAUACCAGAAGGCCGAGAAGAGGGGAAGCCAGCAGCGGUCGACCCCGGUGCCGAUAGGGUGCGUCGGAAUCCACCUCUGCCAUACUCGCGCCAAGGAGUAUAUCGCGAUGAAGACCGCGGCAUCCCACAAGGGGUGGCACCAGCAAUGGUUCUACGUGAAGAACUACUCCAACCCCCCCUGCCGGAGUUCACCGGCCGCAUUAUUGAAGCGGCGCCGGAGGUGUGGGUGUACGGCCCGGUGGAGAAGGAGAAGAAGCGGAUCACCGGCCUGCUGCAGGCCAUCGAGCACCUGAAGGAGAGGGGACUGACCGGAGCCGGAGUCAUCGGGGCGUACCACGCCCGGCGGGUGGCGCCGCUGAUGCUCCGGGUCCGCUCGCUCGCCGACAUGACCCCCGGUGCUCUCACCGAUGGCACUGUCCUCGCGACGGGUGCUCUCGCUGCCUCCGAGAUCCGGCAGCGGAUCCGGGAGGCGCUGGAGGACAAGGACGCCGAUUACCCGGUGCCCGGCCACCCUCCGAUGCGCCCGGACGAGAAUUUCAUUGAUCUGGUAAGGAUUUUGCGCGCCAGUUUCCCUCUCUUGCGUUUCUUGGUAUGCCGUUCUGACGCGAGGCCCUCUGUGUUUGCAGGGUAGCAUGACCCGGGUCGUCGACUUGCGUCCGCCAGUGUCGGAGGACGCCGAGUGGCGGUAGCAGAACCGUCUCCUUGCCGAGAAGCAAAAGUGACGCAAGGACAAGAGACAGCGAAGAAGAAGAAGAGGGCCGCCAAGGAGUUCCAGCGGCGGCGGUGGGGAUAGGUCGUGUCGGAUGACGAUGACGAUGAGAAGGAGGAGGAGGAUGACGAGGAGGAGGAGGAGUUUAUCCUGUCCCCCCGGUCAGGGGCGCUUGUUAUCCGGGAGCCGCGCUCCCAAGCGGCCAUGGGGGACAAGGCGGGCGAGCUGCCUGCCCGGACCCGAUCCUGCGAAGCUUUGGGGGCGCGCCCCAGGGGUCGGCGCAGAGCGCCCCCCGGGGGUCGACGGAGCCGACCCCCAUCCCUACACCUGCAGCCCAGGAGCAGAGGAGCAGCGACAAGCGGCCGUUGCCAGAUGCCCCGGGGUCGGCGUCCAGCUCAGAGGCGAAGCGCGCGCGCCGCCCUUGCGCUGGGGGAACGUGAGUUGAAUUUCCUUGCGAAUCUCGUUCCUUUCCAUGCAUUGUGUUUGUUUCCGCUGAUGCUGUUUGUUGUCUCACAGCACCGCCCCUCAAGGCCUUGUCCCGCCGUUGGCGCCAAAGAAGGCGUUGCGGUGUUGUCGCCUCUGCGGGGCGGACCGCGGCUCCGCCGGCGGCGAGUGGCGGGGUCACUGGUGAGACCGCGGGUCCUACCGCGGAGGUGGCCCCUGCGGCGGCAACCGGUGGAGUGGUGCCACCGCCGGGCAUGGGACAGGGUCUGGACCCCGCUCCGUCCUCCGCCUCUUCGGCCGACCCCGCGGUGCAGAGUAUCGCUCCUGGGGGCCCUCAGGCCGGGGAGGUGAUUGACCUCGACGCCGACGAGGUGGAGGAGACGGCGGCGGUGGAGACGGGGGCGGUUGCCCCAGCGGCCAUGACGGGGACGACGACGGCGACGGGGGAAGGAGAGUCUACCCCCGCGGCCACGGCGGGGACAGUGGCGACAGAGGAGGCGGGGACGCCCGCCCCGGCGGCUGCGACGGAGGAGGCGGCGGUGACGGAGACGGGGGCUUCCGCCCGGGAAGCCACAGCCGAGGUGGCAGCGGCGACGGAGGUGAAAGUGCCUGUUCUGGAGGCCACGGUGGGGGUGGGGACGCCUGCCUCGUGGCCACGACGGAGGGCGAGGCGGCCCCAGGGACACUUGCUCCGGCACCCGCGUUGGAGGCGGUGGCGCCGACGGGUUGGCCCGUGGCGGCCUCGACGGGGGCGGGGGUGCGUGCGCCGGGACCGUCGGUGAGGCCGGCGACUUCCGGGAUGGUGGUGCCCGUCUUGACGGCGGCGGCGGCGCGGUCGGCCCCCGCCCUUGCCUCUACCACUCCCAUUCCCAAGGCGUGGAGCGGAUCCGUCCUGCGUUGGUCGUCUCGUGACGACCCGCAGAGGCCCCUCUUCACGUUGGAUGAUGCCACAGAAUGGGGCAAGUGGCAGGCGCUGCAGGGCGGACUCGCUAACGUCCGCGCCGCUCUAUCUUCGGCGUUGGGGGAGCUGGACGGCGUCAUCUUCCCCGGUGGCCGGGUAUGGUGCUUUCUCCGUUGGUUAUUUUCUUCCCGUUACUUCGUCCCUGAUGGCACAUUGUUCUGCAGGCCCUCCAAGAAUGUAGCCGGGGAAAAUCUGAUUUCCUUUGGCUCGAGCAGGGGCUCUGGGAGCGCUUCAACUUGGAGUUGCAGCGGACCGGGGAGCUGACCAUGCAAGUCGCCACCGUCUAGCAUGUCAUCGACGAUCUGCGAAGGCACGAGCAGGCGGCACAGGAGGACGCGCGGCGGGCGGAGGCCAAGUUCCAGGUCGUUGCCGAAAGGGCUCGCUGCGACCGCGAGGAGUUCCAGGCCGUUGCCGAAAAGGCCCGCCACGACGCUGAGGAGCUCGCACGGCUGAAGGUGCAGCAUGAAGCUCUUCAGAAGAGCGGCAGAGGGCCUGGCAGGACCGGGACGCCGAGAAGGUCCGGAAGGAGGAGGCUGAGAAGGUGGCGGCCAACCUUGGGGCUGAGGUCAGCCAGCUCCAAGUGCAAGCGCGAGAGCUUCAGGCCUCCGUGGCCCAGGGGCUCGACCAGGAGCGCCAGCUGAAGGCCUAAUCCGAGGGUAUGACUCUGUUUAUUUCUUUGUCUUUGUGAUGUUGCGGUGAUAUUUUAUUUGGCGGGUUCUUCUGGAUGAUCCUUGCAGAUGAGCUCAACUGGCUGAGGGAGGUGCUUGACGCGGAGCGCGCUGAGCACGGCGACCUGCGGGACGCGGUCCGCGUCAUCUGUGACUUCCUUAGUGUGGUCCAGGGGGAGGGGACGAGCUCGCUGGCGGCUCGUGUCCUCGGGACGUACCGCCGGACCAGCGAGAUCGCCCUGGAAGCGCUUCGCACCGGCUUGAGGCAAGCCUUUGGGGUCUUCGGCUCCCACUAUUCCGGCAUCAACUUCGCCGGGAUGAGCGGGGGAUACGCCACCGGCUACUACGAGGCCGAGCUGGAUGAGAUCGACGUGUCGGUGCUCAGCCCGGCGGAGGCCUUGGUGAAGCUCCUCGAGGAUGAGGCCGUCCCGCCCGAAGAUCCCCGGACGAGUUAACUAUAUCGGGCUGGCGCCCCAGAUGUAAAUACGUUAGGGAAAGACUUGUUUUUUGUGAGGGCCGUAGAGGCCUUUUCUAUGAAUUGUCGUAAAAAAGUUUUUGAUUCCCUUUCUUGCUUUUUGGACUUGGAAAGUUUAGAGCACGUUGUCGGGCGUGUCAGUAAGCUUUGAUGAGCGAAGGCACCGUAGCCGCUGGGGCGUCGUUUUUUUUGCAGUCCGAUCAAUCUUGCCUGAACACCGUUCGUGCACUUUCUCCUUUUUAUGCCCAAAAGUUCAGAAAGAGGGUCGGCUCGGAAAGAGAAAGCGUUUUGAGAGGGUGUCAAGUGGCUUAGGUACUUGCGGCAGGUUGCGUGGUGGACGCGGAUAUCCUUCUCCCUGACAGAUCUGCGGCGCAUUUAUGGUGAGAUCAACAUGGGGACCCACAAGACCCGCGCCCAAGGCGGAUACUUGUCUGGAGGGCCCGGGUUAGCCCGACCCCCUACGCUUGGGGUCAGGCGAGGCGGAGACUUGCGGCGGGGGGUUGGACGCUCCUGACCCUAGACCUGCGGUCGGGCGAGGCGGAGCUUGGUCUUCCAGGGGUCGGGGGCGCCUUACCCCGGGAUGCGGGGUCGGGCGAGGCGGAGCGUAAUUCUUGCCUCCCAUGUUGGGCCGACGGCAAUCUUUGUUACCUUGGGUGGGCCUGGGCCUUUAUGUUUUGUUGUUUCCAUGGGCUUCGAGAGGUCGUUAAUAUUUCCCCCCAACACUAUGAGGAGGACUUGUGGGCAGAAAGUCAGCUACCACAAACUUGCCUCUGAAUAUUUGGAGUGCAAACAUUGGAUGGUGGUUGUGGAGAGCCCCAGCCAUACCUCGCACCCGUGGAGAGGUAAUUGUCGGAUUGCUUGGUUCGUCUCUAGAAUGCGACAAGGUCAGGCGCCACCUCUCACUGCUGCCAGUCAGAAGGCCGAGGGGCCAGUUUCAACAUAGUAAUGAGAAUCUCCGAAGGCCAAUAUGGUUAAGCAGCUAACCUCCAUGAUCAUAGACUUACGUUUAGAAAAUAGGAGGCUUAGCGAUGCGUUAACAGAGCAGAAGUUAGAAACAGAAGAACUUAAGGACGACUUCCGUGUCCUCCGCCUUGGUCUUUGUGCUAAGAUAAAGCGCUUGUACAAUGCCACGGGGAAUGACGGUCUCUACGAUGCAGCUCAAUAGACGUGCCCCUUGUAUCCUUUCCUUUAGGCACUUUAGAAUAUGUUUAUUUGUUUUCCUUCAUUUUAAUUUCCAAUAGAUUGUUAGCGCCUCCAAUUUAAUUUCAAUAAAGUGUAGACUCACCGGUCAUCCAACUUGAUGGAGUCCUUUUGUCACCUAGUUGUCUUUGGAAGAAGUAGCUGGGUACAAAAUAAGUGUGGGGGAGAGCCACAGACUCUCUAGAGCUGAAACAAUGCACAACACCCACAAAUAGAGAAAACCACGCUGCACCAGCACGUACGUGAAAGUGGAGCCAGAGCUGGACCCAUAGGGGUUUGGCCAACCCAAGGGGUGGCCCACUCGGGCCAUCUUCAUCCACCGCGUCGGUUUGUGUCUCUUUACCCCUGAUCUCCCUGAUUCAUGAGUUUGAAUGAAUUUUAAAUCUGAUCAACUAAUUCAAACUCAACUAAAAUGAAUCAACUGCUCCACCUGCUCUACAUGUUUUCUAUGGUUGGCUUGCAUAUGUUUUAUUUCAUGCUUAUCAUCUUGAUGCUUGUGAACAAAUAUCUUUAGGACAGCAUGCUCAUCUAAGUAGUUGAUGUGUAUGAUAUGGUUCGAUGAUAUGAUCUUCACUCUUAAUGCUUAAGUGCUUGGGAAAAUCUAUUUGAAAAUUUAAAAGCCUUUUUGAAAUCUCCUCUUUGAUGUGCCAAAGUCCUACCAAAGCCAUAUGAUAAGUUAUCUUGAAAAACCAUUUGCAUAUGUUGCUUGUCUUUGCAUUGAGCUUUGUCAAAUUGGUGUGACCCUUGUCACAAUUCUUUUCAUACUUUCAUGAUCAAGACUCAUGUGCACGCCAUAUACCCCUUGCUAUGCUUCUAUGAGAUGUUAGCAUUGUACCAUCCAUUCAUUCCACAAAAUAAAUGCUCCACCAUAUGUGUUGGUCUCCUUCUAAGAUUAUUGUUACAAAAGAGAUAUGGGCUAUCAAAAAAAAAUAUGAAUGUCCAAGAAAGUUGGACACAUGAAUGUCCAAUAAAAAGAAAAAGAAAGAUAGCCAUGUCCUCAGAAAUAUUUACAAAGGGAGAGAGAUCAUACAAAAAGGAGUUUCCAUUCCAUCCACCACAUCCAUACAUGUGCACAUCUUGAUCUGAUUGUAUGACUUAUUUUUCUCUUUGGAUCUGGUCUUUGACUUUGCAAUAUAUGUGAUGCAAGCAUGCCUUAUCCUUCAUAGCCUACCUUGAGCUCCACAUAUAGCCAUCAUUAGAAGUAGGAUGAAGAAAGGCAAGUCUAAUGCCUUGGUGAGGACAUAUACACAUUGAGUGAUCUGAGAGAAUCAAAUGAGGAGCUAAGCAAGGUUUUGUUUUGAAAACUAAUUGAAAAAUCCCAAGCUACUUGGCAUAAGGAGUUGAGGUGACUUGAUUCAAGACCAUUACAUUCCUCAACUACCCAAGAUGGCAUGAUAGACACUCCAAAGUUCACAAGUGCAGGUAUGGUUUGGAAUAUCUUUUAGGCUCGCUUCAUACCUUUGAAAGUUAUGUUUCACCUUAGUCCUUUCUCGUUCACUCAAGGAUAAGCAAAGGCUAAGUGUGGGGGUGUUGUUGAUGGCUCUUAAGUACAAAAUCUGCGCCAUCAACUCUUGCAUAAACACAUAAAAUAUGAGCAUCAACAAUAGUGGUAGGAGUUAUUACAAACGAAUUCCACAAGUCUUGGUGAAUAUUUGUAUGCAAGCCCAAUAGGAGAGAAAAGACACCUCAAAAGCAAGGAAACACACUCUCAACCAAUCAAGAGCAAGCACAUGGAACCAUGGGCCCACAACCAAAAGGAAAUCGACUACAUUCCAAACACCCUAUACCCACAUGAGAACCCAUAGGGCAGUGACCCAGAGCAAAGGUGAUGCCAGAGUGUAGAUGGUAGUUAGCAUGCCAAAUUUUGAACCGCAAGCGCUCGGAUUAGUUGUUUCUUUUCCCUUAGAGAUUCCCCCAAGGUUUAUCAAUCCAUGGAACAAGGGAUUUGCACGUUUCACUAAGCACUAAUCAAUGUAAUUGAAAGCUUUUCGAAUAAGAUAUGAUUAUGCUAACAAAGGAACUAAGCAAUCUAGAUUAAGAUGGAUAGAGAGUACAGGUUGUGAACAAGAUAGAUUAAACGCUUGUAGAUGCAAUCACCAUGCAUGAAUGAAUUAGAUCUAGGUGUUAUUGUGAGUGGUUGUGAACCAUGCCCAACACUUUCCCACCCGCAACAUUGUCACUACAUGUGGGUACUCAACUAUCGGAACAUAAGAACACAUCAAGAUGAUCAUUCUAGGUAAGCAAAUAAGCAACCCAAAGUAGCGCUGGCCAGCCUUUUCAUGAAAGAGCAUCAUCAAGAUAAGAUUGAUAACAAAAUAGAUCUCAACCAAAGGUUCAGCGAUUACAAAUCAAGAUCUUCGUAUAACCCCGAUGACAAAUAGAGGUAUUACCCCCAUGAUCUUACACAUGUUGAUGAAUUUUAGGGUAAAGGACACCCUGUAGAUCAACUGGACCAAAGAUGAUGAUGAACGGGGGCAGGGAAGGCCCAGGUUGAUCAGCCUGCGCACUUUUGAGCCGAUCAGCUCAGGGGGUUUCCUCCUCCCCUGGUGCUCCUCUUCGCGUGGCCUCCUCUGGAUCCAAUCUUCUCUUCAUUUCUCCUACUUGUGGCGGCAAUGGAUGGUGUUUGCAUGGUGAUUUCCUCUUCUCCCCAACUCUCCCUCCUUGAAGUCCAUGAGGGGGUAUUAAUAGUCUCCAAUAGGCGGCAGCUCUGGGUCAAUGUCAGUGAAAAAAUCCUAGAGAUCAUCGUACACUUCAUGCUGAGGAAACAAGAGGUUGACCGAGCCCUGGGAUAGACCAAGAGGAUCAUCCUAGAGGGUCCCAGGCUAAUCGGUCUAGGCCCUUCCUAGCCCUUCUAGUCCUCUCCUUCCUCGUGCUGGCUUUUCUCGAUGACCCUUGUCCAAAUAUCCAUGAAGCUCUAUAUACAUACCCCCUUGAUUAUGUUGUAUUUCCUGUCAAAAUACAAUGCUCCAAAAUACAACACAUAUGCAAUAAUAGGGUUAUUUCAGGUGCCAAUUGGUGGGUUAGUAUACGAAUAAGCAUGAAAAUACUGUUUAAAUGACACUAAAAGUGUGUCAAUAACGAGCACCAACAAUCCCCCCACGCUUAGAUCUUGCUCGUCCUCGAGCAAGUCUAGCGACUAAAAGAUCUUGAAUUAAACCUGAGCAAGCGAGUCAAGUACCUAGCCUUGAAACAAAAGAUUAGAGGAGCAGCAAAGAUAAUCAAAGUCUGGGUGUUCAAAGAUUUAUCUAAGCAAAGAUUCCCCUACAACUAUUAUUCAGAACCAAGUAACUUCAAAAAUCAACUACACUUAUUUUCUGGCUUUUUUCAGAGGGUUUUUCUUUCAUCAUAAAACAAUCUCCCUGCAACAAAAUUGAAAAAAGAAUUAUUUUCAAGGUGCUUACAUGUCGCUUAAAUGAAUGUUGGCUAUCCUACUUAUUUGCAAGCUCUCAUCUCUCAAAAUUCAUUCAAUUAUAUGGUGGAGUUUGGGUAAGGUUAGCUAGAAUCAACACGUAUAUUAUUGAAUUAAGAAAACCCUCUAACGGUGGCCUACCUUCCGAGCCAUUGAUCAUAAGAAUAUCCACAUAAUGUGAAGUUUUCAAGGAUGAGAAGAUAUAGAAUGGUGGACAUGUGCAAAGGCAAAGAAAUAUAGUGACUCUGAGGCACAAGCAAUGUCCUCGUCGUUGGAUUGCAUAUGGUUGUAAUGAAAAUAUGUUCCUUAAACAAGUCUAUCUUUUCUUUGCACCACUCUUGAUCUUCAUGACAGUAAAAACUCCUCCUUUAUUUCUUUCUCUCUUUUCCUAUUAUUUCUUUUUAUUUGUCUCAAUACUUUUAUUUCUUUAUUUCUUUAUUUUAAUCUCUUCUCUGAACCUCUUCUGAACACCACAUAAUAAAAAUAAGUUUUAGAUCCUUCCAGAGACCUUCCAGGAAUUUGCUACAUGAAAACCGAGGCAAGGAGACCCCAGGCCGAUUGGCCUAGCCACUCCUUUGCUCUCCUCUAGCUCUUCUUUCUGGUGAAGCUUCCUUAUCUUGUAUCUUUCCAAAAAUUUCAUAAAGCUCGACUAGAAACGGAACAGAUCUUCAUAUAAUGAGUUGUGUUCAAGGAAUUGGUAAUAAAAUUGAGAAAUUUGUGGUUCGGGUUUACGAAUUCAGUACAAAAAUAUGAUUGUUCCAAUGAAGAACUCUCAUUACUGAAUAUUGACGAGGCAAGCAUUCAAAGAUGGUAAAAAGGAUAUGAUCAAUUCUCAAAAUUAAAGCAAACCAAGAGAGAGCGAUCCUAAUUCAAUUCAAAGUGUCAAAUGUUGCUUAUGGUGGUAUGAAUAAAUAUUUUUAGGCAUUGGGUAGGAUAAAUAAAAACUCUCAACCUGGUUAAAAGAUAUUGAUCAAUCUUGUUUUUGCAGAGGUUUUAAAUAAAAAAUAAAAUUUUAAAUCACCUCCAAUUCAAAGCCUUACUCAUAAAUCAUAAUCAAAACUGAAGCACUUGAUCAUCAUAAAGCAUGGGUAUUGCAUAAACAAAUCGAUUACUAAAACUCCACAACUACGAUUUAGAAUUCAAGACAAUGCUCAUAAUCUAAAGUUGCAAAGAUAAAAUAAAAGACAACCAAGCCAAGGUAGACACUAAAAACACUUGCACGAUCCUUGAAUUUUAUUCAUGCUUCUUCUCACAAAGACGCUAAAGUAGCCAUGUAGGCCUAAGUCUUCCCAAAAGCUUAAGAAAACUACUACUUUAUCUACUUUUGGUUGAAAUAAAAAGACUAAUCUAGACUCUCACAUGAUUCGACUCGACCAAAUUAGAUCCAAAAACUCAUACGAGCGACGAUCUCCCCCCCCUCACGCUUAAAAUCUACGACCUCCUCGUCGUAGCCAUAUGGAGUACAAGGAAAAGAAGCUUGUAAACGCUCUAAUGACGCUACCCGCACUACUUGCACACGGGAUGGUUGCUGCUUCCUUCGCUUUGUUCUUCCUCAUGUUGCUGCACAUCCCGAAGAGCUUCCUCACGUUCCUCUGCAAGAACUUGAACUCGUCCUCCUGACGGCGAUCAUUAUCUUCUGCCUUUUGAUCCAGAGCUUGUAAGGCUUGCAUGAUGUCAUCGAACGCAUCGAAGAGGUAGUGGAUGUUCUUCCUGCAAGCUGUGGAACAUGUACGAUCAUGCUCCUCCGAUUCUGGCCCGUCGUCUUCUAGAUCCUUCUCUUUGCCCUUGUCUUGACGGUGGCUAUCUUGCUCCUUGCUCGCCUUCUUGCCUUCAGCCCAAUCCCAGUACGUGUUGUCAUCUUCUUCAUCGUCACGGCCUGCAGCACCCUAUGAUCCAUUGUCUAUCUUGUAUGAAAGAAUCAGAAGCUUGUUCUCCUCAGGGUGUCUUGCGCGGUGCAGCGUUUGCAAGUGCAAGACUUGCUAGUUCCUUUUACACAUUGUAAUGUUCAUUGCAUGCUCUAAUUGUUCUACAUUUGUAAUUUCUUGGUGAAGUUUGGUUACUGAUCCACUGUUUGAUUAACUCUUGGGCCCAAACACUGUACUACUUCUGAUUAGAUAUCUGUAUCUUGACUUUGACCAAAAAAAAUAUCCGGCAGUUUUUGCCAUUAAAGUUUCAUAAAUCAUCUUGCAAAAAUCGUACUAUACAACAAGGGACGGUUUAUUAUAAAAUAUACGUUCCCCUUAUCACAUGCCACUUCCACUCAAAAGGCAACGAAUCAGUUUUCAAUCCUGAGUGAGCAAUUUGCUUUUAUUACCGAUGCCUCCUAUUCCCUUGUGCACCAAGUUUAUUUUGGAUAGGGCUGCAAAAAACGACUAACCAGCUCGGAUUCUCCACCUGCAAAACCGCAUCUGCAGCAACCAACCCCACGCGGUGGAAAAAAAAACAAAACCUAGAAACCGGACGGGGGUGGAUGUGGGGCUCGGAGCCCAAGCAAAAAACGGAUCGGGAGCGCCGGAGCAGGCCAUCACCGGAUGUUAGAGAUAGAAAAUGGUUGAAGUUUGGAGUGGAAAUCAAACAAGCCUUGGAGCAAAGGAAAAAAAAAGAUCAAACCACUCAAGCAUUCAUUUGAUUUAGAAAAGAGAACAUUUGUUAAGGUGGGGAGUUGAAAUCAUCUUUUAAUUAGUUCCACGUAUCUGGUAUCAUUACAGUUGGUUUACUUGUGUAAGUAUAAGUAGCUCUGCCGAAGCCUUUGCUCCUAUAAUUUAGUAACUAGUACAAAUGGAUCAAUAGGAAAAUCAAGUUGCAAUCAUUUCUCAGCCAACCAAACCUAUGUAAAUCAAAUUAUUGUCCAUGCCCGGCAUGCACAGGUGCCUGCCAUGCAUGCAUUGUUGCUCCAUUGUAAUAACCAUUAUUGUCCAUCGAUGUUGCAGCGCAUGUGUGCACUGUGCAGACACCAAGCAUCGAGAUUAUGUACUAGUAAGGUGUUGAAAUAAUGGGCCUAGCCCAUAAGUAAUUUCAGAAUUUCAAAUAAAUCUCAAAGGCCCAUGUGGGCAAGAGGUGGAGUGGUGCAAGUCUUUAGUCCCACAUUGCUAGUCGAGGGGAGGGAUGACCAACUUAAAUAUGGAAGUUGUCUCCACUCCUCCAAGCUAUGUGUGAAGGGCGCGGGCGCGAGGCACUUGCGUGAAUGGUCCGCCGAAAUCUGGCCCCCCUUGCGGGGGCGCGGCUUCCUUUUGCCGUUUUAUUUUUUGGUUACUUGGUCGUUAAGUCAUGGAAUCCUAACCGGUUUAGAUCACGAUCGUGAAGGUUUUUGGGAAGCGCUCUGCGCGACUGCUCGAUCGCUUCUUCCGCUUCGUCAAGUUCUUCGUCGACUCCUUCACCACGGCUCGUCUACCUCUUCGUCGCUCGGGCCUCACUCGUCGUCGCGAACAACGUCAGGCUGCUGAUCGUCGUCGCCUGCUGUAUCCGGUAGUCGUCCAGGAGCCGGUUUUCAUCAAGAAAGAAACGUACGGUCUCUUAACUCACAUUAUGUCUUCCAUACUAGCUAUUAUGAUUGUUGCAGUCUGAUAGCUCUGGAUAGUAUGGUAGAAUGUCUGAUUCUAUUUGCAAUGAUAGACUUGUCUAGAUCUUGCGUAGACAUGUCUAGUUUAAUCUGCUGCUUGUUCAUCAUAUUCAUGAUUUAUUUCUGGAUUAAGUUAAAACUAAAAGUGCUUAUAUAUCCAACAUAAGGUACCAAGAACACGUGAAGCACCCGGGGGAGGCUGCUCCACUCCGCAUGCACAGGUGGGCACGGCACCACUACUCGUCUCCUUCAGGCUGAGGAUAAGUGAUGUACGCUGAUCAACAGACCACGACGGAACCAGCAAUAAUAGUUUCAGCCUGCCUCACAGUAAUUAAUAUAUCCUGUAUCCUCCGAGGACCCCUCCCCUUAAUCUUGGCCUAUUGCAUCCAAUAAUGAUAUGUGUGUUUAUCCAAAUUUACGGCACCUUUGGCGGGGGUUCCACCCAGCUCCGCCCUCUCCACCUUCGGUACUCCAUGGGAAACCAUUCCUUUGGAAUCAAGGAAGCUUGAACAGUAUAACGAAUAAAGUUUCAUAUAUCCAUUUGAUUUCACAUGAAAUAAAAUAUUCUGUCAGAACCAAUGGUUUCACUGAAGCUCCAGGCAGCGAGCGAAGGGGUGAGAGAGGAUAACGCUUACUGUGUGUUACCAUCGCGUGCACCAUGGAUGACCAACGCGCAGCCGAGAUGAAACGGCGGACCUAAACAGGUCCUCGCUAUUUUUGCAGGUUCUCGACCAGGCCAGUUCUUUAGGCCAACCUAUCAUUCACGAGUUAAACAUACGGUGGCUGGAGAAAUGUUCUAUUCUUUUAAACAAUACCAGCUGGUUCCUCCGUUUUUAUUCCACCAAUACAAGCACCACCUUGUAACAUUUCCUAUGUUUUUUUUCCUUUCGUCUGUUUUCUCACUACAUGCGUUGCUCUUUCAUGCAUUUUUUUCCAUUCCUGUAUUCCAAAUAGGUCUACAUGAACACAAAAUGAACUAGGGGACAGAAAAAGCCAGUGAAGUUAGUUUUGAGCUUCACCAGCUACUUGCUACAUAAAGUGUGCUAUAGUCGCAGAAAAGCUAAGCUGGAUCAGACGUGGCCGAAACAAUGCCAAAGAGCUAGGUCCCUAGCUGAUGGCAACACAUCAGAUGACUAGCCUGCUUUUCUGUAAUAAUGAUAUUGAGCAAUACACUGCAUGGCUAACCUGCUUUACAAUAAUUGUCAUUUUAUAAUAUUGGUCAUCACGAGAGAUGCACAUUGCAUACACCGGCCCAUCCCUAUAAAUAGCCAAGCCUUUCAGCCAUCUUGGGCACCUCCUCUCAGGGCCUCGUCUCACCAUCAGACAUCUCGUUCCCAGUUAUAAUUUGCGAGGUUAGAUCAGGCUGCGCCAUGGCGUCCGCAACUGCUGUCAAGAUCGUCGCCACCUUCAUGCUGGUGCUGACCAUGGGCCACCUGAUGGCCGAAGCAUCACCGCAGCCUCGGCGUGUGCUUGCAGAAACGGAGCAUGCUGCGGUGUCCGGGAAUCCUGGCCUCCCAGGUGAUGCUAGCGUCAUGCAGGUCCUCGAACCCGCCCUAGUUUCUCGGCUUGCCUGCAAACCAGAGUGCACAGUCCCUUGGCCUCCUUUUGUAUGUAUCUGCUAGAUCCUCUUCCUGGCUCAACGGAACUUCAGGGAAAUGGCUGUGACGUCGGCCAAAGAAUAAAUUGGAUGAACAUAAUAUACCCCGGGUAGUGUAGCUUGGGCUUUUGUUGAGCGUCUGGUGCUAGUUGUAUUUUGUUUGCUCAUGUGGCUUUGCUUCUGGUUGCAUAUUGGCUUUCCUAUCGCUCUCUGUUGCAGCUAUGGUUUCUGCCAGGUGUGUGUUAAUGCGGUUUGUAAGCGGUGCUUGUUCCUACCUUCUGUUUUCAAUAAAAGAAGUCGGAGUCUCCCUCCGACUCUUGUUAUCAGUCAACAAAAAUGAGUUGUAUCAUAUAUAUCUGCGUCUUUUUUCUACGUAUCUUUGGGCUGCUUCAGCUGGAAGUUUAUCGUAAGUACGUGUAUCAGGAUGAUCGUUUGAAUUAAAACGAAAUGAUAAUGUGUGGCUGCUAGAAAUGGAAUGAGCAUCUUACUAUAUUACUAAUUGGAAGCCUCCACGUGAAGCCACCUAGAAAUUCUAGGUGGACGUUUUAAAAAAAACAAAACUCAUAGAAGCCUCCACCACCUAGGAAUCCUAGGUGGACACUCUAAAAAGAGACAAAUCCUAGAAAUUCUAAAAAAAGAAAAAAAUAAUAACAAUAAGAUUUUUUUGCAGUCAAUUACAUAUAUUUUUUUGAGACACCGUGCUGCUAGCUCUUGCCAUUGCGACCAGUAAAGCAAGCAGAUAGUAAGAUGACAUGCGUGUGGAUUGAUUAAAACAAAUUCAGUUAGUUGAUUCUAAAUCGUAUGUAUCCUAAAAGGAAGAUAUGUGCGUGCAUGGUCCCUAGCGAUGACAUGUAGACAUGUAUUGCAAUUUCUUUUUUAAAAAACAUGUCUAUCUCUAAACCAACAAACAGAAAAAAUAUCAAUCUAAAUCUAAAUCUCUUCCGUUCUCACACGCCUAUUAAAGAGAAGACAACCAAUCCCAUCCAUGUUCCAUAGAAUCCAUCUAAAAGCUUGCUCACUGCGGACGGCAUUUGACGGCAAAUCAAUGAAAGAUCAUCCUCUCCAAAUAGCUGGACGGCAUCACCAUCUUUAUCUCACCAACCUACAGAGCUACAACGAUGUUGUAGAGAUCAACUAGGUAACCUACCAAUCACCCUCCCCUUUUCUAUAUGCUCUAAAGAACACGUGGAGUAAUUAUAGGCCUAUAGGAGCCGACUAACCUAGAUUAAUAUGAAAAAUAUUCCAAUAUUAAAAGCAAGCAGAUAGUAAUACUUGCCUUUGACCAUUUUUCUAGAACUGUUAUUCCUAUUGAAUGUUCAAGUGCUACGGCCAGGCAUCGAAUGCCUGCACGGAACCUUCCUAUUGAAUGGUUACUCUAGAGAUCAACGCACCGCGAGACAUUUUUAUGGAAUUUGUUUGAUUCCCCUUCUACAAUUAGAUUAAUUUUUCAUGGCAUAUAUUACUACUAUUAAAUUAUUUGUUUAUUGUCGGGCCUGCUGCAUGUGUGGUAUAUAUGACUUGCUUCUCACCAUUGUUCUCAAACUAUUAUUCCUAUCGAAUCUUUCUAUCGAAAUAUAUUUUAAUUACUUGAUUGUUGUUUGUGUACCAUAACUUCUGUAUAGAAAAAUUCCAUGUUUGUAGAUAAUGUCUUUUGUAUAGAAAAAUAGCCCAAUUAGAUCCAUCACCAUCUUUUGCUUAUGUAGUUGAACAAGUUGCAAUGUUGAACAAAACUUUAAGUGAAAUUAGACCAGGAAAAGGAAUUGUGGAACAUUAAGGCAAGGGUAACCAGAUUGUGGAAUGCAACCUUACUCAGUAGUGGCGAACAAUUAAGUCUUGACAUGAUCCUUAUUGAUCAAAAGGUAUGAUAGAUGUUCACUUUGAUUGCAUUAUUGGUAUAAUUUUUGGUUUACAAAUUAUUAAUGAUGAUGCAAAAUUAGGGAACCAUGAUCCACGGUGUUAUCAAUAAGCCCUAUAUGAAAAAGUUCAAACCAUUGAUUGAAGAAGGCAAUGUGUACAUAAUUGCAAAUGUCAGAAUCACACCAGAACCACAGAAGUAUCGGCCAGUGGAAAAUGACAGGAUAGUCAACUUCUUACCCACAACUGCACUAAAAACGAUCAAAGAUACUGAAGACAUUCCAAAGUAUAGUUUUAACUUCAUGAGCACGGAUAUGCUUUCAGCAAGAAUAAAUGUGGACAUGUACCUAUUAGGUAAAACAUUACUGGCUUUUCAAUUUUUACACUUCCACUCAUUAAAUGACCAUCUAAUAAUAAUACAUAUUUAUGUUUCAUAGAUGUUAUAGGUAUCUCAGCUCACAUUGGACCGAUAGAAGAAACAAGGACAAACUUCGGAUUUACUAAAAUCCGUGAUAUUGUGCUCCUGAUCGAGUAAUUCUCUUUUCUUUUGUAGAAAACAACUACAAAACUUUCAACAUUUACAUGUAUGUUAUAGAACUUCUGUUGAACUAAAAAAUAUCUUCUACAGUGCCCCUACAAAUAAUUAAUUUCGUAGUUGGAUAUUUAAAAUAUUUAUUAUUCACUUUUAAAUUUGUGGCCAUGAAGUUAAAGUUAGAUUUUGGGGAGACAAAGUUGAGGAAGUUGAUGAUAAGACAAAAUCCCAUGUCAUUGCAAUAACAUCUACAACUGUGAGUAAAUUUGGCAGUAAGUCUUCAUUCAAUAUGAGUUAUUCAAUAUUAGUCAUUCAACAAACUAACCUCGUAAGAAAAAUAAAUAAUUGAUGUUUUAUCAGGGUAUUCUCUAUCGUCAACCAAUGCAACAAAACUUUAUGUAGAUCUACCUAUUCCUGAAACUAAGGAUGCACAUGAUAGGUGAGAAAAAUUAGAUAUUGUUUUUCUAUUUUAAUCUAUGUAGCAUGCACUCUAACAUGAUACAUUCUUUCAUAUGAUAAAAAAAUGUUAGUUCAAUUGAAAAUAUUGUCAAAGAGAUUCAUAUUGAGGACCAUCUAAAAGGGACAUUGGAAGACCAAAUGCAGUACAAUAGAAGAACUUUAGAAGAAUUAAAUUUCAUAUUAUUUGAAACAUCAAAUCAGGUAUGGAUUAGUAUGUUCAUUGUACACUAUACUAUUUAAAGACUUACAUACAUAAUGAUGGUAUUGUUCCUACUUUCAGGAUGAGGUAUUUACUAUUGAAGCAACAAUAAAUGAAAUUAAUGCAACAUAUGGUUGGUUGUCACACCCGAUUUUAAGGACAAAAUUGAGUGCAUUAAAUACAUGUGCACCAGGAUCAAGUUACACACAUCCUAUGAGUACCGUCCUUCUUUGGCACAAAGAUAACCGGUGCUCCCCAUGGUGAUGAACUAGGCCGAAUAAACUAUUUUGCUGAUAAUUCCUCUAGUUGUUGUUUCAAUUCUUUUAAUUGUUCAACCAACAUUCUAUAAGGACGUUUGGAGAUAGGUGCAGUACCAGGUAAAAGAUCAAUAGCAAAUUCAAUGUCGCGGUCAGGUGGCAUACCUGGUAAAUCGUCGGGGAACACAUCCGGAUAGUCACACACCACUUUGAUAUCUUCCAAGGAUUUUCCAGCCAACUGAUUAACUGCACAAUCUGCUGCUGAGGGUAGAGUAGCUACAAACUCCACUUUCUCUCCAUCAGGACCUGUUAGCAGAACUGUCCUCUUGGCACACUGAAUCGUUGCAUCAAAAGCGGCUAACCACCUCAUCCCCAGAAUUACAUCGAUUCCACUGGACUCAAGGACGAUAAGAUCAGCCGGAAACUCUAUACCCAUUAUUCUCAGUUUAACUUGUGGACAGAUGUAUUGAGCCUUCAUUGACCCCCCAGGUGAACUCACUAGCAUAUGACGCCUCAUGGUAUGCAUGGGUAAAUUAUGCUUUGCUACAUAAUGACUAGUGACAAAAGAAUGCGAUGCUCCAGAGUCAAAUAAAACUGAUGCGGGGGCAGAGUUGACAAAGAACAUACCAAGCACUACAUCUGGAGCCUCCUUAGCAGUCUCGGCUUCCAUGUGGUUCACCUUGCCACAAACAAAGCUUUGCUGCCCCUGAUUGCCUUGUGGGGUCUGGUUCCCAUUCCUCGGUUGCUGCAUCUGAUUCUGCCGAGGAGCACUGCUGUUCUGCACGGGGGUAGCUGGCCCACCUCUCUUAGGACAAGAGCUGGCAUAGUGACCAACCUCGCCACACUUGAAGCAGGUAGGACCCACUGGAGCAUUGGGCCUUGUUGGAGUGCCAGUAGGGGUCAUCUGGCGGUUCUGCGUAAAGCUUGGGCGCGGAGUCUGCAUAGUCUGCAUCCCUGGAUGCUGGAACUGAGGGCUAGGGCGCUGGAAUGACUGCUGAGCAGGGCGCGGAAAUGAGUGCUGCCAAAAAUUCCCACUCGGGCCCCCUGCGCGGAACGGCGUCCCUUGCUGUGGAGCAAAGCGAGGGCGGGUGUUGCUUCCUGAAGACUACUGGGAAUUGAAUUUCCUCUUCAUCUCCCCGAGCUCGUUCCUCUUGUGUUCCAGGCCAAUUGCCUUGUCUAGCAUCUUCUGGAAACUGGGGAAGGUGUGCGACAUAAGCUGAUAUUGGAGUGGUCCAAUCAACCCAUCCAAGAAUAGCUCCUGCUUCUGCUCAUCAUCAGCAACAUCUUCGGGAGCAUAUCGGGACAACUGGACAAACUUGUCCCUGUACUCUGCCACUGUCAUGUUCCCCUGCUUGAGAGCAAGGAACUCCUUCUUCUUAAGCUUCAUCAAUCCGGAAGGAAUAUGAUGACUUCUGAAGCUAGUCCUGAAUUCAUCCCAGGUGAUGCCAUUAGCAUUGGCAUGGGUGGUGGUGUAAGCAUCCCACCAAUCAGCAGCUGGCCCUUCCAGGCGUCCUGAAGCAUACAGGACCUUCUCCCUGUCAGUACAUUGGGCGAUAUCCAGCAUCUUCUCCACUGUUUUCAGCCAAUCAUCAGCAUCUAAUGGAUCCGGAGAAUGUGAAAACGUCGGGGGCUUGUGGCUCAUGAACUCCCUAUGCCUGUCCCUUGGCGGCGGCUGCUGCUGGUUGUUGUUGUUGUUAUUGUUCAGCUGAGCUUGUAAAGCUGCCACGGUGUUGGUCAGUCCGGCGAGAAGCUGAGUCUGAGCUGCUAGAAACUGCUCCAUCCCUGCAGGUGCUUGUUGGUUCUGUUGCGGAGCGGUGUUGGGAUUGCUGCUGUUGUCCCUGUGGCGUGGCACUGUGGGACGGUCAACUCCUGAUCCGGACCUGGUGUUUACCAUCUGAGCGUUAGAGACAAUGGAUUUAGAUAGAUGUGUGAAAGAAUAACUGAGAAAGAUAAAGCGACCAGAUGUAAAAGUAACACAGAUUCUGUUAGCUCCAUUUAAUUAGGUGUGGUCGUCAGAAGAAGUGUCCAUAAAUUCUGAACAAUUACCAAGUCGUAACUUAUUAAAUUUGUAAACCAACCCAACUGGAAUCAUCUCAAUCGGACUUCUGGAUCUCGAGUUACAAAAUUAACAAGCUGACAGUGUCGGUCGAUAGGUUCAGAUUCUGAGUGCUUUACUAAUUCGCAUACACCUCCCAGACAGAUACACCAAAAAUUCUGAAAAAUUUACAGAUAGUACUCCACGAAAUUCUGAAACUAACCCCACUGGUUUCAUGUCAUUUGGACUUCUGUAGCUAGAGAUAUAAAUAAAAAAGUACUGGCGUGUCAGUUAAUGUCGAGAACAGAAUUGAAUGUCGCUUAGCUUGCGUGAUGGAUAGAUUUAGACAGAUGGUAGAUCAUGAUUAAGGAAGAUUAAAUACUGAUUUAGAACAGAAAUAAAACCCAACUAAGCACUUUAUUUAUUAAGACCAGUAUCGUGUGGCAAUUGCCCCACAUACCGCACUCAUUACAAAAUCCAACUCAAACAUGUAGCACAAAACCAAUCAUCUAAGCACACUUUAACUAACACACUCGAACGACGUCUAACGAUUACAAGAAUUUAAACUAAAACACUCCUAAUUUCCUAGAGGUCUUCUGCGGCGGUGCCGGGCGAGUCGUAGCGGGGACGCUUAGGCGACGGCGACGAAGCGGGAUGAACAGCAAACUCCUGCGGCGGCGGUGCUCCCGUCGCGGCAGCCAUAUUCGCAUCCCUCUCCCACCGGAGUUCCUGAACCUCCUGUUGAAGCUCCUGGAUGUGGUUGUUUGCUUCAUUCAAUGCGGUGAGAGCUGCCGACGUGUACUUGCGGAGGAAGUCUGUAGCCAUGUCAACCCCAUCGUUAGUAGCGAUGAAGGUUCUUGCUUCCCCACUAGCUCGGUAAGGAAGGAACCGAUGGUAAGUGUGCUGCAAUCGCGGCCGUUCCUUGUGGGAGACGACCUCAAGUGCCCUCCUGGCGGCCUCGGCAAUGCCGGAUUCCAUGGUCCUCCUUAUGGUCACAUCAUGGUGAAAAGCCUUCACCUCCCAUCCUCCCUCGUGCUCCUCACGAAGGACAACCUUCACCUCCCAAAAAGUGGGAUAGCGAGGGUGGGUGAACCGGGAGCACUUGUAGAGUGGCCUCAUGCCGUACCCCAAGCGGUGACAAGUCCACCUGAGUAUGUCGGCCAUGUGCACUCCUUGGCCAUAAUCUUCCUUCACCCAUUUGAUCCAUGUCUCGGGCUCGGGAUCUGCUUCGGGCUCAUCAUCCGUCAAGUCGACGACCGGUACGGGCGUCGGGGCUGGUGCAGGAGCGGGCGCCGGUGCUGGCGACGGUGCUGGUGACGGCGUGGUCUCCUGCUCCACGGUCACGGCGUCCCCGUCAGAGUCAUCCCCCGGAUGCUGGAAGAUCUCUUCCUCUUCUUCCUCGUCCCAAGGCUCCAUGGGGGCGUACGACGGCGCGAUGCCAUGACGCGGCGGACGGGUGCUCUUGCGUGCGGUCAACCGGGUGCGAGCCAUCUAACAGAAAGAAAGAAGAAAAUUUUAGAAUAAAAUUUUGAACAAAGCUAGAUAAUAAAAUAGCAAUAAGGAUGAGACAAAUCAAGUUUAAGAAUAAUUAAGUAGAUUUAAAUUAAGAAAGGUAGGAAUGGCUACUAGAUUAUUAUAAUCCUUAAAUACGACCAUUUUCUAACUAGGCUAACGUCCUACAGUCAACACGGCUCUGGUACCACUUUUGUCACACCCGAUUUUAAGGACAAAAUCGAGUGCAUUAAAUACAUGUGCGCCAGGAUCAAGUUACACACAUGUACGACAAUAGUGAAUAGUAAAGCCAGUGCUAAAUCGAAUAAAGAGAGUAUUAACCAUUAUUACAUGACCGAAUGUCUCAAAUAAACCACAAAGUCUAAUUAUUACGCAGCGGAACUCCAAAGAUGACGACGACUCCAUAGGCAGCUGACUGAAGAAACGUACGCCUAGAACUCCUCGAAGUCGUGGAAGUACUCCUCUUCCCAAUUAACUUGGUCUGAACAGCGGUUUUGCAAGGGUGAGUACACUUAUGGUUGGUACUCAACAAGUCGUGGGAAGUAGUGUAGUGUAAGGCUAAUUCAAGGUAUGGCUAAGGCGUAAAUAGCAUUCGCUUUUAAUUAAGUUGGUCAAAUUUUAUUAGCAUUUACUAAGUAUAAGUUCAUACCACCCGAAAUUAAACAUGAACAUAAAGUAAACCACAUGUGCAUGAAAUGAUAACAAAUUAAAUCCAUCUUCCGAUAAUAUUAUCAUGUGAGGGUCCAGGCCGCUCUUAACCGUGAGCACGGCUGAUUGAUCAGUUUAACACUCUGCAGAGGUGGCACAUCUUUACCCACAAGUCGCGUAAAAGUUCAAAAGAACUUUGGACCCAACCAUGCGGUGUUUGCAAGGCACCAUACCACACUUCCGAGGUGUGAUUGCAUAGGGACGCUACGAGGCCUUUACAAAGAUUCAUUAAUCAGUGGUAACCCGCUAAGGUUUCGGUGUCUGGCGUGCACCACCCAUCCCAGGUAAAAUGCAACGACUCAGUCCCCCCCCUUGAAUCAUCACGAGUAAGGUCACCCCAGACUAAGGUUUCUAAUUAAUCAGCCAAGACCAGAGCUAUUUAGUCUUGUGGUAGCACUGUUUUCCUGGGUGGUCGCUCCAUGUUCUGAUUAACAAAUAAUGAUCUUGUCUUAAUGAAAGGUAUAACAGAAAUAAGGCAAGAUUAAGCAUUGUUUUUAGUUAAACCACCAUGUACCAAGUAAGCACUAAGCAUGAGCUACCCAACAUAAAGUAAACCGGUUGGUCAAGGCAAAGGUAAAACAAUCUAGGCCAACCUUAAUUGGGACCCAUCAAUUUAAUCUUAAUAUGUGCACAGCAUAAAUGUUGAGUACGAGAAAGUAAAGGUGUAUAGGACAAAAAGGUAGUGAUCAAGGACACGACUUGCCUUCUUGGCCUUGCUCCUGCUGUUCGUACUCCUCGAAGGCUUGAUCGGCAACUCCCUCGAACUGCGGGGCGUCUACACGCAUCACACGAGCACAUACAAGCAAACAUGGGCAAAAGUAAGAAAACAGUAUACCAAACAUAGUCAAACAGAGAAAACAAGCUUGAAAAGAUGAUCUACGCUUUAAAACGAACACGCGGAUAUAAAGAACGCGAAAAACGGAGUUAAGAUGCAAAAGAUAUGAUUAAAACAAAAUCCAGGGACUUUUCUGUAAGAAAAACAAAACUUUUAGGGCCUAUCCGCGAAAACCGAGGGCUUAUACGUAAUUAUGCGUAUAAACCGAGGGUCUGAUGCGUAAAAACAUCAAACCCGGACGGCGGGUUGAUUUCUGGAAAGGUCAAGGGUUAAACCGAAAAAUGCGAGGGCAGAUCUGUAAAUACUUUCAACGCGAUCUGGACCGCGGGUUGAUUUGCGAAAAAGGCGGGGGCUAAAGUGCAAAAACUGCACGGCGCGGCUCGGUUGACCGGUACGCGAUCUUGAUUGACUCGCGUCCGGCCGUCGGAUUAAGAUCCGACGGUCGCGGUGAUCCGCGACAUCGCGGCGGCGGCGGCGAGCGGCGGCGAGCGGCGGCAAGCGGCGGCGGGUCGCCGGAGUUAGGCAAAAUAGCGCCACGAGGCACGGUUUAACGCGCGGGUUGCACCAAAAAAGAGAGGGGAACACGUCGAUCCCGUUUUGGGGGUUCUUGUCGACGGGGGCUCACCGGCGACGGCGAACGGCGGCGAGGAAGAGGCGGCGGCGCUAGGAGCUCGGGCGGCUAGGGUUUCGGGGAGCUGCGGCGCUGGUUUUGGGCGGAGGAGACUGGGAGGAGGCGGCGGCUUUUAUAGGGCUUGGAGAUAGAGCCGGCGCGGGUUCAAAUCCCCCGGAGGAGUCGGAGCGGAUGGAGUCCGGGGCGGAGACGGCGCGCGGCGGUUGCGGAGUUCUGACCGGAUUCGGCCGGAGGUGGGAGACGAUGGGUGGGGUCCACCCGUCAGUGGCGGAGGGGAGCGGUAGACGGGCCGGCGCGACCGUGGGCUGGCGCGCGCUCGUGGGCUGCGGGGAGCGGGAGAGAAGCGGCGAGCGGGCGCUGGCGGAGCAGGCCGAGCGGAGGUAGAGCUGGGCCGCGGAGAAAAAGGAGGAGGCCGGCGGGCUGCUUCGCAGGCCGGUAAGGAUGAGGCGGCCGGGCCGAAGAAGAAAAAGAAAAGGAGGGACAAGGAGCUUUCGGCCGAGGGAAAAGAAGAAGAAAAAGAAAAGGAAGAAGAAAAGGGAAAAGGUUUUGGAAUUUGAAUUUAAAUCUGAAAUUCAAAAUUUGAUUCAAACUCAAGCAACCAAAAAUUAUGCUCCAGCAUGAAUGCACAAAUAAUUCCUAUGAUGAAUUAAUUGAAUUAAAGAAAAUGAAUUUAAAUGCCUAGAAAUUAAAUAACACCCUAAUUUGAGCAAAUUUUAAUGAAUUUGAAUUAUUGAAAUUUUGGGUGUUACAUUGGUACUACAUCUCAUGUAGUAGAGGCGAUUGUAAGAAGCAACUUGAAAAGAAGUUUGAUCACUACUAUUGCAAUAAAUGUGACAAGAGAGCCGAACCUAAAGCCCAGUAAAUUAUUUAGUAGUUUACAAUCUUAUUAUAAUACUUCUAUUUCUAAUAGGAGAAUAAUAUUUUCAGAUUCAAAUUAAGCUUCAAAUAAGUGAUCCAACAACAAGUGCAACUUGUGUACUUUUGACAAGGAAGCAGAAAUGAUAAUUAAUGAAUGAGCAGAUUCGAUGAUCACCUCAGUUGAUCAUGAUAAUAAGUAGCUACCAAAAUCAAUUCAGGAAAUAUGUGAAGAAACAUUGAUUUCUCAAUUCAGAUUGACCGAGUACAACUUGACAAGUUUUAGACCUGAUUAUACUGUUUCAAAGAUAUUUUUUCCAAAAGAAAAGGGCAGUUCAAGAAUUGGUAUGGAAAGUGUAAAAAAGGUAACACUUUAUUAUUAAUUUUUUAUUGCACUUUUUUCUUUUGAAUCCGUAAUACUUAAUAAUUUUACUAUAUCAAUGAAACAAAUUCUAACCUAAAUUUAUUUUCUUUUUUAUUAUUUGUAGGAAGUAGAAGACAACUCAGACAAAUGCUACACGAUAACUACCGAGAAUGAAGAGGUAGACACUGAUGACUCUUUUACCGAGAAAGUAACAUUCGUAGAAGAAGCCAUAAGGACUGGGGAAAGAUUGGCUAGAAAAGUAUACUCACUUCCAUGUCAGUGUUCAUUCUAUUUACAAUACAUGCAAAAAAAAUAUUAUUCAUGCAAAAUUGCAGGUCUACUAAGCAUUAAAGGAAUAGCGGAUAGUGCAAUAUGUAAUCUGAGCAGCAUGCAUUACAAAGUGCUCUACUGCAAUUAAAUUAAAAAACAUGAUAUAUGUUGAAUUCUUAGACUUUAUUAUUAUACUUUUCUACGUGACAAUUCACAAUUUUUUAGAAAAAAGAAGAUCCCAGAAGAAGUGACCAUGAAAAAAGGUCUAUGACCAGCAAUAAGAAAAAAUGCAAGCAUAGAAACAAAUCCGUAGAAAACAUAGAAAAUAAGGUACUCCAUAAACAAAAGUAUUCUCUUAUAUUUUUAUUAAAUAUUUUUUUAACACUUGACAAGUUCUUUUUUAGGAUCAAUAUAUCAGCAAUUCAGAUGUCAUUGGAGAUGAAACCUUAGUUCAUCCAAAAGGUCAAAAAAAAACAUCUGAAGAAAGGUGUUUGGCUGAAAAGGAAAAGCAAAAAAGUGGUAAUGCAGACAAACACAUGCAGAAAAAUAUAAAAACAUGUCAUAGGGAGGCAGACCAAUCUUGCAAGGAGGUAUAGACGAAACGUGAUACACGACCUGCCUACCUUGUCGUGGAUACCCCAAGAAGAUGUCAUAGAGGUGCAGACCAAGCUAGCAAGGAGGUCGAAACGUGAUACACGGCCUGCCUACCUUGCCGUGGAUAUUAGCCCUGAGAUCAUUCUACUGUUCAAGGAAUAACACUCAAUGCUGCUGCUGCUGCUGACCUGGCUCCAUAAAGUUAUACUCCUCUAGGUGCUUGCACUAACUUUAUCUGAAGUAUUAUUCUCUCUGCACUGUAUAUAUGGUUAUGGAGUUUGCUGGAGUAUCCGGGGCGAAGAACCUACAUAAUACGUCUUGGAACUAAUUGACAUUGAUUCACAGACAAACUCUACAAGGUGCUGUUCUUGCCAUUUUAGAGCAUCCAAAGGACUAUAAAUAACAUAGUUUACCAUAUACCAUAUACCAUAUACCAUAAUAUGUUAGCUAAAAUAAGAGCAUACACAUGUUGCAGGAGUCCAAAAGCACCGGUUGAGGACCAGGUACAUUGAAUUACUAGAAAAAGACAGGGGACAAGGUUUAGGUAACCACAUGAAACAUUUGAAUUUAUUGUACUAUGAACACUUAGUUACCAUGCCAGGAGCACAUAGUUAACACUAACAUUUAGCCACUUUAGAUCAUCCCGAAUCACCAAUGACCCUCAAUAGUGACAAAUUUUGGUUUAAAUGCCAUCACCAAUGAUCCUCAAUAGUGACGUAUUUAGGUUUAAAUCCCGUCACUAAUAACCCUCAAUAGUGACCUGUUUUGGUUUAAAUCUCAUUACCACUGAUCCUCAAUAGUGAUGUGUUUUAGCAAAACAUGUUAUCAAUGACUUGUCAUUGGUGACGUGUUAAAACGCGUUAUCUCAAUGGCAAAUCAUUGGUGACGUGUUAUCUCAAUGUUAUCAAUGUUCUAUUCUUUUCAACAAUACCAGCUCGUUCCUCCGUUUUUAUUCCACCAAUACAAGCACCACCUUGUAACAUUUCCUAUGUUUUUUUUCCUUUUGUCUGUUUUCUCACUACAUGCGUUGCUCUUUCAUGCAUUUUUUUCCAUUCCUGUAUUCCAAAUAGGUCUACAUGAACACAAAAUGAACUAGGGGACAGAAAAAGCCAGUGAAGCCAAUUUUGAGCUUCACCAGCUACUUGCUACAUAAAGUGUGCUAUAGUGACGUGUUUUAGCAAAACAUGUUAUCAAUGACUUGUCAUUGGUGACGUGUUAAAACGCGUUAUCUCACUGGCAAAUCAUUGGUGACGUGUUUUAAAAAAACAUGUCACCGUGAGAGUCAUUGGUGAAGGGUAAUUAAAAUGCGUCACUAAUGUUGUAGCAUUAGUUAUGAUAAUUUAGUAACGCAAAAAUCUACCAUCAGUAUUGAGCUUUAGAGCCAUCGCUAAUGUGGGUUUCUUACAUAGUGAUGCAAGCUCUACAAGGUGCUGUUGCUGCCAUUUUAAAGCAUCCCAUGACUACAUGUUAAUAACAUAGUUUACCAUAUAUCAUAAAAAUAUUAGUUACAAUAAGCACAUACGCAUGUGGAAGAGUCCGAAUGCACCGGUUGAGGACUAAACACAUUGAAUUACUAGAACCAAAUGUAUGUUUAGAACAAAGACAGGGGUCAAGGUUUGGGUAACCGCAUUAAAAACAUUGGAUUUUACUGUACAUGAACACUUAGUUACCAUUACCAUGCCUUGAGCACCUAGUUACAACAAACAUUAAUUUAGCCACUUUAGAGCUUCCAGAAUCGCUAUAAAUAAUAUACCUACGCCGUACCAUGAAAACAUCAAGAAGAGAGACGGAUACAUGGACCACCAUCAAGCGAGUAGUGACAGCACGCACAAGAAUACCCGGAACCUGUUAGCUUGUCUGUAGUGAUCUGUUUUCUUCCCCAUAAAAUCCAUGAGUAUUGCCACAAAUAAUGAAAGAGGCUGACCAAGCUAGCAAGGAGGUAGAGCAAACGUGAUACACGGCCUGCCAAGAUUGCCCUGGAUACGCCAAUAAGAGCGACAGAUACAUGGAUCACACCAAUAUGGUGAAACGUAUAUUCAUCACACAAGCAAAGCUGGUCAGUUUAUCCAUGGUCAAAUUGUGGUCUUUGUUUUCACUUGAGAGCUAAUUGAGGCACUAUAAUAUGGGCAGGCCUAUCUUCAACAGACAUGACAGCUACAGGGAACUUGACAUAAUUUGCUGGGCCGCCUGUGCACAAUUAUUUGUUUUAUUGUCCUUGCAUAGAAUGCUAAAAUACUCUUUACAAAAUGUUGGAUCUAAUAUUUGAAAUAUAGAGUAGUAAUCAUAUAUUGAUCAACAACUUGAAAUUAUCUGUACAUUCUCGGUGAAGCUGUUGAACUAAUUUUUGCAAAUUAUUAAUUCAUCUCAUUACGUAAAGAAAAAAGUAAGUGGAUAAGAUAUUUCGUGGACCACAUCACUGCAAACAUGUCAUGGAGAGACAGACCAAGGAGGCAGGACGUGAUACACGACUUACCCUAGGUUGCCGUGGAACCGCCAAGAAGAGAUACAGAUACAUGGACCACACCAUCUUGGGAGUAGUGACAGCAUAUAUGCAGAAGAAUACCCCGUGCCUAUUUGCAUGCAUGUCUCAAGUGAUCUGUUUUCUUCAGAAAAUACAUGAGCAUUGCCAGAAAGAAUGGCAAGAGACAAACAUGUCAUAGAGACUUGCAUGUCUUGCCUUGGAUACGCCAAGAAGAGGGACACAUACAUGGAUAACACAAAUCUAGUGACACGUAUAUUCAUCACAAAGGCAAAUCUGAUAAUUUUAUCCAUGGAGCAGACCAAGGAGAAAUUGAUGACGGACAUGUGAUCUCUGUAUUCAGUUGAAAGCUAAUUGAGCUACACUAAUAUGAGCAGGACUAUAUUCAAGAGACUUGUUGAGAGCUACAGGGAACUUGUAAUAAUUUGCUGGGCGGCCUGCGCACAAUGAUUUGUUAUACAUAGUUGAAAUAUUUCAAGAAUUUAUCAACCUCAUACUCUGAAACCCUUGGUGCAAUGUACUCUGCUUUCCGAGGUAGACUGUUCACGUAAAAUGAGGUCAUGCGUAAGACGGAAUCGGAUUGGAUUCACAGGGAAUCAGAUUUGGAUAGCACCUUUUAGCAGGUUUUUAGUCAAAUGCAAAUUCGGAUCCACAUGUGGUUGAAUGCGAGUUCAAAAUUCUACUUGGAUAUCCAUUUAAUUUAGGUGAUAGCAAUUAGCACAAAAUGUUGGAUGAACAAAAUCAUAGUUAGACAUACAAUUACAUGUAUGGUUAAAGUAUAAUACAAUACACCAAGAUUAUUCCUUGAAAAUAUUUCUUAAAAAUAUUAUAAUAAAUGAAUAAAUAUAAUUGUGGCCACCAACAAAUAGUCGGUGGUCGCUAAGUUGGAGCCAUUUCUGGUUACUAAUGCGGCCUUCUCCUCGACCAGCGACGACAGCUGAGCUUGUUCCUUCUGACACUAAAUCAUCAGAGUCUUCCCUCCACUACUAUAGAAUGCACCUUUAGCACCAAUUGGGAAAUCCCCUUCAGUAUUGGAUGCUGCAACCAGUGCUAUAUAUCAAAAUGGAGACUAAAAGCCUCGGUCUUGGGUACCGGUUGCAUAACGCAUUACUAAAGGAGGCAAAAGAGAAAUGUAACAAAAAAAAUAUUUUGAAUUCCAAGAAUGUUUCACUAUUCAAGAUGACUAGCUGAGAGUCAACAGACAAGAUACUAGGAAUGUGGGUGCUUGAAUGCAUUUGUACAGAGGUCAUACUAUUUACAAACUCUUCUAUGUUUCCAUAUGACUACCUACUUCAAUGUCACGCGAGCCAUUCAGCUGGACACAUGGCACACUAGCUUGCAUGUCGAAUCCAUGAUUAAUUAUUUGCACUUGUGAUCUCUUACCAGUAUUUGUCCAGACUAGAAACGUGCAACACAUUUUUAGGAUAUGGACACGCAUAUAUUUGGACUAGUAUACAGGUCACCUUUGGAUGCGUACAAGGAUGACCGGGAGGGACUAAUGGAUACAAGGAAGGGACCAUCAGGAUUAAUAUUGACAUAUGCCACAUGACAAUCUUCAUUGUCAUGCAAUCCCUAUCAACAAUCAUGGAAUCCCUAGUGUACUAAUCCCUGGAGGGUUGUGUGGAAAUUUAUUUUACCUUGCGGUGAAAAUCUCAUGAGCAGUCAUUAGUUAAGCUGACUAGCUGAGAUAUAAUAGACAAGCUAGUAAGAUUGGGAGCAUCAAUGCAUCCAUACAGGGUCACAAUAUCCUUUCCAUUCACUUUUAUAUAUAACCCUACGAAUACAAGUCCAACGAAAUGCGGGCCUUUCGAUCAAGAUAAAUUAAAUGGCCCACUUGUAUUUCUAAUCCAGGAUUAACUAUGCCCUCUGUUCAUCUCUUGCAAGCACGUGCAACACAUUUUCACGAUAUGGACAUGCAUGGAGGUUAUUAUACUGUUUGGACAAACUCUGAUGUGCCAUGACCUAAAUGCUUAGGGCCUGUUUGGUUUGAGUUGCUUAUUAUAAGCAACUUAAAGUUGCUUAAAGUUGCUUAUUUGAAGUUGCUUAUUUUUAGUCUAAACUGUUUGGAUACCCUUGCUUAUGAGCAUUGAAUGAGUUGGACAUUGUCAAAUUUGCCCCAUGUGUUGCUACCCCUCCAAUUUGCCUCCCCACCCUUCUUCUUCCUGCACACGUCCGAUCCCGGGGGCCGACGGCGGGCAGGGAGCAGCAGCAGCUGGCCAGGGCGGCGGUGGGGCGGGAGCGGCGGCGCACACCAGCACGCGCUCGCACGCCAGGUGCUAGGGCGCGGCGAGGCAGUCGUCGUAGCCCACCGGGAGCGGGUGCUCGGGCGCGAGGCGGUACUCGACGGAGAUGCCGAGCGUCGGGCGCGCGGCGGCGAGCGCGUUGAGGAAGCGAUGGUAGUGCGGCGACGUCGCGGACUCCGCCACGAAGCCGCCGCCGUGGACGUACACCACCACGGGCAGCUUCGUCUUGCCGUCGGCGGCCGCGGCCGCGGCCUGGGGUGGCAGGUAGAGGCGGACGGAGCAGGAGCCGAGGUCGACGUCCCUGGAGUCGACGCCCGUGGCGGCGUCCAGGCUGGGCCCGACCGGCGGCGGCACGAGCGGGCGCUCGAUGCGGCCGCUCUUGUAAAUCCGACGGGUCUGUGCGGAGGCGGGCGGCGGGCGGGAGCGGCGGGUGGGAGCGGCGGCAGGUGGUGCGGAGGCCGGCGGCGGCGGGUGGCGCGGAGGAAGGGGAGCUGGUGAGUGGUGACAGGGGAGGGGGGGAGAGAGAGGGGGGGUAGGGUGCAUUGAAUGAGGGCAGGAGGUGUAAAGUGCACCUUUUAGUCCCCAUGAGCAACCAUAAGCAGCCCAAGAGUUGCUUAUUUGCUUAUAAUAAGCAACCUCAUAAGCAAGAGUGAUUGGUUUCAUAAGCAACUUAUUUGCUUAUUUUAAGUUGCUUAUGCAUAAGCAUGUGAAACCAAGCAGGUCCUUAACCUAUGGUUGUGGCACCACACAGUACAUAGUAUUUAAUAAUGCUAUUCGUUUGGUAUGUGCACAAGGGCACGCAUGAAAUGUCUGGCCCACGGUAAACAAGUACGGACGCUGCAAAUAAUCUACUCUGCUCGUCCAGUCCCUAGCCUAUAAAUAGAUGCCAUGCUAGCUCUUGUUGUGCUCACAAUUAAUCCUGACUACACACGAGCUUCUCUCCCUGGCCAAGACACAAUCAUAGUAUGAUGAAGAACAUGGCACUAGCCGGCAAUGGUAUGAAGAACUUAAUCCUCGCUGUUCUCUUACUGUGUCUAGUUAUAGGGCAGAUACAAGUGGAAGCUAAGAGCUGCUGCCCAUCCAUUACUGCAAGAAAUAUCUACAAUGCCUGCCGUAUCACGGGUACAUCCCGUCCAACGUGUGCAAAACUGUCAGGCUGCAAAAUUAUCAGCGGGGACAAAUGCAAGCCCCCUAACGACCACCUCACCCUUGACCCGGACACUGGUAAAUAAUAAAUUUAUCUCACUUGAUUUCUUCGUGUUUUGAGUCGUUAAUGUAUUUUCCAUCUGAUGAAACGUAUUGGUUUUGCAUUGAAGAGGAAGUUAAUGUGCUUAACUUCUGCAAGUUGGGGUGUGCGUCGUCUGUGUGCAACAACAUCAACGCUGGUAAGCACCUUUUGCUCAGACGGAGAAAACAAUAAUCAUUAAUUAGCGGCAGCUAGAAUCCUAUAAUCUAAUAUAUUUAUAUAUAUAUAUAAUUUUAUCAGCUCUGGGAAAUGAAGAGGCGAACGAUGCCGUUGAGAGUUGCGACCAAGCCUGCUCUAGCUUCUGCAACGUGCACGUUGGCGCUGCCACCGUGGUUGCUUAAGCAAAUGCAUCCAACUGGAUCGUCCUUGUGCUAAAUAAUUGGAUAUCGUAUCCACUUAAAGCUGCCUUGUGUAGUACGUUUUUGUUUGUGUCUCUCUUUAUAUUCCAAUAAGGUCGGUGAUCUUGAUGCCACACACUCAGACGUGUGUUCAUCUCCAGAUACUACUCCAUGCUACCUGCCCUUUGUGUUUUGUUCAAUAACUGGGUAUCAUAUCCCAGCCAGUGUGCCAUCUGUUUUGUGUUUAUUUCCUUCUAGUUUCAAAGGGGUUAUCAUGAUGUUACCUUCUUUCGAUAUGGUGCUUUGCAUGACUACUGUUGUAUGGUACCAUCUUGUUGGCCAAUAAAUACAUCUUAUCCUAUGACCCUUUGCUAUGACCCUUUGCAAAUAAGUACAAGAUUGUUAAAUACUCGGUAUAAAUUGACUACUGCUGUGAGUUCCCUUUCAGCUUAUCGUAGGCAUACAUUAUUGCUAGCACGGUGAAGACAACCAACACGAAUGGUCAAGUAAACGUACCGGUACUUUUGUAUACCAACACCCUUGCUUAAAUGUACCGGUGUUACUCCCCACUAGCACAUAUAUUCUUAUAUGCUAGCCGGCUUGAAAAUUAACCGAUUAAAAUAAUUAUUUCAAGACAGAAAUAACUUAUCGGCUUCUCGAAGCAUGUGUAAUGUGAAUUCAAGGACUUGAUGGAAGUUGAAUCGCUUAAUCUAGAUUGCUUUCAGGAUUUUGGGUAACUAAAUUUAACAUUUGCACAUACAAAUGUUAAUGUACAAAUAUUAAAUAUAGUUACCCAAGCAGAAUAUGAAGAUACUCUAUAGUAUAUAUAUACUAUAUAAAUCUAGUUAACAUUUAGUCUAAAUGUUAAAUCUAGUUACCUAAAAUCCUGAAAGCAAAAUGUAUAAAUAUAUAUCUUUUAAGGAAUCCCAAAGCAAGAGUUCAGUGGCAUUCUAUAGUCCCAUGCUGCUAGUUUGAGUUGGUCGAAGCCAACUUAAAUAGGAGAGCUCUCUCACUUCUCUAAAUACGUAACUGAAGGAGAGAAGGGGGCUUGGUUACACAACGCACGCACGCACGCAUAUUUGCGUUCUUUUCGCGUAACCAACCGCGUGACUUGAAACUUGCGACGUAGCGUGCUGCCAAGUCAAGUUGAUAUAACCUUUUUGCCGUAGGCGUGUAAUCUUUUGACAACGGUCAUUGGAGGUGAUAAGCACGCAGUCAAUACCUUAAUCCUGAGUUAAUAGGGCGGUUACUACUGCCAAUUAGUGGGGCAAUUUUGUAGGGGAAACGGUUAGCAGAGGGCUACCAUCUUCUCUAUAAGAAGUUCUGGAGACGUCCAGGAACACACAUGUACAUGUGAGAGACCCACGAAUUCCUUCCCAUCUCCCUUUUCCAUCUGGUGAAGUGUGCUAUGGUACUGAGCUGCUGGAUCUCGCCGGCUCUUCUCCUUGGCGUGCACCGAGGAGGAGGGUGAGCGGUAUCUCCGAGCUAUUGCCGUCAGGAAGCCUGCACGAGGGACAACAAUAAAGUUUUUGGGUAGCGCAACUACGCAACCGCUCGAUUCGAUCGACUAUGUUCUGCGCUGCCUCAUCUUCGAUCUGCACUGCAACACGUAACCCUGCAGCAAGUCUACACAAGGACGGAGCACUAAUCUGUAAGUCCUAGAUUGGUUUCUUACAGAGUUGUAGGUUACACAAGAUCUAGAAUUGUUACAUACUUAUUAUUAUGGGUUACAUGAUGUUUUGUACGGUUACGUCUAUUUUGCAUAUGCUAUUUUUACAUACCGUUUACAUGCAUAUGUAAUGGUUACGCCUAGCUAUUUGAAUCUAGAAUUGGGUUACAUAGCAGUAGCAAUGACUUACGUAAUAUGCCUCAUGUUUAUAUCUGGUAGAAUUUAACACGUAUCUCCAACAUAUUUUGAGGCAGUAUAAAUUUCAAUUCCUUUUGCUGCUCUGUUAAAUCCCGUCUUUCGUGUGGCCCAACACUCUAGUAUGCAUGUAGCACCAAGCUUGUUUGAGCCGCUUUGUGCUCUGAUUUUGCUGUCUGUAUCAGGUUGGACUGUUUCUUUGUCUUGCGAUGUAUAGCUUCAUAUCUUCUAGAGGUUAGACAGCAAAACCCGCGUUCUCUUAAGGCAACAACUCGAAGAAUCUGCAGCGCUCCUGAUAUAUCACUGCUGCAGAAACAAUCUUUAGUACUGAUUUCCAACCCCCUUUAGUAUCGGUUUGGCAAUCAGUACCACUACGUCGGUACUAAAGGGAGUUCUCUAGAAUCGGGUCAAAUAACUGGUACUAAAAGUGCUCCUCUACUACCAGUUGGUAACACCAAUAGGUAGUAACUUUUUUUGCACCCAAAAAAUUAAAGAAAAACAGCCGGGAGGCUCGCGCACACACGCAUCAUGAGUAAUAUGCGCGUGCAUGGUUUGUGGGAUUCCAACCCACGACCAAGCUAUAAGCACGUAGUUACAAAAAAAUUAAACACUUAGACAUUUUAGAGCAUCCCAAAUAACUACAAAUUCUUUAGUUUACCAUAUACCAUAAAAUAUUAGUUAAAAUAAGAGCAUACGCACGUCGGAAGAGUCCCAAUGCACCGGUUGAGGAUCAGACCAGGCACUUUGAAUGCACAUGCCAUAAGAUAAUUCUGCAGGACGAUGAUUGCAAUAAUGGACCAUCGAGAAGAUAGGGGCGAUGGGGUUGCCUCAUCAAUUAUGACUUGGCGCAACAAGACCAGCAAAGUCUUUAUCGACAGGGGUGGAUCAAGGGGUGGGGCGGGUAGAGCUCCAAUCUUCCUACCGCCGCUCGAACAAUGGAGCCCCCCUUAGCCCCUCCAUAAAUUUUUAGGUAGAAGAAAAAAGAAGAGAAGGGAAGGAAGGGGAAGAAUAGGGAGCCCCUCCUAAGUAGGUCGCCAUCGUGCUUCCCAACGCAUGAUCGCCGCACCGCAUCCAUUCCUCUACAAGCCUCCAGCGUCUCUCCUGCCGCUACCUCUGAACCAUGUGCAGCUGCAGACCCAACUAGUGUCUUGUCACCCAUCUCAAUCCCAACAGAGCGGCGGCUCCUGCCAGCACAAAUCUCCCUCCGCCUGUUCUUCACGAUCGAUGGCCACCACAAGCAUAAACCUCGCCUUCGCAUCCACGCAAAAGGGUCGCCGGUGUGCCUUCUCGCAUCGCUUCUCAGCCUCCUUCACUUGCGGCUGGCCAAGAACCGUGCCACCACCUCGGGUGCGCGCCACCGCUCCAGGGCCGCUACCCCAUGCGUGCGGCCGCCGCCGGCCACCACGCGUGUGCAACCGUGUCGCACCGCUUCCCUGCUCUGUGCCACCACUGCUACUGCACCACCAGCUCCACCACCUUGGGCUGGUCGCCAGGGUGACUGAUUGGUGGAUUAUUACUACAAAUAAGUUCCUUAUUAUCUGCAACUACUAUUAACUCAGGGAUACAUGCGUCUUUUGCUUCUCCUGUUAAUAUGUCCUAAAAUAUCUAGAAUGCCUUAUAUUUCUGGACGGAGGAAGUAUUUGAAUAAAAUGAACCAAUUUUAAAAAAUGUGUUGUACACUACUACAGAAAGAACUAUCAGUGUCAAACCCAAAAAUGUCGUCACUGCCAGUUUUGGGCAUCGUUGGUGAAAGGUUGGCGGUGAUGGGUAUCCCCUUCAACAACGGCACUAGAGCUAACAGUGAUUGACAUUAGAAAACGAAAAAGGGGACCCACCUAGCCACCCCUGCAACCCGGCUGGCCGUGCCUCCCGUCAUCCCCACCACCUCGCCUCCCCCGUGACCCCCCGCCGGCGCCCUUGCGCCUAGCCCCCUCGCCUGCCUGGCCGGCCACCCUCGUCACGAGAGAGAGGGGUGCAUGUUGUAUAAUUGCGUGAAUUUUUAAUGUUUAAUUUCAUGUAAGUUUCAUAUAAUAAAUUGUACAAGUUUUAUUGUAUAUAUGAAUUCCAUAUAUAUAUAUUUAUAAUUUAAUGUAUGGUUUCAUGUGUAUAUUUCAAUAAUGUGUAUAUUUAGUAGAUAGCCGAUUUUCUUUUUCUACAAGACAAGGGUUGAUGUAUAAUUACGUGUAUAUGUUUAUUGUACGGGCAAUUAGGACAAGUUUUGUAUAAAUUUCUUUUAUUUCAUGGUUGUUGUAUGGUUUCAUGUAUAUACAUUUAUUGUACUACUUGAGACAAUUUUUAAUUUAAUGUUUCUAUGGUUACAUGUGUGUAUAACUAAUUGUAUUAUUAGUUAAGAUGGGAGCCAAAGAGGAUGAAAGGUAUAUAAUGGAGCAGAUUAUUGCUGGCGGUAGUGGCUCAAACGUUGCAAGAACCUACAUCAAGGGUGAGGGUAGCUAGGUGGACAUGUACCUCAACAUGUCCAGUGAUGGCAAUGACGAUGAGGAGCACGAGCAUGACGUUUAUGAUAGUGCGGAACAAGACAUUGCAGAAUUGGAAGGUUCUAAUGAGGUGUGCUUCAUGUUGAUGAUCUGGUUGGCUUUUUUUCUUUGGUCACACCUUAGUUACCAUAGAACUUCGUCUCGGGAGAAGAUUGGAGGUGCUAUGGUGAUUGGAAUUUUAUUGCCUCCAAAUAUGAUUUCCAUCGAAUCAUAUCCCUUGUAUUUAUCUUCUUUUUAUUUGUGAGAGCAUCUUCUUUAUGCUUGCAAAACAAUUCAAGUGCACAUACUACACCUAGGGUGAUGAUUAGGAGUAGAAACAAUUGCCAACAAACGAACACCACAUCCUAAGAUUCUUAACUUGUGGUAUAAUUAGUCUAGUAAAAAGAAAGAUAAAAACCUAAUGGGUGUACGUGAGUGCAAUGCGUAUAUGCAUAUGAGUGGAAGGCAUAUAAGCAAAGAUAAUAUUUACACAUAGAUCUAAGCACCAUGUUUACAACUAAGUUGCUGAAUUUCUCCAUAGCUAUAGAGAUUAAUGAACCAAGGUCAAAACACCAUGUCUAUCCCAAGAUCAGUAAUUCUUUAUAGCACAAGAAAAAGAAAGCGCAUUGCAAAGUUUAUAAACCAACCAAUGCAGCAUGAAAACAAGAUGAAUAGCUAGCAAGGUUUAUUAAACUGAAUGAUGACGGUCUGCAAGCAAGUUUGAACACCAUCUUUACACAAGAUUGCAAAUGGAAAAUUCCCAUAUGAAGAACUAACAUGGAUAUGAAAUCAUUCAUCAUAAAGCGUAAAGAACAACCAAGCCAACCAUAUGCAAAGCAUGAAUGGAAUGCAAUGAAGGUGCAAGAGAACAUUUUUGGAUGAACCCAUUAUGAUGAUGGCAAAAUGCGCCGUGCCCCCCAGCCCCCGCGGUGAGAUCCCGCCGCUCGCUGCCGCCAGACCCUAUUAGGCCUCCACCGGCAGGUCCACCCACGGUCCCGCGCGACGUGGCAGCCUCUUGGCUCUCGGCGCUCGCGGCACGCCAGUGCUGGCGCAGCCCCACCAGGCGACUACCCUCCCCCCAUAAGGCCUCGGCCCCUCCCCAGCGCCGCCCCCCAACACCAGGACUGCCUGCUGCCCCCCACCGUGAGGUAAUCGAAAUCGACUGCUCAAUCUCUCAAUCUGUUGAUAUGAUGCACACGGUUGCAAAAAUAGAUGUGUCAAAAUAGAUGUUUUGCCAAUUGCUAUAGAUGCAUACGGUUGACAUGAAGUCAAAAAUGACAUUUGGUUCCUUGUAGGCAGUCAAAAAUGAAGAAGUCAAAAAAUAUUGAUCUGAAAUCAAUGUGGGAAAGGGCUAUGAAGACACGCAGGUAGAUUCCCUUGUGAACUUUUUAUGUCGUUCGUCUAAAUAAUUUUUUGCAAUGGGCAUACCCUACUCUGAAAUCCUGGGUCCGCCACUGAUGAUGAUGGUCUAAAAAUAAACCAAGCCUAGAUUAAUUAGCCACAACUGAAAUUAAGCAAAGGUUAAUGUCAUUGACCCUAGCUCUAUCCUAGCUUUUACCAAAGUUCCGGCACAUAUAGUGGUUGGGCCCACUCUCUCUGCUUCCCUCUCUGCUGCAUGCACGCACACGAGCAACGGGAGGCCCGACGAAGCCCAGAAGGGUUCGGCCGAACCAGUAUGAGCGCCGCUCCCUCCCAGCCUUCGCGCAGAUGCUCCUCCAACGUUCCUUGACCCCUCCCUCAGCGUCCCGUUGGGUUUAACAUUGCAGGAGAGGAGUCCCUUUUUUAAAAUCUCAACCACCUCCUCUCCCCAUUCACUCCACUCUCAUCUCCAUCAAACUCACCAAGAUCCGCACCGGAAAUCCCUGCUUACCACCAUGGCUGGCAAAGCCCUCAUCCCUUUCACCAACUUGGGCUUGACCACUGAUCUCGAUGGGGAAAUCACUCUGGCAAAUAUGCGUGUAACACUGCCCCCUUUGCCGAGGGUUAAAGCCAAAACACUCAGCAAAGUGGAUAGUACCCCCCUUUUUACCCGUUUUGUCAUGUAUAACGGACCCCUCUCAAUUCACAAUAGACAUCAUCAUAGGCAUUUAUAAUAAACAAUCACAGGCAUAAUUCACAAUCACCAUUACAAGCAUUAUUCAUAAAUAUCACAGACAUAAUCCAAAGUAAGCAUGAAACAAGCCAUAAAUCCAAGUUCAAGUCACAACUAAGUUUCAUCCAAGUUCAAGUCACAAAUGCAAUGUCUAAAUCCAUGGAGGCCAAGGAGACCACUGCGACAAAUCUUGGUCUUCAUUAUUCGAAGCCGCCGAUUGAUUCUGCACAUAGGAUAGGACAUUCUGAGCUAACAUCUAAAGUUGUCAAAAUUAAAGUAUUCAAUCUUAAGCACAAUGUGUCAAAUGACUCACAGGAGUAGUUGUGGGUGGCUGAGGCGGAGGGAACAGCAUCGAUGGCGGUGGCAAAGAUUGACCCAUGCUCGAAGCAAAAUUCUGCAUGUACUGGAACAUCUGGUCCAUCCUCAUCCGAUUUUCUUCCUCCAUCCUCUGCCGCUCGGCCUCUAACCUCCGCUGAACCAUCUGCUCCAUCCUCGCCGCCAUCUCCUCUUGUUGCUUCCUUGCUGCUUCCACCUGGGCCUACAAUAUUUCAUUGCAAUGUUACAAUGCAAAGCUAAAGUAUAGCAACCAACGAACAAUGAAUGGAAGAGAAAGAACCUGGAGAGCCUCCAUCUGGAACUGUCCAAUGGUUGGUCGUAGCCGUAUCGCCGGGCUCGAGUCCGUGCUCCUUGCUUGGAUCUGGGAGAGAGUGGCAGUAGAGGCCGUGUUGAUUACGCCGUCGCCAAUCCAAUAUCGGCCAUGCUUCUUGCCUCCUCCCACCCUCAUCACGAUUUCUCCAUCAAUAUCCUCAGAGCUUGAAUCGAAGUCUGGCCCGUGAACCUCCCUUGCCAUCACUGUAUAUUCCUUUGCCGAGUGCCCGAGAUAAAGCACUCGGCAAAUAGAAAACACUCGGCAACUUUACUGUUUCCCGUAGUGUCGCUAUUUUUGCAGGUUCUCGACCAGGCCAGUUCUUUGGGCCAACCUAUCAUUCACGACUUAAACAUACGGUGGCUGUAGAAAUGUUCUAUUCUUUUCAACAAUACCAGCUGGUUCCUCCGUUUUUAUUCCACCAAUACAAGCACCACCUUGUAACAUUUCCUAUGUUUUUUUUUCCUUUCGUCUGUUUUCUACAUGCGUUGCUCUUUCAUGCAUUUUUUUCCAUUCCUGUAUUCCAAAUAGGUCUACAUGAACACAAAAUGAACUAGGGGACAGAAAAAGCCAGUGAAGCCAAUUUUGAGCUUCACCAGCUACUUGCUACAUAAAGUGUGCUAUAGUGACGUGUUUUAGCAAAACAUGUUAUCAAUGACUUGACAUUGGUGACGUGUUAAAACGCGUUAUCUCAAUGGCAAAUCAUUGGUGACGUGUUUUAAAAAAACAUGUCACCGUGAGAGUCAUUGGUGAAGGGUAAUUAUAAUGCGUCACUAAUGUUGUAGCAUUAGUUAUGAUAAUUUAGUAACGCAAAAAUCUACCAUCAGUAUUGAGCUUUAGAGCCAUCGCUAAUGUGGGUUUCUUACAUAGUGAUGCAAGCUCUACAAGGUGCUGUUGCUGCCAUUUUAAAGCAUCCCAUGACUACAUGUUAAUAACAUAGUUUACCAUAUAUCAUAAAAAUAUUAGUUACAAUAAGCACAUACGCAUGUGGAAGAGUCCGAAUGCACCGGUUGAGGACUAAACACAUUGAAUUACUAGAACCAAAUGUGUGUUUAGAACAAAGACAGGGGUCAAGGUUUGGGUAACCGCAUUAAAAACAUUGGAUUUUACUGUACAUGAACACUUAGUUACCAUUACCAUGCCUUGAGCACCUAGUUACAACAAACAUUAAUUUAGCCACUUUAGAGCUUCCAGAAUCGCUAUAAAUAAUAUACCUACGCCGUACCAUGAAAACAUCAAGAAGAGAGACGGAUACAUGGACCACCAUCAAGCGAGUAGUGACAGCACGCACAAGAAUACCCGGAACCUGUUAGCUUGUCUGUAGUGAUCUGUUUUCUUCCCCAUAAAAUCCAUGAGUAUUGCCACAAAUAAUGAAAGAGGCUGACCAAGCUAGCAAGGAGGUAGAGCAAACGUGAUACACGGCCUGCCAAGAUUGCCCUGGAUACGCCAAUAAGAGCGACAGAUACAUGGAUCACACCAAUAUGGUGAAACGUAUAUUCAUCACACAAGCAAAGCUGGUCAGUUUAUCCAUGGUCAAAUUGUGGUCUUUGUUUUCACUUGAGAGCUAAUUGAGGCACUAUAAUAUGGGCAGGCCUAUCUUCAACAGACAUGACAGCUACAGGGAACUUGACAUAAUUUGCUGGGCCGCCUGUGCACAAUUAUUUGUUUUAUUGUCCUUGCAUAGAAUGCUAAAAUACUCUUUACAAAAUGUUGGAUCUAAUAUUUGAAAUAUAGAGUAGUAAUCAUAUAUUGAUCAACAACUUGAAAUUAUCUGUACAUUCUCGGUGAAGCUGUUGAACUAAUUUUUGCAAAUUAUUAAUUCAUCUCAUUACGUAAAGAAAAAAGUAAGUGGAUAAGAUAUUUCGUGGACCACAUCACUGCAAACAUGUCAUGGAGAGACAGACCAAGGAGGCAGGACGUGAUACACGACUUACCCUAGGUUGCCGUGGAACCGCCAAGAAGAGAUACAGAUACAUGGACCACACCAUCUUGGGAGUAGUGACAGCAUAUAUGCAGAAGAAUACCCCGUGCCUAUUUGCAUGCAUGUCUCAAGUGAUCUGUUUUCUUCAGAAAAUACAUGAGCAUUGCCAGAAAGAAUGGCAAGAGACAAACAUGUCAUAGAGACUUGCAUGUCUUGCCUUGGAUACGCCAAGAAGAGGGACACAUACAUGGAUAACACAAAUCUAGUGACACGUAUAUUCAUCACAAAGGCAAAUCUGAUAAUUUUAUCCAUGGAGCAGACCAAGGAGAAAUUGAUGACGGACAUGUGAUCUCUGUAUUCAGUUGAAAGCUAAUUGAGCUACACUAAUAUGAGCAGGACUAUAUUCAAGAGACUUGUUGAGAGCUACAGGGAACUUGUAAUAAUUUGCUGGGCGGCCUGCGCACAAUGAUUUGUUAUACAUAGUUGAAAUAUUUCAAGAAUUUAUCAACCUCAUACUCUGAAACCCUUGGUGCAAUGUACUCUGCUUUCCGAGGUAGACUGUUCACGUAAAAUGAGGUCAUGCGUAAGACGGAAUCGGAUUGGAUUCACAGGGAAUCAGAUUUGGAUAGCACCUUUUAGCAGGUUUUUAGUCAAAUGCAAAUUCGGAUCCACAUGUGGUUGAAUGCGAGUUCAAAAUUCUACUUGGAUAUCCAUUUAAUUUAGGUGAUAGCAAUUAGCACAAAAUGUUGGAUGAACAAAAUCAUAGUUAGACAUACAAUUACAUGUAUGGUUAAAGUAUAAUACAAUACACCAAGAUUAUUCCUUGAAAAUAUUUCUUAAAAAUAUUAUAAUAAAUGAAUAAAUAUAAUUGUGGCCACCAACAAAUAGUCGGUGGUCGCUAAGUUGGAGCCAUUUCUGGUUACUAAUGCGGCCUUCUCCUCGACCAGCGACGACAGCUGAGCUUGUUCCUUCUGACACUAAAUCAUCAGAGUCUUCCCUCCACUACUAUAGAAUGCACCUUUAGCACCAAUUGGGAAAUCCCCUUCAGUAUUGGAUGCUGCAACCAGUGCUAUAUAUCAAAAUGGAGACUAAAAGCCUCGGUCUUGGGUACCGGUUGCAUAACGCAUUACUAAAGGAGGCAAAAGAGAAAUGUAACAAAAAAAAUAUUUUGAAUUCCAAGAAUGUUUCACUAUUCAAGAUGACUAGCUGAGAGUCAACAGACAAGAUACUAGGAAUGUGGGUGCUUGAAUGCAUUUGUACAGAGGUCAUACUAUUUACAAACUCUUCUAUGUUUCCAUAUGACUACCUACUUCAAUGUCACGCGAGCCAUUCAGCUGGACACAUGGCACACUAGCUUGCAUGUCGAAUCCAUGAUUAAUUAUUUCCACUUGUGAUCUCUUACCAGUAUUUGUCCAGACUAGAAACGUGCAACACAUUUUUAGGAUAUGGACACGCAUAUAUUUGGACUAGUAUACAGGUCACCUUUGGAUGCGUACAAGGAUGACCGGGAGGGACUAGAAAUGGUCUAGUUUUGAUUGGACUACAAAACUUUUUGUACAGUGAAUAGAGAAUAUAUAUUAUUGUUGGAAUACGAGGUAGGCUACACUAUCGCAAUUCUGAUAUUCUACCGCGUAUAACCAAGAAGAACUGUCGUAUAAGGAUCACGGGAUUACCACUCGACGCACUACUGGUGCGGAAGAUGUAGAUAUGCGUCGAUGCAGUGAAGACGAUCACGUAGUCGUAUGUAGUCGAUCAACGUAGUCGUACAUAGUCGAUCACGUCCAGCAGCUCCUCAGCAGCUCGUCCACGUGCAGCAAGAUCGCCUCCGGUACCGCGGCUCGUCGUUGGCUUGUCGUGGCUCGUCGACGGCUCGUCGGCGGCUCGUCCAAGUGCUGCAGGCGCAACACCUCCAAGGUAUCCACACGUGCAGGGAGGAAGCGUCGCAAGCCGGACUGCUAGAUCCACGAGUUGCAACAGGCGAGGGCGUGGGAGGCGCGGCAGGUGUGUUUCGCCAAAAAGGUGUAAACCCUAGGGCGCCCCCACCCCUCUAUUUAUAGAGGUUCCUGACGGGCCUCUGGAUCCGAGGCCCAUUAGUACUUCUAAACCUAAUCCAACUCGGAUCAGAUCCGAAUUGGGCUUCCAGCCCCUUAAGUGUGUGACCCUAUAAGUUCGGAUACGUAUAGACAUGGCCCGAGUACUCCUACUCGGCCCAAUAGUCGGUAGCGGCCUCUAGCAAGACGUGCCAACUCCUAUACGCACACGAAGAUCAUAUCAGACGAACCAUCACAACAUAAUAUACAUGCUAUUCCCUUUGCCUCACGAUAUUUGGUCUAGCUUCAAGCCGACCGCUCUUUCUCAGUCCUGUGAUUCGGAAUCCCUUUGUAGGUUAACUCUUAACCGUACGUAGCAUGGCCAUGCAUUUUCGGAUCUGAUCACUCGAGGGGCCCAGAGAUAUCACUCUCAAUCAGAGAGGGGCAAAUCCCAUCUUGAUUGACCAUGUCUCAUAGCAUGCUUCUUGACAAACCUAAAAACUACCUUUAUAACUUCCCUGUUACGGCGUAGUGUUUGAUAGCUCCUAAGUAGGUCGAUCCACAUCUAGAAUACAUGCGACAAUUUCAGGUCUAAGGACAAAGCGUAUAUGUUGUUUAAAGAGAGAACUACUUCUCGUGUUGGGUCAGUCCCAGCACAUGUCUCCACAUGUGUCCACAUUAUUAGUUCAACAUCUCCAUGUCCAUGACUUGUGAAACAUAGUCAUCAACUAAUACAUGUGCUAGUCUAAUAUUCAUGUGUGUCCUCACAUGAACUCCGACUAGGGACAACUUUAGAAUAACCAUACAAGUAAAGAGUUUCACAUACAAUUCACAUAAUUGCAAAUCAAUUCAAGUAGCCUUCAAUGGAUAUUCAAUGAACACAACAUACAAAUCAUGGAUACAAAUGGAAUAUCAUCAUCUCUAUGAUUGCCUCUAGGGCAUACCUCCAACAGUCUCCCACUUGCACUAGAGUCAAUCUAGAAGGUACCUAAUACCCAUAGCUCUUACAUGCGCAUCAUGCUUAGCCUGCGGGAGUGGUUUUGUCAACGGAUCAGAAAUGUUCAGAUCCGUGUGUAUUUUGCAUAUCUUGAUCUCACCCCGGUUAACGAAGUCUCGAAUGAGAUGAAAUCGCCGCAUUACAUGUUUGUUCUUCUGGUGGUUCCUUGGCUCCUUUGCUUGCGCAAUUGCCCCAUUGUUAUCACAGUAGAGAUUCAAUGGGCUGGACCCAUUCGGGAACACACCAAGCUCAAUGAGGAAAUUCCUUAUCCAAACACCUUCCUUCGCGGCUUCCGAAGCCGCGAUGUACUCGGCUUCUGUCGUAGAAUCGGCCACCGUCUCCUGCUUGGAACUCUUCCAACUAACAGCACCACCAUUUAGCGUGAACACAAAUCCUGUUUGUGACUUUGAAUCAUCUCUGUCGGUUUGGAAACUAGCAUCGGUGUAACCUGUUACAACGAGCUCCUCCUCACCUCCAUAGACGAGGAAUAUAUCUUUAGUCCUUCUCAAGUACUUAAGAAUGUUUUUCACCGCUGUUCAGUGACUCUCACCUGGAUCAGAUUGGUGUCUGCUUGUCAUACUUAGCACAUAUGAAACAUCUGGGCGAGUACUUAUCAUUGCAUACAUGAUAGAUCCAAUAGCCGAGGCAUAUGACACUCUACUCAUGUGAUCCCGCUCAUCAGCAGUCGAAGGACACUGAGUCUUGCUGAGAUGUAUGCCAUGUGACAUAGGCAAGAACCCUUCCAUGCUGAACCGCUUCAACACUUUGUCAAUGUAAGUAUCUUGGCUUAAACCUAUAAGCCUUCUCGAUCUAUCUCUAUAGAUCUUAAUGCCCAGAAUAUAUGCCGCUUCCCCUAAGUCCUUCAUCGAAAAACUAUUUUUCAGUGAAGUCUUUAUGGACUCAAGCAUAGGAAUGUUAUUUCCAAUCAGUAAUAUGUCAUCCACAUAUAAGAUUAGAAAUACUACAGAGCUCCCACUAACCUUCUUGUAAACACAAGACUCUUCUUCGUUCUUGGUGAAGUCAAACCCUUUGACCACUUCAUCAAAACGAAUGUUCCAACUCCUAGAUGCUUGCUUCAAUCAAUAAAUGGAUCUCUGAAGCUUGCAUACCUUUCCAGCAUUUUUCGGAUCGACAAAACCCUUGGACUGUAUCAUAUACACGUCCUCAGUUAGGUUUCCAUUCAGGAAAGCUGUCUUGACAUCCAUCUGCCAUAUCUCAUAAUCGAAAUAUGCAGCCAAACUUGAUUGUCUCCCAUGGACUCUAUUUCGGAUUGCAUGGCAUUCUGCCAUUUUUCGGAGUCUGGGUCCAUCAUUGCUUCUGCAUAUGUCACAGGCUCAUCAUUGUCCAACAAUAAUAUUUCCUGCAUUUCGCGGAGCCUUGCCGACCUUCGUGGUUGUGGCGGUGCUUCUCUUGCCAUGGGUAUCUCAACUUGUUCUGCUACGUUAGCAUCACUCAUUGAUUCUUGCCCGAUCGGCUCAUCUUGAACUUCUUCAAGAUGCACUGUCUUUCCACUCUUUUCUCCUUUGAGAAACUCUUUCUCUAGGAAAACCCCGUUCCGAGCGACAAACACUUUGCCUUCUGAUCAGUUGUAAAAAUAAUAUCCCAAAGUUUCCUUUGGAUAUCCCACGAAAAUGCACUUAUCCGACUUGGGUGCGAUCUUGUCCGACUGAAGUCGCUUGACAAACACAUCACAUCCCCAAAUCUUUAGAAAAGACAAACUAGGAACCUUUCCAGUCCAUAUCUCAUAUGGUGUCUUAACUACGGAUUUAGAUGGUACCCUAUUAAGUGUGAAAGCUGCUGUUUCUAGAGCGUAUCCCCAAAAUGACAACGGUAGGUCCGACUGGCUCAUCAUUGAUCGAACCAUGUCUAACAAAGAUCGAUUACGUCGCUCGGACACACCGUUUCUCUGAGGUGAUCCAGGCGGCGUAAGUUGUGGAACAAUUCCGCAACUCUUUAGAUGAUUGCUAAACUUGUGGCUCAAAUACUCGCCUCCACGAUCAGAUUGUAAGGCCUUAAUUUUCUUGACACGCUAAUUUUCAACUUCAUUCUGAAAAUCCUUGAACUUUUCAAAGGUUUCAGACUUGUGCCUCAUCAAGUAGACAUAGCCAUAUCUACUAAAAUCAUCAGUGAAAGAUAUGAAGUAUUGGAAUCCUCCUCUAGCCGUCGUGCUCAUUGGUCCGCAUACAUCACUAUGUACGAGUUCCAACAAGUCUACUGCUCUCUCAGGAAAUCCUGUGAAAGACGUCUUGGUCAUCUUGCCUAGCAAGCAAGCCUCACAUGUCUCGUAUGAUUCAAAAUCAAACGAAGUUAGAAGUCCAUCAGAAUGGAGCUUCUUCAUGCGUUUUUCACUUAUAUGACCCAAACGACAAUGCCACAAGUAGGUAGGACUCAAAUCAUUAGGCCGAGGCCUUUUAGCACUUACAUUACAGACAGGUGAACCAUCAAGAUUUAAAACAAAUAAUCCAUUCACAAUGGGUGCAAAAGCCAUAAACAUAUUAUUCUUAGAGAUCACACAACCAUUGUUUUCACUCGCAAAUGAAUAACCAUCCUUCAUCAAGCAUGAAGGAGACAAAAUGUUUCGACUUAAACUAGGAACAAAAUAACAAUUAUUCAACUCCAUAAUAAAUGCUGACGGGAGGUGGAGUUGCAUCGUCCCGACGGUCAACGCAGCAACUCUUGCAUUAUUGCCCACGCGGAAAUCAACUUCUCCUCUUUCCACGCUUCUACUUCUUAUCAUUCCCUGCAUCGAAUUGCAAAUAUGAGCAACCGAUCCGGUAUCAAAUACCCAAGAAUUAAUAAUUGUAUCAGCGAGAAAUAUGUUGUCUAUGACAUUAACAACAAGCGUACCUGAGGUAGAAGUACUCUUACUUCCUCCAUUCUUCAACGAAGCUAGGUACUGCUUGCAGUUUCUCUUCCAGUGACCAAGUUCAUGACAGUAAAAGCACUCUUUGUCUGGAGCAGGUCCAGGUCCAGCUUUAACCUUGGGCGCUCGCUGGGUUUGGCUUGGAAAUUCCAGCCUUGCCCUUCUUCUUCCAAGAAUUGCCCUUCUUCUUAAAGCUAGGCUUGUUCUGUAUAGCCAUCACAUGGCUAGUACAAGCGCUUUUCUUGAUGUCUACCUCUGCUGUCUUGAGCAUACCACACAGUUCAUUCAAACCCUUCUCCGUCCCAUGCAUAUGGUAGUUCGAGAUGAAGUUCCCAUAGCUAGGCGGAAGAGAUGAAAGAAUGAAGUCAGUGGCCAACUCUUUGCCCAUUGGGAAGCCCAGCUUCUCCAAUCGCUGAGUGUAACCAACCAUGUUGAUUACAUGUGGUCCUACUGCUGCGUCUUCUGCUAGCUUGCACUCCAGAAAAGCUUUGGACACAUUGAACCUUUCAGUCCUAGCCUGUGUCUGGAACAUGUCCUUGAGCGCCACGAUCAUAUCGUGUGCCUCAUGAUUUGUUUCGAACUGCAUCUGCAGCUCGGGUUCCAUGCAAGCAAGCAUAAGGCAGCUUACCUCAAGAUUAGCAUCAAAUGCCUUCUUGUAAGCAGCCUUAACGGCAGCAGAUGCAUCAUCAGCAGGUACUGGUGGUAGUGGGGUAUCUAGAACAUCUUCCUUUUUAUCGGCCCUGAGAACAAUUCUCAGGUUACGGAUCCAAUCCGAGUAGUUUGUUCCAUUCAACUUGUCCUUCUCAAGGACCGAGCGCAAAGCAAACGAUGUGGUGGUGUUGCUAGGUGCCAUUUAAUCUACAACAAAAGUAAUGCAAAAUACACUAAGACAAACGUAUCCAUGAUAGAGCAAAUUACAUUAAACUAUUUUAACAGAAUCUACUCCCACUAAAAUCAAUAUCCCUCUAUUGAAACUUAGUGAUUCAGGAUCCACAACUAACAAGUCUACUAGUGAGCUUUAGCAUCACCGCUAGCAAACGAGGUAGAUCGGUAAGCAACUUUUGCUAAUCAUAUCACAUAUGACUCCUGUUGUUGGGUGACAUCUCCAUGUCUCGGCGCCCAACCAUUAUGCCCCAAGGUCCUUAACCGUUAAGAUGACCUCGUUAAGCAAACCAACCCUUAUGCGUGUAAGUGUCCGACACAAACCCGUCUAGUCAAGGAAAACUAGUGGCACCCUAAUUUCAUAGACCCACCACUAAUUGUACAAGACAUGGGACGGUGCAAGUUUUAGUUGGGAGGGCAUACUAACUUAAAUUUUUUGUGAGGGAUCGUUCUACUUCUAACAUCACAGCAUGCAGAAAGUAAAACAUAAACAGAAUAGCAUUCACACAGCUGUGACACAGUAUGGCCCGUUUUUAUAUGGUGAUCUCCAUCUCCAUAGAACCUGUUCACCAUGGUGAUCUCCAUCUCCAUGUUCCAUGUGCGCCAUCCUCCUGGUGAGGAGUCCUCCAAGAACUAGAACAUGCUAUUACACCUAAUAGCUAGUAAAGAAUCUAGUAAUGAAGAUUACAUAGUUGCUUGGAUCAUCACAGAUUGGUACGCAGACCAUUAAAUACAAUAAAGUGACAACACAUAUGGCUCCUGCCGUGUUGCCGUACGCGCGACACGCAGGUCACGAAUGAGUUACACACAUGCAUCACAUACACAAGGGGGCCAUACUGAUCACAAGAUACAUACAUACAUCCUGCAAAACAGAGUUAGGCGUCCUAACGUUCCAAACUUCGAAGGCCCGAAACUCCAUCUUCCAAGCCGAAUUUGGGAAAUCUAAUUUUGCCGAAAACGGCAAAGCGGUUGAAUUUCAUGUGUAACUUUUUCUGUAGAUCAAUUUUCAUAUAAAAUUCGCCCCGAUCCGAGAUCGUACCGAAAAGUUACGGCUGAUUUACCGAAGCAUACGCAUACGGCAAAAAUUCCGACCCCGGCAGUAGAUCCCAUCUACUAUUGCACAUCUAAUGCGCCUGGCGUAUGAUCCUGGAUUUCGAUUCGACCAAUCAUAUUGAUCUUCGCUCACUGCAACUGGAAUUACGUGUAUCACUUAACUCGUCGGCGGCUCGUCGGCGGCUCAUCCAAGUGCUGCAGGCCCAACACCUCCAAGGUAUCCACACGUGCAGGGAGGAAGCGUCGCAAACCGGACUGCUAGAUCCGCGAGUUGCAAUAGGCGAGGGCGUGGGAGGCGCCGCAGGUGUGUUUCGCCAAAAAGAUGUAAACCCUAGGGCGCCCCCACCCCUCUAUUUAUAGAGGUUCCUGACGGGCCUCUGGAUCCGAGGCCCAUUAGUACUUCUAAACCUAAUCCAACUCGGAUCAGAUCCGAAUUGGGCUUCCAGCCCCUUAAGUGUGUGACCCUAUGGGUUCGGAUACGUAUAGACAUGGCCCGAGUACUCCUACUCGGCCCAAUAGUCGGUAGCGGCCUCUAGCAAGACGUGCCAACUCCUAUACACACACGAAGAUCAUAUCAGAUGAACCAUCACAACAUAAUAUACAUGCUAUUCCCUUUGCCUCACGAUAUUUGGUCUAGCUUCAAGCCGACCGCUCUUUCUCAAUCCUGUGAUUCGGAAUCCCUUUGUAGGUUAACUCUUAACCGUACGUAGCAUGGCCAUGCAUUUUCGGAUCCGAUCACUCGAGGGGCCCAGAGAUAUCACUCUCAAUCAGAGAGGGGCAAAUCCCAUCUUGAUUGACCAUGUCUCAUAGCAUGCUUCUUGACAAACCCGAAAACUACCUUUAUAACUACCCUGUUACGGCGUAGCAUUUGAUAGCCCCUAAGUAGGUCGAUCCACAUCUAGAAUACAUGCGACAAUCUCAGGUCUAAGGACAAAGCGUAUAUGUUGUUUAAAGAGAGAACUACUUCUCGUGUUGGGUCAGUCCCAGCACAUGUCUCCACAUGUGUCCACAUUAUUAGUUCAACAUCUCCAUGUCCAUGACUUGUGAAACAUAGUCAUCAACUAAUACAUGUGCUAGUCUAAUAUUCAUGUGUGUCCUCACAUGAACUCCGACUAGGGACAACUUUAGAAUAACCAUACAAGUAAAGAGUUUCACAUACAAUUCACAUAAUUGCAAAUCAAUUCAAGUAGCCUUCAAUGGAUAUUCAAUGAACACAACAUACAAAUCAUGGAUACAAAUGGAAUAUCAUCAUCUCUAUGAUUGCCUCUAGGGCAUACCUCCAACAAUUAUUUCAUGUAAAUUUUUGACAAUUUUUUAAAAUUGUUUGAUAUUUUUUAAAUUUUUUUUAAAAUAACUUUGCCGAGUGUCCUAUUGUAGACACUCGGCAAAGCAGCCUUCACCGAGUGUUACCCCUGGGACACUCGGCGAAUUAAUGCCCGGCCGCUCAAGAAUAUGUGCCCGGCCCCCUCACUCUCCCGGCCCCCCUCACUCUCACUCCCCUCACUCCCUCCUCUCUCCCUCCUCUCUCCCUCUCGCCGCCGCCCGAAACCCCCGCCGCCGCCCGCCGCCCGGCAUGCCGCCCAGCGCCCCCCGCCGCCGCCCGGCGCUCCCGAAUCCGCCGCCGCCCGCCCGGCGCCCGGCCCCCGGAUCCGCCGCCGCCGGCCGCCCGGCGCCCCCGGAUUCGCCGCCGCCCGCCCGGCCCCCGGCCCCCGGAUCAGCCGCCGCCCGCCGCCCGGCGCACGGCGCCCCCGGAUCCGCCGCCGCCUGCCCGGCGCCCGGCCCCUGGCCCCCUGAUCCGCCGCCGCCCGCCCGGAUCCGCCGCCGCCCGCCCGGCGCCCGGCCCCCGGCCCCCGGAUCCACCGCCGCCCCCCCGGCCCCCGGAUCCGCCGCCCGCCCGUCCCCUCCACCGGAUCCGCCGGCGCCGGGGCCUGAAGAGAAGAGAAGAGGAGAGGAUGGUGGCGGCGGCGGCCGCGGCGGCGGAGCAGGUGGCAGAGCAUGCAUGAUUUUUUUUUAUUUUUUCAAUAAUUGUUCGCCAAGUGUUUUCUGGGCACUCGGCAAAGUCUUUGCCGAGUGCCCGACACAAAACACUCGGCGAACCAGUGUUUGCCGUCAAGAUUUUUGCCGUGUGUCGUUUGCCGAGUGUUACACUCGGCAAACGCUUUGUCGAGUGUUUUUGGGGUUUCGCGGAGUGACCCUGGCACUCGGCAUCACGCAUGUUUCCCUUAGUGAACUUGAAAUUAUCUGUACAUUCUCGGUGAAGCUGUUGAACUAAUUUUUGCAAAUUAUUAAUUCAUCUCAUUACGCAAAGAAAAAAGUAAGUGGAUAAGAUAUUUCGUGGACCACAUCACUGCAAACAUGUCAUGGAGAGACAGACCAAGGAGGCAGGACGUGAUACACGACUUACCCUAGGUUGCCGUGGAACCGCCAAGAAGAGAUACAGAUACAUGGACCACACCAUCUUGGGAGUAGUGACAGCAUAUAUGCAGAAGAAUACCCCGUGCCUAUUUGCAUGCAUGUCUCAAGUGAUCUGUUUUCUUCAGAAAAUACAUGAGCAUUGCCAGAAAGAAUGGCAAGAGACAAACAUGUCAUAGAGACUUGCAUGUCUUGCCUUGGAUACGCCAAGAAGAGGGACACAUACAUGGAUAACACAAAUCUAGUGACACGUAUAUUCAUCACAAAGGCAAAUCUGAUAAUUUUAUCCAUGGAGCAGACCAAGGAGAAAUUGAUGACGGACAUGUGAUCUCUGUAUUCAGUUGAAAGCUAAUUGAGCUACACUAAUAUGAGCAGGACUAUAUUCAAGAGACUUGUUGAGAGCUACAGGGAACUUGUAAUAAUUUGCUGGGCGGCCUGCGCACAAUGAUUUGUUAUACAUAGUUGAAAUAUUUCAAGAAUUUAUCAACCUCAUACUCUGAAACCCUUGGUGCAAUGUACUCUGCUUUCCGAGGUAGACUGUUCACGUAAAAUGAGGUCAUGCGUAAGACGGAAUCGGAUUGGAUUCACAGGGAAUCAGAUUUGGAUAGCACCUUUUAGCAGGUUUUUAGUCAAAUGCAAAUUCGGAUCCACAUGUGGUUGAAUGCGAGUUCAAAAUUCUACUUGGAUAUCCAUUUAAUUUAGGUGAUAGCAAUUAGCACAAAAUGUUGGAUGAACAAAAUCAUAGUUAGACAUACAAUUACAUGUAUGGUUAAAGUAUAAUACAAUACACCAAGAUUAUUCCUUGAAAAUAUUUCUUAAAAAUAUUAUAAUAAAUGAAUAAAUAUAAUUGUGGCCACCAACAAAUAGUCGGUGGUCGCUAAGUUGGAGCCAUUUCUGGUUACUAAUGCGGCCUUCUCCUCGACCAGCGACGACAGCUGAGCUUGUUCCUUCUGACACUAAAUCAUCAGAGUCUUCCCUCCACUACUAUAGAAUGCACCUUUAGCACCAAUUGGGAAAUCCCCUUCAGUAUUGGAUGCUGCAACCAGUGCUAUAUAUCAAAAUGGAGACUAAAAGCCUCGGUCUUGGGUACCGGUUGCAUAACGCAUUACUAAAGGAGGCAAAAGAGAAAUGUAACAAAAAAAAUAUUUUGAAUUCCAAGAAUGUUUCACUAUUCAAGAUGACUAGCUGAGAGUCAACAGACAAGAUACUAGGAAUGUGGGUGCUUGAAUGCAUUUGUACAGAGGUCAUACUAUUUACAAACUCUUCUAUGUUUCCAUAUGACUACCUACUUCAAUGUCACGCGAGCCAUUCAGCUGGACACAUGGCACACUAGCUUGCAUGUCGAAUCCAUGAUUAAUUAUUUGCACUUGUGAUCUCUUACCAGUAUUUGUCCAGACUAGAAACGUGCAACACAUUUUUAGGAUAUGGACACGCAUAUAUUUGGACUAGUAUACAGGUCACCUUUGGAUGCGUACAAGGAUGACCGGGAGGGACUAAUGGAUACAAGGAAGGGACCAUCAGGAUUAAUAUUGACAUAUGCCACAUGACAAUCUUCAUUGUCAUGCAAUCCCUAUCAACAAUCAUGGAAUCCCUAGUGUACUAAUCCCUGGAGGGUUGUGUGGAAAUUUAUUUUACCUUGCGGUGAAAAUCUCAUGAGCAGUCAUUAGUUAAGCUGACUAGCUGAGAUAUAAUAGACAAGCUAGUAAGAUUGGGAGCAUCAAUGCAUCCAUACAGGGUCACAAUAUCCUUUCCAUUCACUUUUAUAUAUAACCCUACGAAUACAAGUCCAACGAAAUGCGGGCCUUUCGAUCAAGAUAAAUUAAAUGGCCCACUUGUAUUUCUAAUCCAGGAUUAACUAUGCCCUCUGUUCAUCUCUUGCAAGCACGUGCAACACAUUUUCACGAUAUGGACAUGCAUGGAGGUUAUUAUACUGUUUGGACAAACUCUGAUGUGCCAUGACCUAAAUGCUUAGGGCCUGUUUGGUUUGAGUUGCUUAUUAUAAGCAACUUAAAGUUGCUUAAAGUUGCUUAUUUGAAGUUGCUUAUUUUUAGUCUAAACUGUUUGGAUACCCUUGCUUAUGAGCAUUGAAUGAGUUGGACAUUGUCAAAUUUGCCCCAUGUGUUGCUACCCCUCCAAUUUGCCUCCCCACCCUUCUUCUUCCUGCACACGUCCGAUCCCGGGGGCCGACGGCGGGCAGGGAGCAGCAGCAGCUGGCCAGGGCGGCGGUGGGGCGGGAGCGGCGGCGCACACCAGCACGCGCUCGCACGCCAGGUGCUAGGGCGCGGCGAGGCAGUCGUCGUAGCCCACCGGGAGCGGGUGCUCGGGCGCGAGGCGGUACUCGACGGAGAUGCCGAGCGUCGGGCGCGCGGCGGCGAGCGCGUUGAGGAAGCGAUGGUAGUGCGGCGACGUCGCGGACUCCGCCACGAAGCCGCCGCCGUGGACGUACACCACCACGGGCAGCUUCGUCUUGCCGUCGGCGGCCGCGGCCGCGGCCUGGGGUGGCAGGUAGAGGCGGACGGAGCAGGAGCCGAGGUCGACGUCCCUGGAGUCGACGCCCGUGGCGGCGUCCAGGCUAGGCCCGACCGGCGGCGGCACGAGCGGGCGCUCGAUGCGGCCGCUCUUGUAAAUCCGACGGGUCUGUGCGGAGGCGGGCGGCGGGCGGGAGCGGCGGGUGGGAGCGGCGGCAGGUGGUGCGGAGGCCGGCGGCGGCGGGUGGCGCGGAGGAAGGGGAGCUGGUGAGUGGUGACAGGGGAGGGGGGGAGAGAGAGGGGGGGGUAGGGUGCAUUGAAUGAGGGCAGGAGGUGUAAAGUGCACCUUUUAGUCCCCAUGAGCAACCAUAAGCAGCCCAAGAGUUGCUUAUUUGCUUAUAAUAAGCAACCUCAUAAGCAAGAGUGAUUGGUUUCAUAAGCAACUUAUUUGCUUAUUUUAAGUUGCUUAUGCAUAAGCAUGUGAAACCAAGCAGGUCCUUAACCUAUGGUUGUGGCACCACACAGUACAUAGUAUUUAAUAAUGCUAUUCGUUUGGUAUGUGCACAAGGGCACGCAUGAAAUGUCUGGCCCACGGUAAACAAGUACGGACGCUGCAAAUAAUCUACUCUGCUCGUCCAGUCCCUAGCCUAUAAAUAGAUGCCAUGCUAGCUCUUGUUGUGCUCACAAUUAAUCCUGACUACACACGAGCUUCUCUCCCUGGCCAAGACACAAUCAUAGUAUGAUGAAGAACAUGGCACUAGCCGGCAAUGGUAUGAAGAACUUAAUCCUCGCUGUUCUCUUACUGUGUCUAGUUAUAGGGCAGAUACAAGUGGAAGCUAAGAGCUGCUGCCCAUCCAUUACUGCAAGAAAUAUCUACAAUGCCUGCCGUAUCACGGGUACAUCCCGUCCAACGUGUGCAAAACUGUCAGGCUGCAAAAUUAUCAGCGGGGACAAAUGCAAGCCCCCUAACGACCACCUCACCCUUGACCCGGACACUGGUAAAUAAUAAAUUUAUCUCACUUGAUUUCUUCGUGUUUUGAGUCGUUAAUGUAUUUUCCAUCUGAUGAAACGUAUUGGUUUUGCAUUGAAGAGGAAGUUAAUGUGCUUAACUUCUGCAAGUUGGGGUGUGCGUCGUCUGUGUGCAACAACAUCAACGCUGGUAAGCACCUUUUGCUCAGACGGAGAAAACAAUAAUCAUUAAUUAGCGGCAGCUAGAAUCCUAUAAUCUAAUAUAUUUAUAUAUAUAUAUAAUUUUAUCAGCUCUGGGAAAUGAAGAGGCGAACGAUGCCGUUGAGAGUUGCGACCAAGCCUGCUCUAGCUUCUGCAACGUGCACGUUGGCGCUGCCACCGUGGUUGCUUAAGCAAAUGCAUCCAACUGGAUCGUCCUUGUGCUAAAUAAUUGGAUAUCGUAUCCACUUAAAGCUGCCUUGUGUAGUACGUUUUUGUUUGUGUCUCUCUUUAUAUUCCAAUAAGGUCGGUGAUCUUGAUGCCACACACUCAGACGUGUGUUCAUCUCCAGAUACUACUCCAUGCUACCUGCCCUUUGUGUUUUGUUCAAUAACUGGGUAUCAUAUCCCAGCCAGUGUGCCAUCUGUUUUGUGUUUAUUUCCUUCUAGUUUCAAAGGGGUUAUCAUGAUGUUACCUUCUUUCGAUAUGGUGCUUUGCAUGACUACUGUUGUAUGGUACCAUCUUGUUGGCCAAUAAAUACAUCUUAUCCUAUGACCCUUUGCUAUGACCCUUUGCAAAUAAGUACAAGAUUGUUAAAUACUCGGUAUAAAUUGACUACUGCUGUGAGUUCCCUUUCAGCUUAUCGUAGGCAUACAUUAUUGCUAGCACGGUGAAGACAACCAACACGAAUGGUCAAGUAAACGUACCGGUACUUUUGUAUACCAACACCCUUGCUUAAAUGUACCGGUGUUACUCCCCACUAGCACAUAUAUUCUUAUAUGCUAGCCGGCUUGAAAAUUAACCGAUUAAAAUAAUUAUUUCAAGACAGAAAUAACUUAUCGGCUUCUCGAAGCAUGUGUAAUGUGAAUUCAAGGACUUGAUGGAAGUUGAAUCGCUUAAUCUAGAUUGCUUUCAGGAUUUUGGGUAACUAAAUUUAACAUUUGCACAUACAAAUGUUAAUGUACAAAUAUUAAAUAUAGUUACCCAAGCAGAAUAUGAAGAUACUCUAUAGUAUAUAUAUACUAUAUAAAUCUAGUUAACAUUUAGUCUAAAUGUUAAAUCUAGUUACCUAAAAUCCUGAAAGCAAAAUGUAUAAAUAUAUAUCUUUUAAGGAAUCCCAAAGCAAGAGUUCAGUGGCAUUCUAUAGUCCCAUGCUGCUAGUUUGAGUUGGUCGAAGCCAACUUAAAUAGGAGAGCUCUCUCACUUCUCUAAAUACGUAACUGAAGGAGAGAAGGGGGCUUGGUUACACAACGCACGCACGCACGCAUAUUUGCGUUCUUUUCGCGUAACCAACCGCGUGACUUGAAACUUGCGACGUAGCGUGCUGCCAAGUCAAGUUGAUAUAACCUUUUUGCCGUAGGCGUGUAAUCUUUUGACAACGGUCAUUGGAGGUGAUAAGCACGCAGUCAAUACCUUAAUCCUGAGUUAAUAGGGCGGUUACUACUGCCAAUUAGUGGGGCAAUUUUGUAGGGGAAACGGUUAGCAGAGGGCUACCAUCUUCUCUAUAAGAAGUUCUGGAGACGUCCAGGAACACACAUGUACAUGUGAGAGACCCACGAAUUCCUUCCCAUCUCCCUUUUCCAUCUGGUGAAGUGUGCUAUGGUACUGAGCUGCUGGAUCUCGCCGGCUCUUCUCCUUGGCGUGCACCGAGGAGGAGGGUGAGCGGUAUCUCCGAGCUAUUGCCGUCAGGAAGCCUGCACGAGGGACAACAAUAAAGUUUUUGGGUAGCGCAACUACGCAACCGCUCGAUUCGAUCGACUAUGUUCUGCGCUGCCUCAUCUUCGAUCUGCACUGCAACACGUAACCCUGCAGCAAGUCUACACAAGGACGGAGCACUAAUCUGUAAGUCCUAGAUUGGUUUCUUACAGAGUUGUAGGUUACACAAGAUCUAGAAUUGUUACAUACUUAUUAUUAUGGGUUACAUGAUGUUUUGUACGGUUACGUCUAUUUUGCAUAUGCUAUUUUUACAUACCGUUUACAUGCAUAUGUAAUGGUUACGCCUAGCUAUUUGAAUCUAGAAUUGGGUUACAUAGCAGUAGCAAUGACUUACGUAAUAUGCCUCAUGUUUAUAUCUGGUAGAAUUUAACACGUAUCUCCAACAUAUUUUGAGGCAGUAUAAAUUUCAAUUCCUUUUGCUGCUCUGUUAAAUCCCGUCUUUCGUGUGGCCCAACACUCUAGUAUGCAUGUAGCACCAAGCUUGUUUGAGCCGCUUUGUGCUCUGAUUUUGCUGUCUGUAUCAGGUUGGACUGUUUCUUUGUCUUGCGAUGUAUAGCUUCAUAUCUUCUAGAGGUUAGACAGCAAAACCCGCGUUCUCUUAAGGCAACAACUCGAAGAAUCUGCAGCGCUCCUGAUAUAUCACUGCUGCAGAAACAAUCUUUAGUACUGAUUUCCAACCCCCUUUAGUAUCGGUUUGGCAAUCAGUACCACUACGUCGGUACUAAAGGGAGUUCUCUAGAAUCGGGUCAAAUAACUGGUACUAAAAGUGCUCCUCUACUACCAGUUGGUAACACCAAUAGGUAGUAACUUUUUUUGCACCCAAAAAAUUAAAGAAAAACAGCCGGGAGGCUCGCGCACACACGCAUCAUGAGUAAUAUGCGCGUGCAUGGUUUGUGGGAUUCCAACCCACGACCAAGCUAUAAGCACGUAGUUACAAAAAAAUUAAACACUUAGACAUUUUAGAGCAUCCCAAAUAACUACAAAUUCUUUAGUUUACCAUAUACCAUAAAAUAUUAGUUAAAAUAAGAGCAUACGCACGUCGGAAGAGUCCCAAUGCACCGGUUGAGGAUCAGACCAGGCACUUUGAAUGCACAUGCCAUAAGAUAAUUCUGCAGGACGAUGAUUGCAAUAAUGGACCAUCGAGAAGAUAGGGGCGAUGGGGUUGCCUCAUCAAUUAUGACUUGGCGCAACAAGACCAGCAAAGUCUUUAUCGACAGGGGUGGAUCAAGGGGUGGGGCGGGUAGAGCUCCAAUCUUCCUACCGCCGCUCGAACAAUGGAGCCCCCCUUAGCCCCUCCAUAAAUUUUUAGGUAGAAGAAAAAAGAAGAGAAGGGAAGGAAGGGGAAGAAUAGGGAGCCCCUCCUAAGUAGGUCGCCAUCGUGCUUCCCAACGCAUGAUCGCCGCACCGCAUCCAUUCCUCUACAAGCCUCCAGCGUCUCUCCUGCCGCUACCUCUGAACCAUGUGCAGCUGCAGACCCAACUAGUGUCUUGUCACCCAUCUCAAUCCCAACAGAGCGGCGGCUCCUGCCAGCACAAAUCUCCCUCCGCCUGUUCUUCACGAUCGAUGGCCACCACAAGCAUAAACCUCGCCUUCGCAUCCACGCAAAAGGGUCGCCGGUGUGCCUUCUCGCAUCGCUUCUCAGCCUCCUUCACUUGCGGCUGGCCAAGAACCGUGCCACCACCUCGGGUGCGCGCCACCGCUCCAGGGCCGCUACCCCAUGCGUGCGGCCGCCGCCGGCCACCACGCGUGUGCAACCGUGUCGCACCGCUUCCCUGCUCUGUGCCACCACUGCUACUGCACCACCAGCUCCACCACCUUGGGCUGGUCGCCAGGGUGACUGAUUGGUGGAUUAUUACUACAAAUAAGUUCCUUAUUAUCUGCAACUACUAUUAACUCAGGGAUACAUGCGUCUUUUGCUUCUCCUGUUAAUAUGUCCUAAAAUAUCUAGAAUGCCUUAUAUUUCUGGACGGAGGAAGUAUUUGAAUAAAAUGAACCAAUUUUAAAAAAUGUGUUGUACACUACUACAGAAAGAACUAUCAGUGUCAAACCCAAAAAUGUCGUCACUGCCAGUUUUGGGCAUCGUUGGUGAAAGGUUGGCGGUGAUGGGUAUCCCCUUCAACAACGGCACUAGAGCUAACAGUGAUUGACAUUAGAAAACGAAAAAGGGGACCCACCUAGCCACCCCUGCAACCCGGCUGGCCGUGCCUCCCGUCAUCCCCACCACCUCGCCUCCCCCGUGACCCCCCGCCGGCGCCCUUGCGCCUAGCCCCCUCGCCUGCCUGGCCGGCCACCCUCGUCACGAGAGAGAGGGGUGCAUGUUGUAUAAUUGCGUGAAUUUUUAAUGUUUAAUUUCAUGUAAGUUUCAUAUAAUAAAUUGUACAAGUUUUAUUGUAUAUAUGAAUUCCAUAUAUAUAUAUUUAUAAUUUAAUGUAUGGUUUCAUGUGUAUAUUUCAAUAAUGUGUAUAUUUAGUAGAUAGCCGAUUUUCUUUUUCUACAAGACAAGGGUUGAUGUAUAAUUACGUGUAUAUGUUUAUUGUACGGGCAAUUAGGACAAGUUUUGUAUAAAUUUCUUUUAUUUCAUGGUUGUUGUAUGGUUUCAUGUAUAUACAUUUAUUGUACUACUUGAGACAAUUUUUAAUUUAAUGUUUCUAUGGUUACAUGUGUGUAUAACUAAUUGUAUUAUUAGUUAAGAUGGGAGCCAAAGAGGAUGAAAGGUAUAUAAUGGAGCAGAUUAUUGCUGGCGGUAGUGGCUCAAACGUUGCAAGAACCUACAUCAAGGGUGAGGGUAGCUAGGUGGACAUGUACCUCAACAUGUCCAGUGAUGGCAAUGACGAUGAGGAGCACGAGCAUGACGUUUAUGAUAGUGCGGAACAAGACAUUGCAGAAUUGGAAGGUUCUAAUGAGGUGUGCUUCAUGUUGAUGAUCUGGUUGGCUUUUUUUCUUUGGUCACACCUUAGUUACCAUAGAACUUCGUCUCGGGAGAAGAUUGGAGGUGCUAUGGUGAUUGGAAUUUUAUUGCCUCCAAAUAUGAUUUCCAUCGAAUCAUAUCCCUUGUAUUUAUCUUCUUUUUAUUUGUGAGAGCAUCUUCUUUAUGCUUGCAAAACAAUUCAAGUGCACAUACUACACCUAGGGUGAUGAUUAGGAGUAGAAACAAUUGCCAACAAACGAACACCACAUCCUAAGAUUCUUAACUUGUGGUAUAAUUAGUCUAGUAAAAAGAAAGAUAAAAACCUAAUGGGUGUACGUGAGUGCAAUGCGUAUAUGCAUAUGAGUGGAAGGCAUAUAAGCAAAGAUAAUAUUUACACAUAGAUCUAAGCACCAUGUUUACAACUAAGUUGCUGAAUUUCUCCAUAGCUAUAGAGAUUAAUGAACCAAGGUCAAAACACCAUGUCUAUCCCAAGAUCAGUAAUUCUUUAUAGCACAAGAAAAAGAAAGCGCAUUGCAAAGUUUAUAAACCAACCAAUGCAGCAUGAAAACAAGAUGAAUAGCUAGCAAGGUUUAUUAAACUGAAUGAUGACGGUCUGCAAGCAAGUUUGAACACCAUCUUUACACAAGAUUGCAAAUGGAAAAUUCCCAUAUGAAGAACUAACAUGGAUAUGAAAUCAUUCAUCAUAAAGCGUAAAGAACAACCAAGCCAACCAUAUGCAAAGCAUGAAUGGAAUGCAAUGAAGGUGCAAGAGAACAUUUUUGGAUGAACCCAUUAUGAUGAUGGCAAAAUGCGCCGUGCCCCCCAGCCCCCGCGGUGAGAUCCCGCCGCUCGCUGCCGCCAGACCCUAUUAGGCCUCCACCGGCAGGUCCACCCACGGUCCCGCGCGACGUGGCAGCCUCUUGGCUCUCGGCGCUCGCGGCACGCCAGUGCUGGCGCAGCCCCACCAGGCGACUACCCUCCCCCCAUAAGGCCUCGGCCCCUCCCCAGCGCCGCCCCCCAACACCAGGACUGCCUGCUGCCCCCCACCGUGAGGUAAUCGAAAUCGACUGCUCAAUCUCUCAAUCUGUUGAUAUGAUGCACACGGUUGCAAAAAUAGAUGUGUCAAAAUAGAUGUUUUGCCAAUUGCUAUAGAUGCAUACGGUUGACAUGAAGUCAAAAAUGACAUUUGGUUCCUUGUAGGCAGUCAAAAAUGAAGAAGUCAAAAAAUAUUGAUCUGAAAUCAAUGUGGGAAAGGGCUAUGAAGACACGCAGGUAGAUUCCCUUGUGAACUUUUUAUGUCGUUCGUCUAAAUAAUUUUUUGCAAUGGGCAUACCCUACUCUGAAAUCCUGGGUCCGCCACUGAUGAUGAUGGUCUAAAAAUAAACCAAGCCUAGAUUAAUUAGCCACAACUGAAAUUAAGCAAAGGUUAAUGUCAUUGACCCUAGCUCUAUCCUAGCUUUUACCAAAGUUCCGGCACAUAUAGUGGUUGGGCCCACUCUCUCUGCUUCCCUCUCUGCUGCAUGCACGCACACGAGCAACGGGAGGCCCGACGAAGCCCAGAAGGGUUCGGCCGAACCAGUAUGAGCGCCGCUCCCUCCCAGCCUUCGCGCAGAUGCUCCUCCAACGUUCCUUGACCCCUCCCUCAGCGUCCCGUUGGGUUUAACAUUGCAGGAGAGGAGUCCCUUUUUUAAAAUCUCAACCACCUCCUCUCCCCAUUCACUCCACUCUCAUCUCCAUCAAACUCACCAAGAUCCGCACCGGAAAUCCCUGCUUACCACCAUGGCUGGCAAAGCCCUCAUCCCUUUCACCAACUUGGGCUUGACCACUGAUCUCGAUGGGGAAAUCACUCUGGCAAAUAUGCGUGUAACACUGCCCCCUUUGCCGAGGGUUAAAGCCAAAACACUCAGCAAAGUGGAUAGUACCCCCCUUUUUACCCGUUUUGUCAUGUAUAACGGACCCCUCUCAAUUCACAAUAGACAUCAUCAUAGGCAUUUAUAAUAAACAAUCACAGGCAUAAUUCACAAUCACCAUUACAAGCAUUAUUCAUAAAUAUCACAGACAUAAUCCAAAGUAAGCAUGAAACAAGCCAUAAAUCCAAGUUCAAGUCACAACUAAGUUUCAUCCAAGUUCAAGUCACAAAUGCAAUGUCUAAAUCCAUGGAGGCCAAGGAGACCACUGCGACAAAUCUUGGUCUUCAUUAUUCGAAGCCGCCGAUUGAUUCUGCACAUAGGAUAGGACAUUCUGAGCUAACAUCUAAAGUUGUCAAAAUUAAAGUAUUCAAUCUUAAGCACAAUGUGUCAAAUGACUCACAGGAGUAGUUGUGGGUGGCUGAGGCGGAGGGAACAGCAUCGAUGGCGGUGGCAAAGAUUGACCCAUGCUCGAAGCAAAAUUCUGCAUGUACUGGAACAUCUGGUCCAUCCUCAUCCGAUUUUCUUCCUCCAUCCUCUGCCGCUCGGCCUCUAACCUCCGCUGAACCAUCUGCUCCAUCCUCGCCGCCAUCUCCUCUUGUUGCUUCCUUGCUGCUUCCACCUGGGCCUACAAUAUUUCAUUGCAAUGUUACAAUGCAAAGCUAAAGUAUAGCAACCAACGAACAAUGAAUGGAAGAGAAAGAACCUGGAGAGCCUCCAUCUGGAACUGUCCAAUGGUUGGUCGUAGCCGUAUCGCCGGGCUCGAGUCCGUGCUCCUUGCUUGGAUCUGGGAGAGAGUGGCAGUAGAGGCCGUGUUGAUUACGCCGUCGCCAAUCCAAUAUCGGCCAUGCUUCUUGCCUCCUCCCACCCUCAUCACGAUUUCUCCAUCAAUAUCCUCAGAGCUUGAAUCGAAGUCUGGCCCGUGAACCUCCCUUGCCAUCACUGUAUAUUCCUUUGCCGAGUGCCCGAGAUAAAGCACUCGGCAAAUAGAAAACACUCGGCAACUUUACUGUUUCCCGUAGUGUCGCUAUUUUUGCAGGUUCUCGACCAGGCCAGUUCUUUGGGCCAACCUAUCAUUCACGACUUAAACAUACGGUGGCUGUAGAAAUGUUCUAUUCUUUUCAACAAUACCAGCUGGUUCCUCCGUUUUUAUUCCACCAAUACAAGCACCACCUUGUAACAUUUCCUAUGUUUUUUUUUCCUUUCGUCUGUUUUCUACAUGCGUUGCUCUUUCAUGCAUUUUUUUCCAUUCCUGUAUUCCAAAUAGGUCUACAUGAACACAAAAUGAACUAGGGGACAGAAAAAGCCAGUGAAGCCAAUUUUGAGCUUCACCAGCUACUUGCUACAUAAAGUGUGCUAUAGUGACGUGUUUUAGCAAAACAUGUUAUCAAUGACUUGACAUUGGUGACGUGUUAAAACGCGUUAUCUCAAUGGCAAAUCAUUGGUGACGUGUUUUAAAAAAACAUGUCACCGUGAGAGUCAUUGGUGAAGGGUAAUUAUAAUGCGUCACUAAUGUUGUAGCAUUAGUUAUGAUAAUUUAGUAACGCAAAAAUCUACCAUCAGUAUUGAGCUUUAGAGCCAUCGCUAAUGUGGGUUUCUUACAUAGUGAUGCAAGCUCUACAAGGUGCUGUUGCUGCCAUUUUAAAGCAUCCCAUGACUACAUGUUAAUAACAUAGUUUACCAUAUAUCAUAAAAAUAUUAGUUACAAUAAGCACAUACGCAUGUGGAAGAGUCCGAAUGCACCGGUUGAGGACUAAACACAUUGAAUUACUAGAACCAAAUGUGUGUUUAGAACAAAGACAGGGGUCAAGGUUUGGGUAACCGCAUUAAAAACAUUGGAUUUUACUGUACAUGAACACUUAGUUACCAUUACCAUGCCUUGAGCACCUAGUUACAACAAACAUUAAUUUAGCCACUUUAGAGCUUCCAGAAUCGCUAUAAAUAAUAUACCUACGCCGUACCAUGAAAACAUCAAGAAGAGAGACGGAUACAUGGACCACCAUCAAGCGAGUAGUGACAGCACGCACAAGAAUACCCGGAACCUGUUAGCUUGUCUGUAGUGAUCUGUUUUCUUCCCCAUAAAAUCCAUGAGUAUUGCCACAAAUAAUGAAAGAGGCUGACCAAGCUAGCAAGGAGGUAGAGCAAACGUGAUACACGGCCUGCCAAGAUUGCCCUGGAUACGCCAAUAAGAGCGACAGAUACAUGGAUCACACCAAUAUGGUGAAACGUAUAUUCAUCACACAAGCAAAGCUGGUCAGUUUAUCCAUGGUCAAAUUGUGGUCUUUGUUUUCACUUGAGAGCUAAUUGAGGCACUAUAAUAUGGGCAGGCCUAUCUUCAACAGACAUGACAGCUACAGGGAACUUGACAUAAUUUGCUGGGCCGCCUGUGCACAAUUAUUUGUUUUAUUGUCCUUGCAUAGAAUGCUAAAAUACUCUUUACAAAAUGUUGGAUCUAAUAUUUGAAAUAUAGAGUAGUAAUCAUAUAUUGAUCAACAACUUGAAAUUAUCUGUACAUUCUCGGUGAAGCUGUUGAACUAAUUUUUGCAAAUUAUUAAUUCAUCUCAUUACGUAAAGAAAAAAGUAAGUGGAUAAGAUAUUUCGUGGACCACAUCACUGCAAACAUGUCAUGGAGAGACAGACCAAGGAGGCAGGACGUGAUACACGACUUACCCUAGGUUGCCGUGGAACCGCCAAGAAGAGAUACAGAUACAUGGACCACACCAUCUUGGGAGUAGUGACAGCAUAUAUGCAGAAGAAUACCCCGUGCCUAUUUGCAUGCAUGUCUCAAGUGAUCUGUUUUCUUCAGAAAAUACAUGAGCAUUGCCAGAAAGAAUGGCAAGAGACAAACAUGUCAUAGAGACUUGCAUGUCUUGCCUUGGAUACGCCAAGAAGAGGGACACAUACAUGGAUAACACAAAUCUAGUGACACGUAUAUUCAUCACAAAGGCAAAUCUGAUAAUUUUAUCCAUGGAGCAGACCAAGGAGAAAUUGAUGACGGACAUGUGAUCUCUGUAUUCAGUUGAAAGCUAAUUGAGCUACACUAAUAUGAGCAGGACUAUAUUCAAGAGACUUGUUGAGAGCUACAGGGAACUUGUAAUAAUUUGCUGGGCGGCCUGCGCACAAUGAUUUGUUAUACAUAGUUGAAAUAUUUCAAGAAUUUAUCAACCUCAUACUCUGAAACCCUUGGUGCAAUGUACUCUGCUUUCCGAGGUAGACUGUUCACGUAAAAUGAGGUCAUGCGUAAGACGGAAUCGGAUUGGAUUCACAGGGAAUCAGAUUUGGAUAGCACCUUUUAGCAGGUUUUUAGUCAAAUGCAAAUUCGGAUCCACAUGUGGUUGAAUGCGAGUUCAAAAUUCUACUUGGAUAUCCAUUUAAUUUAGGUGAUAGCAAUUAGCACAAAAUGUUGGAUGAACAAAAUCAUAGUUAGACAUACAAUUACAUGUAUGGUUAAAGUAUAAUACAAUACACCAAGAUUAUUCCUUGAAAAUAUUUCUUAAAAAUAUUAUAAUAAAUGAAUAAAUAUAAUUGUGGCCACCAACAAAUAGUCGGUGGUCGCUAAGUUGGAGCCAUUUCUGGUUACUAAUGCGGCCUUCUCCUCGACCAGCGACGACAGCUGAGCUUGUUCCUUCUGACACUAAAUCAUCAGAGUCUUCCCUCCACUACUAUAGAAUGCACCUUUAGCACCAAUUGGGAAAUCCCCUUCAGUAUUGGAUGCUGCAACCAGUGCUAUAUAUCAAAAUGGAGACUAAAAGCCUCGGUCUUGGGUACCGGUUGCAUAACGCAUUACUAAAGGAGGCAAAAGAGAAAUGUAACAAAAAAAAUAUUUUGAAUUCCAAGAAUGUUUCACUAUUCAAGAUGACUAGCUGAGAGUCAACAGACAAGAUACUAGGAAUGUGGGUGCUUGAAUGCAUUUGUACAGAGGUCAUACUAUUUACAAACUCUUCUAUGUUUCCAUAUGACUACCUACUUCAAUGUCACGCGAGCCAUUCAGCUGGACACAUGGCACACUAGCUUGCAUGUCGAAUCCAUGAUUAAUUAUUUCCACUUGUGAUCUCUUACCAGUAUUUGUCCAGACUAGAAACGUGCAACACAUUUUUAGGAUAUGGACACGCAUAUAUUUGGACUAGUAUACAGGUCACCUUUGGAUGCGUACAAGGAUGACCGGGAGGGACUAGAAAUGGUCUAGUUUUGAUUGGACUACAAAACUUUUUGUACAGUGAAUAGAGAAUAUAUAUUAUUGUUGGAAUACGAGGUAGGCUACACUAUCGCAAUUCUGAUAUUCUACCGCGUAUAACCAAGAAGAACUGUCGUAUAAGGAUCACGGGAUUACCACUCGACGCACUACUGGUGCGGAAGAUGUAGAUAUGCGUCGAUGCAGUGAAGACGAUCACGUAGUCGUAUGUAGUCGAUCAACGUAGUCGUACAUAGUCGAUCACGUCCAGCAGCUCCUCAGCAGCUCGUCCACGUGCAGCAAGAUCGCCUCCGGUACCGCGGCUCGUCGUUGGCUUGUCGUGGCUCGUCGACGGCUCGUCGGCGGCUCGUCCAAGUGCUGCAGGCGCAACACCUCCAAGGUAUCCACACGUGCAGGGAGGAAGCGUCGCAAGCCGGACUGCUAGAUCCACGAGUUGCAACAGGCGAGGGCGUGGGAGGCGCGGCAGGUGUGUUUCGCCAAAAAGGUGUAAACCCUAGGGCGCCCCCACCCCUCUAUUUAUAGAGGUUCCUGACGGGCCUCUGGAUCCGAGGCCCAUUAGUACUUCUAAACCUAAUCCAACUCGGAUCAGAUCCGAAUUGGGCUUCCAGCCCCUUAAGUGUGUGACCCUAUAAGUUCGGAUACGUAUAGACAUGGCCCGAGUACUCCUACUCGGCCCAAUAGUCGGUAGCGGCCUCUAGCAAGACGUGCCAACUCCUAUACGCACACGAAGAUCAUAUCAGACGAACCAUCACAACAUAAUAUACAUGCUAUUCCCUUUGCCUCACGAUAUUUGGUCUAGCUUCAAGCCGACCGCUCUUUCUCAGUCCUGUGAUUCGGAAUCCCUUUGUAGGUUAACUCUUAACCGUACGUAGCAUGGCCAUGCAUUUUCGGAUCUGAUCACUCGAGGGGCCCAGAGAUAUCACUCUCAAUCAGAGAGGGGCAAAUCCCAUCUUGAUUGACCAUGUCUCAUAGCAUGCUUCUUGACAAACCUAAAAACUACCUUUAUAACUUCCCUGUUACGGCGUAGUGUUUGAUAGCUCCUAAGUAGGUCGAUCCACAUCUAGAAUACAUGCGACAAUUUCAGGUCUAAGGACAAAGCGUAUAUGUUGUUUAAAGAGAGAACUACUUCUCGUGUUGGGUCAGUCCCAGCACAUGUCUCCACAUGUGUCCACAUUAUUAGUUCAACAUCUCCAUGUCCAUGACUUGUGAAACAUAGUCAUCAACUAAUACAUGUGCUAGUCUAAUAUUCAUGUGUGUCCUCACAUGAACUCCGACUAGGGACAACUUUAGAAUAACCAUACAAGUAAAGAGUUUCACAUACAAUUCACAUAAUUGCAAAUCAAUUCAAGUAGCCUUCAAUGGAUAUUCAAUGAACACAACAUACAAAUCAUGGAUACAAAUGGAAUAUCAUCAUCUCUAUGAUUGCCUCUAGGGCAUACCUCCAACAGUCUCCCACUUGCACUAGAGUCAAUCUAGAAGGUACCUAAUACCCAUAGCUCUUACAUGCGCAUCAUGCUUAGCCUGCGGGAGUGGUUUUGUCAACGGAUCAGAAAUGUUCAGAUCCGUGUGUAUUUUGCAUAUCUUGAUCUCACCCCGGUUAACGAAGUCUCGAAUGAGAUGAAAUCGCCGCAUUACAUGUUUGUUCUUCUGGUGGUUCCUUGGCUCCUUUGCUUGCGCAAUUGCCCCAUUGUUAUCACAGUAGAGAUUCAAUGGGCUGGACCCAUUCGGGAACACACCAAGCUCAAUGAGGAAAUUCCUUAUCCAAACACCUUCCUUCGCGGCUUCCGAAGCCGCGAUGUACUCGGCUUCUGUCGUAGAAUCGGCCACCGUCUCCUGCUUGGAACUCUUCCAACUAACAGCACCACCAUUUAGCGUGAACACAAAUCCUGUUUGUGACUUUGAAUCAUCUCUGUCGGUUUGGAAACUAGCAUCGGUGUAACCUGUUACAACGAGCUCCUCCUCACCUCCAUAGACGAGGAAUAUAUCUUUAGUCCUUCUCAAGUACUUAAGAAUGUUUUUCACCGCUGUUCAGUGACUCUCACCUGGAUCAGAUUGGUGUCUGCUUGUCAUACUUAGCACAUAUGAAACAUCUGGGCGAGUACUUAUCAUUGCAUACAUGAUAGAUCCAAUAGCCGAGGCAUAUGACACUCUACUCAUGUGAUCCCGCUCAUCAGCAGUCGAAGGACACUGAGUCUUGCUGAGAUGUAUGCCAUGUGACAUAGGCAAGAACCCUUCCAUGCUGAACCGCUUCAACACUUUGUCAAUGUAAGUAUCUUGGCUUAAACCUAUAAGCCUUCUCGAUCUAUCUCUAUAGAUCUUAAUGCCCAGAAUAUAUGCCGCUUCCCCUAAGUCCUUCAUCGAAAAACUAUUUUUCAGUGAAGUCUUUAUGGACUCAAGCAUAGGAAUGUUAUUUCCAAUCAGUAAUAUGUCAUCCACAUAUAAGAUUAGAAAUACUACAGAGCUCCCACUAACCUUCUUGUAAACACAAGACUCUUCUUCGUUCUUGGUGAAGUCAAACCCUUUGACCACUUCAUCAAAACGAAUGUUCCAACUCCUAGAUGCUUGCUUCAAUCAAUAAAUGGAUCUCUGAAGCUUGCAUACCUUUCCAGCAUUUUUCGGAUCGACAAAACCCUUGGACUGUAUCAUAUACACGUCCUCAGUUAGGUUUCCAUUCAGGAAAGCUGUCUUGACAUCCAUCUGCCAUAUCUCAUAAUCGAAAUAUGCAGCCAAACUUGAUUGUCUCCCAUGGACUCUAUUUCGGAUUGCAUGGCAUUCUGCCAUUUUUCGGAGUCUGGGUCCAUCAUUGCUUCUGCAUAUGUCACAGGCUCAUCAUUGUCCAACAAUAAUAUUUCCUGCAUUUCGCGGAGCCUUGCCGACCUUCGUGGUUGUGGCGGUGCUUCUCUUGCCAUGGGUAUCUCAACUUGUUCUGCUACGUUAGCAUCACUCAUUGAUUCUUGCCCGAUCGGCUCAUCUUGAACUUCUUCAAGAUGCACUGUCUUUCCACUCUUUUCUCCUUUGAGAAACUCUUUCUCUAGGAAAACCCCGUUCCGAGCGACAAACACUUUGCCUUCUGAUCAGUUGUAAAAAUAAUAUCCCAAAGUUUCCUUUGGAUAUCCCACGAAAAUGCACUUAUCCGACUUGGGUGCGAUCUUGUCCGACUGAAGUCGCUUGACAAACACAUCACAUCCCCAAAUCUUUAGAAAAGACAAACUAGGAACCUUUCCAGUCCAUAUCUCAUAUGGUGUCUUAACUACGGAUUUAGAUGGUACCCUAUUAAGUGUGAAAGCUGCUGUUUCUAGAGCGUAUCCCCAAAAUGACAACGGUAGGUCCGACUGGCUCAUCAUUGAUCGAACCAUGUCUAACAAAGAUCGAUUACGUCGCUCGGACACACCGUUUCUCUGAGGUGAUCCAGGCGGCGUAAGUUGUGGAACAAUUCCGCAACUCUUUAGAUGAUUGCUAAACUUGUGGCUCAAAUACUCGCCUCCACGAUCAGAUUGUAAGGCCUUAAUUUUCUUGACACGCUAAUUUUCAACUUCAUUCUGAAAAUCCUUGAACUUUUCAAAGGUUUCAGACUUGUGCCUCAUCAAGUAGACAUAGCCAUAUCUACUAAAAUCAUCAGUGAAAGAUAUGAAGUAUUGGAAUCCUCCUCUAGCCGUCGUGCUCAUUGGUCCGCAUACAUCACUAUGUACGAGUUCCAACAAGUCUACUGCUCUCUCAGGAAAUCCUGUGAAAGACGUCUUGGUCAUCUUGCCUAGCAAGCAAGCCUCACAUGUCUCGUAUGAUUCAAAAUCAAACGAAGUUAGAAGUCCAUCAGAAUGGAGCUUCUUCAUGCGUUUUUCACUUAUAUGACCCAAACGACAAUGCCACAAGUAGGUAGGACUCAAAUCAUUAGGCCGAGGCCUUUUAGCACUUACAUUACAGACAGGUGAACCAUCAAGAUUUAAAACAAAUAAUCCAUUCACAAUGGGUGCAAAAGCCAUAAACAUAUUAUUCUUAGAGAUCACACAACCAUUGUUUUCACUCGCAAAUGAAUAACCAUCCUUCAUCAAGCAUGAAGGAGACAAAAUGUUUCGACUUAAACUAGGAACAAAAUAACAAUUAUUCAACUCCAUAAUAAAUGCUGACGGGAGGUGGAGUUGCAUCGUCCCGACGGUCAACGCAGCAACUCUUGCAUUAUUGCCCACGCGGAAAUCAACUUCUCCUCUUUCCACGCUUCUACUUCUUAUCAUUCCCUGCAUCGAAUUGCAAAUAUGAGCAACCGAUCCGGUAUCAAAUACCCAAGAAUUAAUAAUUGUAUCAGCGAGAAAUAUGUUGUCUAUGACAUUAACAACAAGCGUACCUGAGGUAGAAGUACUCUUACUUCCUCCAUUCUUCAACGAAGCUAGGUACUGCUUGCAGUUUCUCUUCCAGUGACCAAGUUCAUGACAGUAAAAGCACUCUUUGUCUGGAGCAGGUCCAGGUCCAGCUUUAACCUUGGGCGCUCGCUGGGUUUGGCUUGGAAAUUCCAGCCUUGCCCUUCUUCUUCCAAGAAUUGCCCUUCUUCUUAAAGCUAGGCUUGUUCUGUAUAGCCAUCACAUGGCUAGUACAAGCGCUUUUCUUGAUGUCUACCUCUGCUGUCUUGAGCAUACCACACAGUUCAUUCAAACCCUUCUCCGUCCCAUGCAUAUGGUAGUUCGAGAUGAAGUUCCCAUAGCUAGGCGGAAGAGAUGAAAGAAUGAAGUCAGUGGCCAACUCUUUGCCCAUUGGGAAGCCCAGCUUCUCCAAUCGCUGAGUGUAACCAACCAUGUUGAUUACAUGUGGUCCUACUGCUGCGUCUUCUGCUAGCUUGCACUCCAGAAAAGCUUUGGACACAUUGAACCUUUCAGUCCUAGCCUGUGUCUGGAACAUGUCCUUGAGCGCCACGAUCAUAUCGUGUGCCUCAUGAUUUGUUUCGAACUGCAUCUGCAGCUCGGGUUCCAUGCAAGCAAGCAUAAGGCAGCUUACCUCAAGAUUAGCAUCAAAUGCCUUCUUGUAAGCAGCCUUAACGGCAGCAGAUGCAUCAUCAGCAGGUACUGGUGGUAGUGGGGUAUCUAGAACAUCUUCCUUUUUAUCGGCCCUGAGAACAAUUCUCAGGUUACGGAUCCAAUCCGAGUAGUUUGUUCCAUUCAACUUGUCCUUCUCAAGGACCGAGCGCAAAGCAAACGAUGUGGUGGUGUUGCUAGGUGCCAUUUAAUCUACAACAAAAGUAAUGCAAAAUACACUAAGACAAACGUAUCCAUGAUAGAGCAAAUUACAUUAAACUAUUUUAACAGAAUCUACUCCCACUAAAAUCAAUAUCCCUCUAUUGAAACUUAGUGAUUCAGGAUCCACAACUAACAAGUCUACUAGUGAGCUUUAGCAUCACCGCUAGCAAACGAGGUAGAUCGGUAAGCAACUUUUGCUAAUCAUAUCACAUAUGACUCCUGUUGUUGGGUGACAUCUCCAUGUCUCGGCGCCCAACCAUUAUGCCCCAAGGUCCUUAACCGUUAAGAUGACCUCGUUAAGCAAACCAACCCUUAUGCGUGUAAGUGUCCGACACAAACCCGUCUAGUCAAGGAAAACUAGUGGCACCCUAAUUUCAUAGACCCACCACUAAUUGUACAAGACAUGGGACGGUGCAAGUUUUAGUUGGGAGGGCAUACUAACUUAAAUUUUUUGUGAGGGAUCGUUCUACUUCUAACAUCACAGCAUGCAGAAAGUAAAACAUAAACAGAAUAGCAUUCACACAGCUGUGACACAGUAUGGCCCGUUUUUAUAUGGUGAUCUCCAUCUCCAUAGAACCUGUUCACCAUGGUGAUCUCCAUCUCCAUGUUCCAUGUGCGCCAUCCUCCUGGUGAGGAGUCCUCCAAGAACUAGAACAUGCUAUUACACCUAAUAGCUAGUAAAGAAUCUAGUAAUGAAGAUUACAUAGUUGCUUGGAUCAUCACAGAUUGGUACGCAGACCAUUAAAUACAAUAAAGUGACAACACAUAUGGCUCCUGCCGUGUUGCCGUACGCGCGACACGCAGGUCACGAAUGAGUUACACACAUGCAUCACAUACACAAGGGGGCCAUACUGAUCACAAGAUACAUACAUACAUCCUGCAAAACAGAGUUAGGCGUCCUAACGUUCCAAACUUCGAAGGCCCGAAACUCCAUCUUCCAAGCCGAAUUUGGGAAAUCUAAUUUUGCCGAAAACGGCAAAGCGGUUGAAUUUCAUGUGUAACUUUUUCUGUAGAUCAAUUUUCAUAUAAAAUUCGCCCCGAUCCGAGAUCGUACCGAAAAGUUACGGCUGAUUUACCGAAGCAUACGCAUACGGCAAAAAUUCCGACCCCGGCAGUAGAUCCCAUCUACUAUUGCACAUCUAAUGCGCCUGGCGUAUGAUCCUGGAUUUCGAUUCGACCAAUCAUAUUGAUCUUCGCUCACUGCAACUGGAAUUACGUGUAUCACUUAACUCGUCGGCGGCUCGUCGGCGGCUCAUCCAAGUGCUGCAGGCCCAACACCUCCAAGGUAUCCACACGUGCAGGGAGGAAGCGUCGCAAACCGGACUGCUAGAUCCGCGAGUUGCAAUAGGCGAGGGCGUGGGAGGCGCCGCAGGUGUGUUUCGCCAAAAAGAUGUAAACCCUAGGGCGCCCCCACCCCUCUAUUUAUAGAGGUUCCUGACGGGCCUCUGGAUCCGAGGCCCAUUAGUACUUCUAAACCUAAUCCAACUCGGAUCAGAUCCGAAUUGGGCUUCCAGCCCCUUAAGUGUGUGACCCUAUGGGUUCGGAUACGUAUAGACAUGGCCCGAGUACUCCUACUCGGCCCAAUAGUCGGUAGCGGCCUCUAGCAAGACGUGCCAACUCCUAUACACACACGAAGAUCAUAUCAGAUGAACCAUCACAACAUAAUAUACAUGCUAUUCCCUUUGCCUCACGAUAUUUGGUCUAGCUUCAAGCCGACCGCUCUUUCUCAAUCCUGUGAUUCGGAAUCCCUUUGUAGGUUAACUCUUAACCGUACGUAGCAUGGCCAUGCAUUUUCGGAUCCGAUCACUCGAGGGGCCCAGAGAUAUCACUCUCAAUCAGAGAGGGGCAAAUCCCAUCUUGAUUGACCAUGUCUCAUAGCAUGCUUCUUGACAAACCCGAAAACUACCUUUAUAACUACCCUGUUACGGCGUAGCAUUUGAUAGCCCCUAAGUAGGUCGAUCCACAUCUAGAAUACAUGCGACAAUCUCAGGUCUAAGGACAAAGCGUAUAUGUUGUUUAAAGAGAGAACUACUUCUCGUGUUGGGUCAGUCCCAGCACAUGUCUCCACAUGUGUCCACAUUAUUAGUUCAACAUCUCCAUGUCCAUGACUUGUGAAACAUAGUCAUCAACUAAUACAUGUGCUAGUCUAAUAUUCAUGUGUGUCCUCACAUGAACUCCGACUAGGGACAACUUUAGAAUAACCAUACAAGUAAAGAGUUUCACAUACAAUUCACAUAAUUGCAAAUCAAUUCAAGUAGCCUUCAAUGGAUAUUCAAUGAACACAACAUACAAAUCAUGGAUACAAAUGGAAUAUCAUCAUCUCUAUGAUUGCCUCUAGGGCAUACCUCCAACAAUUAUUUCAUGUAAAUUUUUGACAAUUUUUUAAAAUUGUUUGAUAUUUUUUAAAUUUUUUUUAAAAUAACUUUGCCGAGUGUCCUAUUGUAGACACUCGGCAAAGCAGCCUUCACCGAGUGUUACCCCUGGGACACUCGGCGAAUUAAUGCCCGGCCGCUCAAGAAUAUGUGCCCGGCCCCCUCACUCUCCCGGCCCCCCUCACUCUCACUCCCCUCACUCCCUCCUCUCUCCCUCCUCUCUCCCUCUCGCCGCCGCCCGAAACCCCCGCCGCCGCCCGCCGCCCGGCAUGCCGCCCAGCGCCCCCCGCCGCCGCCCGGCGCUCCCGAAUCCGCCGCCGCCCGCCCGGCGCCCGGCCCCCGGAUCCGCCGCCGCCGGCCGCCCGGCGCCCCCGGAUUCGCCGCCGCCCGCCCGGCCCCCGGCCCCCGGAUCAGCCGCCGCCCGCCGCCCGGCGCACGGCGCCCCCGGAUCCGCCGCCGCCUGCCCGGCGCCCGGCCCCUGGCCCCCUGAUCCGCCGCCGCCCGCCCGGAUCCGCCGCCGCCCGCCCGGCGCCCGGCCCCCGGCCCCCGGAUCCACCGCCGCCCCCCCGGCCCCCGGAUCCGCCGCCCGCCCGUCCCCUCCACCGGAUCCGCCGGCGCCGGGGCCUGAAGAGAAGAGAAGAGGAGAGGAUGGUGGCGGCGGCGGCCGCGGCGGCGGAGCAGGUGGCAGAGCAUGCAUGAUUUUUUUUUAUUUUUUCAAUAAUUGUUCGCCAAGUGUUUUCUGGGCACUCGGCAAAGUCUUUGCCGAGUGCCCGACACAAAACACUCGGCGAACCAGUGUUUGCCGUCAAGAUUUUUGCCGUGUGUCGUUUGCCGAGUGUUACACUCGGCAAACGCUUUGUCGAGUGUUUUUGGGGUUUCGCGGAGUGACCCUGGCACUCGGCAUCACGCAUGUUUCCCUUAGUGAACUUGAAAUUAUCUGUACAUUCUCGGUGAAGCUGUUGAACUAAUUUUUGCAAAUUAUUAAUUCAUCUCAUUACGCAAAGAAAAAAGUAAGUGGAUAAGAUAUUUCGUGGACCACAUCACUGCAAACAUGUCAUGGAGAGACAGACCAAGGAGGCAGGACGUGAUACACGACUUACCCUAGGUUGCCGUGGAACCGCCAAGAAGAGAUACAGAUACAUGGACCACACCAUCUUGGGAGUAGUGACAGCAUAUAUGCAGAAGAAUACCCCGUGCCUAUUUGCAUGCAUGUCUCAAGUGAUCUGUUUUCUUCAGAAAAUACAUGAGCAUUGCCAGAAAGAAUGGCAAGAGACAAACAUGUCAUAGAGACUUGCAUGUCUUGCCUUGGAUACGCCAAGAAGAGGGACACAUACAUGGAUAACACAAAUCUAGUGACACGUAUAUUCAUCACAAAGGCAAAUCUGAUAAUUUUAUCCAUGGAGCAGACCAAGGAGAAAUUGAUGACGGACAUGUGAUCUCUGUAUUCAGUUGAAAGCUAAUUGAGCUACACUAAUAUGAGCAGGACUAUAUUCAAGAGACUUGUUGAGAGCUACAGGGAACUUGUAAUAAUUUGCUGGGCGGCCUGCGCACAAUGAUUUGUUAUACAUAGUUGAAAUAUUUCAAGAAUUUAUCAACCUCAUACUCUGAAACCCUUGGUGCAAUGUACUCUGCUUUCCGAGGUAGACUGUUCACGUAAAAUGAGGUCAUGCGUAAGACGGAAUCGGAUUGGAUUCACAGGGAAUCAGAUUUGGAUAGCACCUUUUAGCAGGUUUUUAGUCAAAUGCAAAUUCGGAUCCACAUGUGGUUGAAUGCGAGUUCAAAAUUCUACUUGGAUAUCCAUUUAAUUUAGGUGAUAGCAAUUAGCACAAAAUGUUGGAUGAACAAAAUCAUAGUUAGACAUACAAUUACAUGUAUGGUUAAAGUAUAAUACAAUACACCAAGAUUAUUCCUUGAAAAUAUUUCUUAAAAAUAUUAUAAUAAAUGAAUAAAUAUAAUUGUGGCCACCAACAAAUAGUCGGUGGUCGCUAAGUUGGAGCCAUUUCUGGUUACUAAUGCGGCCUUCUCCUCGACCAGCGACGACAGCUGAGCUUGUUCCUUCUGACACUAAAUCAUCAGAGUCUUCCCUCCACUACUAUAGAAUGCACCUUUAGCACCAAUUGGGAAAUCCCCUUCAGUAUUGGAUGCUGCAACCAGUGCUAUAUAUCAAAAUGGAGACUAAAAGCCUCGGUCUUGGGUACCGGUUGCAUAACGCAUUACUAAAGGAGGCAAAAGAGAAAUGUAACAAAAAAAAUAUUUUGAAUUCCAAGAAUGUUUCACUAUUCAAGAUGACUAGCUGAGAGUCAACAGACAAGAUACUAGGAAUGUGGGUGCUUGAAUGCAUUUGUACAGAGGUCAUACUAUUUACAAACUCUUCUAUGUUUCCAUAUGACUACCUACUUCAAUGUCACGCGAGCCAUUCAGCUGGACACAUGGCACACUAGCUUGCAUGUCGAAUCCAUGAUUAAUUAUUUGCACUUGUGAUCUCUUACCAGUAUUUGUCCAGACUAGAAACGUGCAACACAUUUUUAGGAUAUGGACACGCAUAUAUUUGGACUAGUAUACAGGUCACCUUUGGAUGCGUACAAGGAUGACCGGGAGGGACUAAUGGAUACAAGGAAGGGACCAUCAGGAUUAAUAUUGACAUAUGCCACAUGACAAUCUUCAUUGUCAUGCAAUCCCUAUCAACAAUCAUGGAAUCCCUAGUGUACUAAUCCCUGGAGGGUUGUGUGGAAAUUUAUUUUACCUUGCGGUGAAAAUCUCAUGAGCAGUCAUUAGUUAAGCUGACUAGCUGAGAUAUAAUAGACAAGCUAGUAAGAUUGGGAGCAUCAAUGCAUCCAUACAGGGUCACAAUAUCCUUUCCAUUCACUUUUAUAUAUAACCCUACGAAUACAAGUCCAACGAAAUGCGGGCCUUUCGAUCAAGAUAAAUUAAAUGGCCCACUUGUAUUUCUAAUCCAGGAUUAACUAUGCCCUCUGUUCAUCUCUUGCAAGCACGUGCAACACAUUUUCACGAUAUGGACAUGCAUGGAGGUUAUUAUACUGUUUGGACAAACUCUGAUGUGCCAUGACCUAAAUGCUUAGGGCCUGUUUGGUUUGAGUUGCUUAUUAUAAGCAACUUAAAGUUGCUUAAAGUUGCUUAUUUGAAGUUGCUUAUUUUUAGUCUAAACUGUUUGGAUACCCUUGCUUAUGAGCAUUGAAUGAGUUGGACAUUGUCAAAUUUGCCCCAUGUGUUGCUACCCCUCCAAUUUGCCUCCCCACCCUUCUUCUUCCUGCACACGUCCGAUCCCGGGGGCCGACGGCGGGCAGGGAGCAGCAGCAGCUGGCCAGGGCGGCGGUGGGGCGGGAGCGGCGGCGCACACCAGCACGCGCUCGCACGCCAGGUGCUAGGGCGCGGCGAGGCAGUCGUCGUAGCCCACCGGGAGCGGGUGCUCGGGCGCGAGGCGGUACUCGACGGAGAUGCCGAGCGUCGGGCGCGCGGCGGCGAGCGCGUUGAGGAAGCGAUGGUAGUGCGGCGACGUCGCGGACUCCGCCACGAAGCCGCCGCCGUGGACGUACACCACCACGGGCAGCUUCGUCUUGCCGUCGGCGGCCGCGGCCGCGGCCUGGGGUGGCAGGUAGAGGCGGACGGAGCAGGAGCCGAGGUCGACGUCCCUGGAGUCGACGCCCGUGGCGGCGUCCAGGCUGGGCCCGACCGGCGGCGGCACGAGCGGGCGCUCGAUGCGGCCGCUCUUGUAAAUCCGACGGGUCUGUGCGGAGGCGGGCGGCGGGCGGGAGCGGCGGGUGGGAGCGGCGGCAGGUGGUGCGGAGGCCGGCGGCGGCGGGUGGCGCGGAGGAAGGGGAGCUGGUGAGUGGUGACAGGGGAGGGGGGGAGAGAGAGGGGGGGUAGGGUGCAUUGAAUGAGGGCAGGAGGUGUAAAGUGCACCUUUUAGUCCCCAUGAGCAACCAUAAGCAGCCCAAGAGUUGCUUAUUUGCUUAUAAUAAGCAACCUCAUAAGCAAGAGUGAUUGGUUUCAUAAGCAACUUAUUUGCUUAUUUUAAGUUGCUUAUGCAUAAGCAUGUGAAACCAAGCAGGUCCUUAACCUAUGGUUGUGGCACCACACAGUACAUAGUAUUUAAUAAUGCUAUUCGUUUGGUAUGUGCACAAGGGCACGCAUGAAAUGUCUGGCCCACGGUAAACAAGUACGGACGCUGCAAAUAAUCUACUCUGCUCGUCCAGUCCCUAGCCUAUAAAUAGAUGCCAUGCUAGCUCUUGUUGUGCUCACAAUUAAUCCUGACUACACACGAGCUUCUCUCCCUGGCCAAGACACAAUCAUAGUAUGAUGAAGAACAUGGCACUAGCCGGCAAUGGUAUGAAGAACUUAAUCCUCGCUGUUCUCUUACUGUGUCUAGUUAUAGGGCAGAUACAAGUGGAAGCUAAGAGCUGCUGCCCAUCCAUUACUGCAAGAAAUAUCUACAAUGCCUGCCGUAUCACGGGUACAUCCCGUCCAACGUGUGCAAAACUGUCAGGCUGCAAAAUUAUCAGCGGGGACAAAUGCAAGCCCCCUAACGACCACCUCACCCUUGACCCGGACACUGGUAAAUAAUAAAUUUAUCUCACUUGAUUUCUUCGUGUUUUGAGUCGUUAAUGUAUUUUCCAUCUGAUGAAACGUAUUGGUUUUGCAUUGAAGAGGAAGUUAAUGUGCUUAACUUCUGCAAGUUGGGGUGUGCGUCGUCUGUGUGCAACAACAUCAACGCUGGUAAGCACCUUUUGCUCAGACGGAGAAAACAAUAAUCAUUAAUUAGCGGCAGCUAGAAUCCUAUAAUCUAAUAUAUUUAUAUAUAUAUAUAAUUUUAUCAGCUCUGGGAAAUGAAGAGGCGAACGAUGCCGUUGAGAGUUGCGACCAAGCCUGCUCUAGCUUCUGCAACGUGCACGUUGGCGCUGCCACCGUGGUUGCUUAAGCAAAUGCAUCCAACUGGAUCGUCCUUGUGCUAAAUAAUUGGAUAUCGUAUCCACUUAAAGCUGCCUUGUGUAGUACGUUUUUGUUUGUGUCUCUCUUUAUAUUCCAAUAAGGUCGGUGAUCUUGAUGCCACACACUCAGACGUGUGUUCAUCUCCAGAUACUACUCCAUGCUACCUGCCCUUUGUGUUUUGUUCAAUAACUGGGUAUCAUAUCCCAGCCAGUGUGCCAUCUGUUUUGUGUUUAUUUCCUUCUAGUUUCAAAGGGGUUAUCAUGAUGUUACCUUCUUUCGAUAUGGUGCUUUGCAUGACUACUGUUGUAUGGUACCAUCUUGUUGGCCAAUAAAUACAUCUUAUCCUAUGACCCUUUGCUAUGACCCUUUGCAAAUAAGUACAAGAUUGUUAAAUACUCGGUAUAAAUUGACUACUGCUGUGAGUUCCCUUUCAGCUUAUCGUAGGCAUACAUUAUUGCUAGCACGGUGAAGACAACCAACACGAAUGGUCAAGUAAACGUACCGGUACUUUUGUAUACCAACACCCUUGCUUAAAUGUACCGGUGUUACUCCCCACUGGCACAUAUAUUCUUAUAUGCUAGCCGGCUUGAAAAUUAACCGAUUAAAAUAAUUAUUUCAAGACAGAAAUAACUUAUCGGCUUCUCGAAGCAUGUGUAAUGUGAAUUCAAGGACUCGAUGGAAGUUGAAUCGCUUCAUCUAGAUUGCUUUCAGGAUUUUGGGUAACUAAAUGUAACAUUUGCACAUACAAAUGUUAAUGUACAAAUAUUAAAUAUAGUUACCCAAGCAGAAUAUGAAGAUACUCUAUAGUAUAUAUAUACUAUAUAAAUCUAGUUAACAUUUAGUCUAAAUGUUAAAUCUAGUUACCUAAAAUCCUGAAAGCAAAAUGUAUAAAUAUAUAUCUUUUAAGGAAUCCCAAAGCAAGAGUUCAGUGGCAUUCUAUAGUCCCAUGCUGCUAGUUUGAGUUGGUCGAAGCCAACUUAAAUAGGAGAGCUCUCUCACUUCUCUAAAUACGUAACUGAAGGAGAGAAGGGGGCUUGGUUACACAACGCACGCACGCACGCAUAUUUGUGUUCUUUUCGCGUAACCAACCGCGUGACUUGAAACUUGCGACGUAGCGUGCUGCCAAGUCAAGUUGAUAUAACCUUUUUGCCGUUGGCGUGUAAUCUUUUGACAACGGUCAUUGGAGGUGAUAAGCACGCAGUCAAUACCUUAAUCCUGAGUUAAUAGGGCGGUUACUACUGCCAAUUAGUGGGGCAAUUUUGUAGGGGAAACGGUUAGCAGAGGGCUACCGUCUUCUCUAUAAGAAGUUCUGGAGACGUCCAGGAACACACAUGUACAUGUGAGAGACCCACGAAUUCCUUCCCAUCUCCCUUUUCCAUCUGGUGAAGUGUGCUGUGGUACUGAGCUGCUGGAUCUCGCCGGCUCUUCUCCUUGGCGUGCACCGAGGAGGAGGGUGAGCGGUAUCUCCGAGCUAUUGCCGUCAGGAAGCCUGCACGAGGGACAACAAUAAAGUUUUUGGGUAGCGCAACUGCGCAACCGCUCGAUUCGAUCGACUAUGUUCUGCGUUGCCUCAUCUUCGAUCUGCACUGCAACACGUAACCCUGCAGCAAGUCUACAUGAGGAUGGAGCACUAAUCUGUAAGUCCUAGAUUGGUUUCUUAUAGAGUUGUAGGUUACACAAGAUCUAGAAUUGUUACAUACUUAUUAUUCUGGGUUACAUGAUGUUUUGUACGGUUACGUCUAUUUUGCAUAUGCUAUUUUUACAUACCGUUUACAUGCAUAUGUAAUGGUUACGCCUAGCUAUUUGAAUCUAGAAUUGGGUUACAUAGCAGUAGCAAUGACUUACGUAAUAUGCCUCAUGUUUAUAUCUGGUAGAAUUUAACACGUAUCUCCAACAUAUUUUGAGGCAGUAUAAAUUUCAAUUCCUUUUGCUGCUCUUUUAAAUCCCGUCUUUCGUGUGGCCCAACACUCUAGUAUGCAUGUAGCACCAAGCUUGUUUGAGCCGCUUUGUGCUCUGAUUUUGCUGUCUGUAUCAGGUUGGACUGUUUCUUUGUCUUGCGAUGUAUAGCUUCAUAUCUUCUAGAGGUUAGACAGCAAAACCCGCGUUCUCUUAAGGCAACAACUCGAAGAAUCUGCAGCGCCCCUGAUAUAUCACUGCUGCAGAAACGAUCUUUAGUACUGAUCUCCAACCCCCUCUAGUAUCGGUUUGGCAAUCAGUACCACUACGUCGGUACUAAAGGGAGUUCUCUAGAAUCAGGUCAAAUAACUGGUACUAAAAGGGCUCCUUUACUACCAGUUGGUAACACCAAUAGGUAGUAACUUUUUUUGCACCCAAAAAAUUAAAGAAAAACAGCUGGGAGGCUCGCGCACACACGCAUCAUUAGUAAUAUGUGUGUGCAUGGUUUGUGGGAUUCCAAUCCACGACCAAGCUAUAAGCACGUAGUUACAAAAAAUUAAACACUUAGACAUUUUAGAGCAUCCCAAAUAACUACAAAUUCUAUAGUUUACCAUAUACCAUAAAAUAUUAGUUAAAAUAAGAGCAUACACAUGUCGGAAGAGUCCCAAUGCACCGGUUGAGGAUCAGACCAGGCACUUUGAAUGCACAUGCCAUAAGAUAAUUCUGCAGGACGAUGAUUGCAAUAAUGGACCAUCAAGAAGAUACGGGCGAUGGGUUUGCCUCAUCAAUUAUCACUUGGCGCAACAAGACCAGCAAAGUCUUUAUCGACAGGGGUGGAUCAACGGGUGGGGCGGGCAGAGCUCCAGUCCUCCUACCGCCACUCGAACAAUGGAGCCCCCCUUAGCCCCUCCAUAAAUUUUUAGGUAGAAGAAAAAAGAAGAGAAGGGAAGGAAGAGGAAGAAGAGGGAGCCCCUCCUAAGUAGGUCGCCAUCAUGCAUCCCAACGCAUGAUCGCCGCACCGCAUCCAUUCCUCUACAAGCCUCCAGUGUCUCUCCCGCCGCUACCUCUGAACCAUGUGCAGCUGCAGACCCAACUAGUGUCUUGUCGCCCAUCUCGGUCCCAAUAGAGCGGCGGCGGUUGCCAGCACAAAUCUCCCUCCACCUCUUCUUCAUGGUCGAUGGCCGCCACAAGCAUAAACCUCGCCUUCGCAUCCACGCAAAAGGGUCGCUGGGGUGCCUUCUUGCAUCGCUUCUCAGCCUCCUUCACUUGCGGCCAGCCAAGAACCGUGCCACCACCUCAGGUGCGCGCCACCGCUCCAGGGCUGCUACCCCAUGCCUGCGGCCGCCGCCAGCCACCACGCGUGUCGAACCGCGUCGCACCGCUUCCCUGCUCUGUGCCACCACUGCUGCUAUACCACCAGCUCCACCACAUUGGGCUGGUCGCCAGGGUGACUGAUUGGUGGAUUAUUACUCAAAAUAAGUUCCUUAUUAUUUGCAACUACUAUUAACUCGCGGAUACAUGCAUGUUUUGCUUCUCCUGCUAAUAUGUCCUAAAAUAUCUAGGAUACCUUAUAUUUCUAGACAGAGGAAGUAUUUGAAUAAAAUGAACCAAUUUAAAAAAAA
rnacentral:lncRNA from 1 species